rnacentral:lncRNA from 1 species
GUGGCAAGAAGCCAAUCCAAAAGGUAGGUCAGGAAAUGCUGCUGUUCGGAAGCUCAACCGGAGGCGACCUGUUCUUACAAAGCUAAAUGUCAAUGGUUGUGAACAUUCAAAUCUUAGAGAAAAAGGCAAUAGACGGGAAAUUGUAUCUCCAGCACGGGAAAAAGCUUCAAGGACCACCACCACUGAGUUAACAGGCAAGAAGGAUUCAAGUAAAUUGCAGGCAAAAGCUUCUGUCUCCGAAGUUUAUGCAAGUCCACCAAACCUUACUGCCAUGGCUUCCAAGUCGCUGUCUUACAAAGAAGUAGCUGUGGCACCACCAGGUACGGUUCUAAAGCCAUUACCAGAGAAACCUGAUGAAGAAAUUGAAGAAAAAACUGAAACACAGAUGUGCAGUAAUGCUCCUGAGACAUCAAAGGCGGAGUUGAAUAACCAUUUCUCUCCCGUUGAAGAUGCGCCAGUUGAUGGUCAGUCUCAAGAAACUCGUGGAAGUGUAACUCAAUCUGAAACUACUGCUGCAGAUACCGGGGAAGUUCCUUCUUCUUCUAAUGAGGAAAAGCCCAUGGAAACAAAUGGGAGUAAGCUUUCUGCCACAGCUGAACCAUUCAACCCAGGAGCUGUCUCCAUGACUCAUCUGCUACACUCUGUAGCAGCCACGAGUAUUUAUGAUCCGAGAACUAGUCAAGGUAUGCUUGCAGAACCUGCUGUACCUUCGGCUGCUGCUAGAGUUCCUUGUGGGCCAAGGUCGCCUCUCUAUUAUAGAAAUAAUUAUUCUUACAUUAUGAAACAUGGAUUUCCAAAAUACCACUCUUCCAUUAUGGAAAGAAACCUGUUGGGGCCUUCAAGAAUCAUGAACCCGCAUGCACCCGAGUUUGUGCCAAUGAGAGGUUGGCAAAUAAAUCCUGGAUAUGCACAUUCAACUGUUUCAAAUGAGUCAAACUCUUCAAAUGACACAAGUGAGGCAGACGAUGAGAAACUUGACAAAAUGUCCAGUAUUCAAGGCGAGGAUAAUACCUCAAGAAAGAGCAGUACAGAGGCGGAGAAGUCAGAGCUGGCAAGACAGAUACUACUUAGCUUCAUUGUAAAGUCAGUCCAGCAUAAUAUGGAUGCUCCAAGUCAUUCUUCAGGCUACGAAAAGAAGAUUGGGUAUUCAGAAAAUUCUUCAGAUGCAAUUGCAAAUGAUAGUGCUAUCAUAAAGAUCCUUUAUGGAAAUGAAAAGGGCAAAACAAACUUGGCAUCUCAGUCCAAUGAUCAAGAACAGCAAAAACCCAAAGAGGAAAACCAAAAAAGUGGGGAUGGUGAAGGAUUUAUAGUUGUCAGAAAACGGAGAAGAAACCGACAGCAGAUCACAAAUGGGGUAACUGAGAUGUACAAUCAUCAAUCCAUCUGUGCUUCUGUUCGUUAAAAGAGAGAGCAAAGCAAUAAAAUGCAAAGGUGCCGUCCUGUUUCUCCCAAUUUUAUUCGAAAAAUUUGUUAGUGAAUGUUACCGUUGUAGAGAUGGUUAAAGUUUGGAGCAAGUUUUAAUCAAUACUUGAUUGUAUCAUUUUAGAUAUCCUCUCUGGAUGUUCUAAUAUAAUAUUUGUACAAAUCGGUUUCUUGUUUUGUUAAGAGAUUUUGUUUUGAUCAAUAAAUGAUGAUAAAUUAAUUGGGCGAUUUUCCUCAUCAAGAGAUCUGUGAUGUUGUUCUAUAAUGGAUUUUAAUGUUUUAGACUGAGAUUUGUAGUUAUGCCUCAAAUUAUUUGGUAUUUGGUUGGUGCGUGUGAACAAUACGUUCGGAAUGGAGUUGAAUUGACCCACUGAUAGAUAGCUUACAUUUGCAGCUGAAGUUGCUGCACUGAUGAUAUUACAACUGACAUGGUAGGCAAAAUUCCUUAUUCAAUUUAAAUUUGCAAUCAACAGAAACUGAAGAAGAAGCCGUAAGUUUAAUCCUAAUGGAUGCAUAGCUGUUUGGAGAAAAGCCAAUGGAGACAUAACAAAGCACGAUAAGUUAUACACGGCAGAACGGUAUGUGCUAGUAAGCACAGUCACCGAUGGAAAACAUAUUUGAAAAGCCAAUAGUAGCAUGUGUCAAUACAUCUAUCAAUGAAAUAGAACCACAGUCUGCGCCAGUACGAGUUUAUCCAAAGUGCUGCAAGUAAACCCAAAAUCACUGACACAUAGGAUGCUCCAAAACUCCAUCUUAAUGCCACCAUGUCAAUCACAGAAUCGCCUUCAUCUUCUCCUCCUCCUGUAGGUGUCGCUGGUGGUGCCAACGCGCUGCUGCAUUUCCUCUUUAUCAUUGAGCCACAAAGAGCCGAAUUACCUUUAUAACUGCUGUCAUCAAAGGUGGCAAACUGCUCUUUGUCCGGGAUUGGGCCGGACAAAUUGUUGUAUGACACGUUGAAGUUUGAUAAAAAGUUGAGCUCAGUUAGUUGAGGAAUUCGGCCACUUAAUUUGUUGCGGGAAAGGUCCAGGCUCUCUAUCAUUUUCAGAUUGGAGAAGCUCUCUGGUAUAGUGCCUGAUAGUAAAUUAUUGGACAGAUUAAGUGCACGAAUAUGUUGAAGAUGCCCAAUUUCCCAUGGAAUUUCUCCACUGAACUCAUUGCUCGACAAAUCCAGUCCAGCCAUGUCGUCGAGAUUGAGACCAAUGAAAAAUUCAUAUCUAUACUUUGUCACAAAUUCUACACCUACUGGUUGAUCUAGUCCACCAUGUAGUUCACCUGGCGGCAGCAGAUGAAGAGUGGAAUUGUAGUAAGUAGAAGCGGAAUCACGAUUAGACAUAGCAAAUUCAUAUUCAAAUGAACCAUCAUCAAUCGCUUCCCUCCCGAAUGAGAUGUUACCCAGGCAUGAAGGUAUCGGCCCAUUAAGUCUGUUAUGUGAAAGAUCCAUGAUACCUAAUUUUCUUAAUUGGCACAACUGAUUAGGAAUACGUCCUUGUAGAGAAUUCCCUCUCAAAAGAAGAAAAUGCAAAUUCGAAAGCUCAUUGAUCUGAUGAGGAAUCCUACCAAAAAAUUUAUUGUCCCUCAAAUCGAGAGUCAAUAAUGUAGAGCUUCUAAGCAAUGCAAUUGGAAUUAACCCAUUAAUUGCAUUGUUAUGCAGAUAAAUGUGCUUCACUGAUGAAAGAUUGGAGAGAGAUACCAUGGACCCAGACAAACCAUUUUCGGAGAUGUCUAUAAACUCAAGACUUUCAAGAUUGCCGAGCUGGACCGGAAUACUACCUUGCAAAUAAUUUUCUGACAUUAAAAGAAGCCAAAGGACUGAGAAGUUGCCAAUCCAGUGGGGAAUAUCGCCGGAUAACUUGUUGUUGGAUACAUCUAAUACAUCCAGCAAAGUGGAGCUCAACAAACCAUCUGCCAUUUUCCCACUGAAAUGAUUGUUGUUCAAACGUAAUGAACUCAAAUGAGUCAAGUUCAUAAAAUUGGGAAAAAGUUGGCCAUAGAAAUUGUUAUUUGAUAGGUCCAACGUUUCUAAGGAGAGGCAACUAGAGAAUAUAGAUCGAGGUAAUUCUCCUGAAAAAUUAUUUCUAGACAAAUCCAAAGUAAUUAGCUCUUUCAUCUCACUGAUUGAAUAAGGAAUAUUACCUUCAAAACUAUUUUUUGACACAUCCAAAUAUAUCAAUUUCUGAAAGACAAUACCCAAAUUCUCUGGUAGCUUACCAGAAAAAUUGUUAGUGGAAAUAUCUAGAUGACGAAGCUUGUCGUAUUUGGCAUUGGGAAGUCGCGGAAGAAUUCCCGAGAAUGAGUUAUUCCACAAAAUCAAAACUUCUAAUCCUGUGUUGUUUUGCAACAACCAAGUUGGGAAAUUGCCAACCAACUGAUUGUGAGAGAGAUCAAGGAAUUUUAAGUGGUGUUGGUGUAAAAGAAAACUACUAUUGACAUUUAAGUGGCAGUGAGAUAAUUGGAGAACCUUGAGAGGAUAUGUGGGGAGCCAGUUUUCGGUUUUCACUUGCAACAUAUCGUUUCCUGACGAGAGUACCAAGACCUCAAGCUUUGAAUGAUUAGCCAAUGAAUUUAUUAAGAAUGUUCCUUGGAAAUCGAUGAAAGAGAGAUCCAAAUAUUCAAGUGAUGUGAGGUUGGUCAAGACAGAAGGAAAGUUUCCACUUAACUGAUUGUAAGAAAUAUCAAGAACUUUAAGAUGGGUCAAGUUGUUGAGACACUGAGGAAGAUGACCCUCAAAAUUAUUUGAGCUUAAAUCCAACUCAAGAAGAUUCUUCAAAUUACAUAUUCCUAAAAGUGAAAAUAAAAAGCUCAGAUUUCAUAAAACGAAAACUAAUUAUAGCACAUUCAAUCAUAAACCCAAUAUAAGACUUAUAAAACGGACAUGAAAUCAAAUUGUCUAAGUAUUUUGGUCAACAUAAAUAAUAAUAGAAUGAUAUGAAUUUAUUUCUCAUAUAAUAUGAUGUUGAUUGCAAAAGCGUUUCAAUUAAUCUAACAAUAAAAAAGAAAAUAAUAAUAAAAAUAUAAAAGCAGUCAGCAAUUCUUGCUCAUCGUAAUCCAUUCAAUAAGCGUUUCAGCAAUUCUCGUUGUUUAAAAUAAUGAUUUUCUGCGGAAGAGUUUGUUGACUUCGUCUUUUUCGUUGGAUAUUGGUUUUCUAAUCUCUAAAUUUGUUGGAUAAUGUAAAGAGAAACUCAUAAUAUAUUGGUUGCUUUCUUAAACUUUAUUUAAUUUCGUCGAAGUACUUCGACCAACAAGUCACUGGGAAGUAGGAAUUGUGUAAUCAGUAAUGCAAAUAUUGGGUGCGUUGGUAUUGUUUUUAUAUGCUGUUUUUUAUUUUUUGAAUUUAGAAAAUAUUAGAUACGUGUUCGGUAGAUUGUUUCUGAAUUUUUUUAAAAAAUAUAAAAUUCAUUCUACACAUUUUAACAAAAGAAAUGAGAAACAACUUUUUCUUAUUUUCCUUAUUUCCCAAUACAAUAUUAAGUUCCAAAAUGAAGAAUUCUCUUUACCUCCUCCUGAAAUAAUAAUAAUAUCAACAUUAUUAUUAUUAUUAUUAUUAUUCUUGUUGUUGUUGUUGUUGUUGUUGUUAUUGUUGUUCUUGUACCCAAAGAAUCAAUUUCCCUCACAAUAAUCUUUUCUUUUUAUAUACAUUAUAAUAUUUAUGUUUUUAUAUUAACUAAAUCAAAUAUGUAGGGUUUAUCAUUUUUCUUUGAACAAAAAAAAUAGAAAGAUCACCUAAUUUAUUCUUAAAAUUAAAAUAAUCAAUAUACAUUGCUUAAUCUUAAGUUUAUGGAAAUUAUUCCAAUAAUAAUUCUUUGAGACAUUCUUACCAAACAUAUUUGUUUUCUCAUUUUUGAGAUUAUUUUUAAAAUGAUACUGAACACAUUUUUAAAUUUUAAAAAUAAAUUUAAAAAUAGCAUUUUCAUUUUUUUUGUGAAAACAACAAUUAGAAAACAAUAUUGGGCUCUUAUUUAUCAUGUUUCAACAUAAAAACACAAUGUAAAUGGUUUAAUAUGGGUUUCUAGAGAAUUUUUUAUAUUACUAUUACUCAAAUUCAAUGCUUCCAAGCUUUUGAAUUUAGCUAAUCUUGCAUCAAGAAUUAAUGAACAUAAGGAAAAAAAAAUUUAUUCAGAACUAUAAAUAUUGAAAUAAAGAUAAAUAUCAUUGUUGAUUUUUUUGUAAAAAAAGAUUUAGAAUUAAGAGAGAGUGAAAGAAAUGAGCGGGUUAUGUCGGAAAUUGGUGAUAGAGUAUGUCAAGUACUAAACUUUGUAUAGAAAGCAGUGCUUCUAAUUUAAAUUUGAUCUAGUUUAAAGCAAUUAAAAAAUGCAAAUAUAUUAUCAUCUUGAUUAACAUCUAAAACAAUUUUUGUCAUUGGAGGAAGUGAGUUGUUAUAUACCUUGAAUUGUAGUUAUCCCACAAGAAUGAAGAUCCAAUGCUUUCAAAUUUGGCAAAUCUGCCAAUCCUACAUGCGCUAAUAAAAAAUGAAAAUAUUACAUUUAAAGGUAUUGUAUGUGAUCUGCACGUUUGAAGAAUAUUAAUUCUUAAUUUGCUUCUUAUCUCAGAUUCAAUGGCUUACCUAGCGUUGUCAAAUUUUGAUUUAAGCUUAAAUCCAACACUUGCAGGUUUGUCAAAUUUGCUAAUCCUAUUAAAAAAAAACAUAAAUUUUGUCAAUAAUAGUUACAUCACUCUCGUCUAAAUUGUUUAAUUAAAAUAAUAUGAUAAAUAUUAAAUGAAAAUUAAUUGUGCAAAUUGUUUAAUUAAAAAAAUUGCCUUCUAAAGAACUGUGUAUAUAAUAAUUAUAACUCAAAUCCAACGUUUCCAAGCUUUUUAAUUUAGCUAAUCCUGCACCAAGAAAGAAGAAAACUUUUAUUAAUCAUCUUUGGAAAAAAAAAAAGAAUUAAGAUUAAGAAACAAAUUUCAAAGUUAGAUUAAAUAAUUGUAGUAAUAAAGCUUAUGAUGAUUAAGAUAUAAUUAAAUUGAUCAUAUACUCAAAAAUGAUUUUAUUUUAUUUUAUUUUUUAAUUUUACUAAGAAAUUAGAAAGUAAAUUUUUGUCGUGUACCAAUUAUAGUCAAGUUUGUCAAGUUUUCCAGUCAAAAAUUGCUUUUAAUUUGACAUUAUACAUAUGUAAAAAUUAAAGCCAUAAUAAUAUCACAAGGAAUUUGGGUAGUGACUUGUUGCCGUGUACCUUGAAGUGUAGUUAUUCCACAACUACCAAGAUCCAAUUCUUUCAGGUCUGUCAAAGAUAAUCCUAUACCAACGAAAAGCAAACUAUUACUUUUAAAAUUAUUGUAGAAGGUUGUGAUUAGUGUGCUAACUUGGUAGUUAUCUCAGUAGCCUACCUAGCCUUGUUAAAGAGCCACUAGUUAUAUUGCGGUUCCCGCUUAGAUCCAACACUUGCAAGUAUCUCAAAUUUGCUAAUCCUGCUUAGAAAACAUUAAUUUUGAUCAAGACAAUAUAAAUAUAUAUUUUAAUUAAUAAAUUAAUUAAGUUGCCUGACAUGUAUAUCUGCUGGCUUGAAACGUAUAUGUAUACCUUGCUUGGUUCUGGAACCUUCAAUCUUAUUGUAACGAAGAUUCAGAGUGGUAAGUGAAGUUAGUGUAUUCAAAUAUGGUAAUAUGCUGUCGAUGAAGAAAUUAAAACCAAGAUUUAAGAUCUUUAGCUGCUUCAAACUCCCAAAGCUAUCGUAAGCUGCAAAUGCAUAUGAAGUGUUAUUUUUAAUUAGUCACUGACAAAAUAUUUAUGGACGAGAAAUAAAUGUAUACAUAUAUACGGACCUCUAUUCUCACAGAAGCCUGUAAACCCAUUCCCAGGUAAGUCGAGCCUUUGCAAUUCUUUGAAAGGAUGAAACAAUGACAUAUUCAGAAGCGAAGCCGAAGUUCCAUCAUAAUAAUUCAAUCUCUUUGUAUAAUUGAGUGAGAGUUGCAUCACGCGUCGUGUGGUGGCGUUGCACAUAACUCCCUCCCAAUCAUCACAACAAUCAGACGGCAUUCCAUCAUCCUCACCAACCCAUGAAGGAAGAAUUUUGUCAUCAUAUCCAAUAUCACUGACUAAUGAUAUGAAGAAGCUCUUGAUUUCCAACAGAGCAGUCCUCUCUGUUUCCAAGCAUCCUUUGUAUCCAUGAAUUUCAUCCAUCGAUACAAUAAUCCAAAUUAGUGACAUUAAUGAGAACUUAAUACAGGAAGUACUUUCCAUUGUAGAGCAACUUUUCAUUUGGUUAAAAUUAAAUGUGCAAUGAGCAACUUUCCAUUGCAGAGCAAUUUAUACUAAAAGUUUAUCGUAGGUCUUGCAAUUUGAUUGGCUGAAGACUUUUUUAAGACUUUCCAAUACAUUGCCAUCUUUGAAGACUUGUAAGCACUUCAUUAAUACCCCGUGGAAAAUAUAGAUAAAGUGAUUGUAAACUAUAAAUUUUUGUAAUAGUUUGAUGGAGAUAAUCAUAACUAAUAAAAAAAAAGUUGACCGAGAGAAUUUAAAUAAUUCAACCAUAUGUUUGGAUUUCCAUUGCAUUAUCAGUCAAUCUAUUAAAUAAUGUGUUUUGAGAAGAAUUUGAUUGGAUGUUUGAUAAGUUUAAAUUAAUUUAUUAGAAAAUCAAUAAUUAAUCAACAUAAAUCUUCGUAUAUGUUUAGUUAGUGUGGCGUUGUCUGAAAUGACAAAAAACAUAAAUGUUAUUUGAAGCUCUUGUGACCCUUUGUGUUCAUGCAUUUGAAUCAAAGCUGUACUAAAAUCAAAGAUAUUGGGCAUCCUUAAUAAGGAAAGUUUCCAUUGCUCUCAGUCUGCACUCUUCAUUACUAUUGCAAUCACUUGAAAUGACUAAAACAGAAAUUUCGUAUGAACUUGGGACAGCUGCACGGGUCCAAUUUAAAUGACAACUACGUGGAAAAUAAAAAUUUUGCAUAUAUUAUUACAACUACGUGGAAAAUUAAAGUUGACUGACUUUCAAAUUAAGCCAACAAACAAGUGGCCAUCAACUCUUUUUCCACUAACAAUUAGUGGCGACGGUCAAUACUAUAAAAUAAAAGUUGACUAAGAAUUUAUGUAAUUUAAGAGUAUGAUUGGCCUUUUAUUGAAUAUUAUGAUUGGGUUUGCACUGAAUUAUCAAAAAAUCUAUUCAACGAUUUAUAUUCUAAAAUAUUUAGUGAGUUUAGAAAAUUAUUUUAUUAGAUUUUUGUUAAUUUUUUUUAUUAUUAUUAGAUGGCCAACAAUUAAUCAAGUAAUUUUCCAUAUAUAUUUGAUAAUUUACUCAUAAAAGCGUGGACUACAUUCAAAUGGCAUUUUAUAUGAUGUGUGAUAUAUGUAGAGGUGAAAUUUAAAUAGGCUUAAUUUUAUAAAUAAAUACAUAUGUAUUGCAGCAUUCAAUCAUUGUGUUAAAGCGCCAAUCACGGUGACCACCAAAACCUAUGAAUGAUUAGUCCAUCGAAACCCAAUGUAUGCUCAAUUAAUAUUUCCUAUCAAGAUCAAAUUUUUCGCUCUAUUGCUUCAACAAUCAUGAGCAUAAAAGCUCGAUUUAUACAAAAAUUACGAAUUUAUGAAAAAAAAAAGUCACAUUUAUUAUAAUAUGAAGUUUGAUUGAUUUUUAAAGAUUGAUUCAAUCAAUCUUAAUGUUACUGGACAAUCGAUCUUAAUGUUAAUUCAAAAUCAAUCUUUAUUUCGAUGGGCACAGAUAAAGAUAAUUAGUUUUGGUCUCUAUAAUGACUGACGAAGACUUGUAGGACCUGGACCAAUGAGGAAAAACACUUUCAAAUUAAGCCAACAUACAAAUGGUCGUCAAUUCUAUUUUUUACAAAAAUUGAUGGAGAUAGUCAACUAAUAAAAUAAAAGUUGAUUGAGAUAAUUUAAAGAAUGUAGGCAUAAGUUUGGCUUUUAAAUUGUCAAAUAAUUUAUUCCACUAUUGAUACUUAAAAAAGUGCUUUGGAAUUAAUAAUUCAAUAGGGUGUUUGAUAUAUUGGAAUUCGUGAAAAUCAAUAAUCAACUAUUUUUUAUACAUGUUUAGAAAUUUAUCCGGUGUGUAUAGGGGCUUGUAUAUUUCACAAUAAACAUGAAUUAGUACAUCCAUUGAUUGACGUAUAAUUAUAAUCAUAUAAUCAAACACGCACACUACAAGGCGACCUUCGAUUGACGUAUUCUGUGAACUAACCCGUGGGAGAUGGAGGAUGUCUUAACGUUAUAAAAAAAAAUUGAUGAAUAAUAUAGUUCCAGGCAGUGCUAAAACCAUAAUGUACGCCAGUAUGAGUUUAUCCAAAGUCACCGGCUACACCAAUAUCAUUGUGACAUAGUAACAUUCUUGUCCCAUUGAGUGAGAGUUGCAUCACCCGUCGUGUGGUGGCGUUGCACUCAACUCCCUCCCAGUCAUCACAACAAUCAGACGGCAUUCCAUCAUCAACCCAUGAAGUAAGAAUAACGUCUUCAUAUUCCCUAUCACUGAUUGAUAUAAAGAAGCUCUUGAGUUCCAACAGAGCAGUCCUCUCUGUUUGCAAGCAUGCUUUGUCUCCAUGCAUUUCAUUCAUCAAAAUAAUAAUCCAUAUUAGUGAAAUUAAUGAGAACUUGACAAAGGAAGUACUUUCCAUUGCAAAGCAACUUUUCAAUUGGUUAAUAUAAAAUUUGCAACGAGGAAACUUCGAUAUUUAUACUAAACAUUUAUCAUCAUGGACCUUGCAAUUUGAUUGGCUGAAGAUUUCCAACCACCCAACCUAACGAAAAUGAAACAUCUUAGAGAUAUCAAGUAAUAAAAAUACUUGAUUAUCUUAUUUUUGUUUUAGAGGGUUAUUAAAGACAAAACAUUGUCAAUACAUUAUAACAUCGCUAUCUUGAAGUCUUUGUCUUUUAGUGAAGACUUGUAAGCUUGAAAUUACAUAUAUAUUGCAACAUCGACCCAGGAGAAAAAGAACUUCACUAAUACUCCGUGAAAAAUAAAAUUAAAGUUCACUGACUCUCGAAUUACGCCAACAAACAAGCGAGUGCAAACUAUAUUUUCUCCAACAGUUUGAUGGAGAUAGUCGUAACUAAUAAAAUAAAAGUUGUGUGAAAGAGUUUAAAUAAUUUAUCCGUAUAUUUGGGAUUACAUUGGAUUAUCAGUUAAUCUAUUAAAUAAUAUGUUUUGUAAAGAAUUUGAUUGGAUGUUUGAUAAGUUUAAUUUAGUAGUUUAAUUACUCAUAAAAGUGUGAUGUACUCUAAAAUGACAAACACAUAAAUGUUAUUUGAAGCUUUUGUGACCCUUCAUGUUCAUGCAUUUGAAUCAAAGCUAUUAAAAUCAAAUAUAUUGAUAAACCUUAAUAAGGAAAUUAAGUUUCGAUUGCUCUCAAUCUGCAACUCGACUACUAUUACAAUCACUUGAAAUGACAAAAACAGAAAUUUCAUAUGAACUUGGGACAGAUGUACACGGGUUCAAUUUAGCUAAUUUCCCAUAUAUUUACAACUACGUACGGGGAAAAUUAAAGCUGAUUGACUUUCAAAUUAAGCAACAAACAAGUGGCUGUCUACUAUUUUUCCUCUACCAAUUGAUGGAGACCGCCGAUGCUAUAAAACAAAAAUUGAUUAAGAAUUUAGAUAAGGAAAAUUAUCAACUGUCCGUCUUAAGUUUAUCAUUUAUUCAUUUUUCGCCUUAAGUUUACAAUUCGUAUUAGUCAUCUACUAAAAAGAUAGAAUUACACUUAUGAAAUGACAAUACAUAAAUAAAUACAAAUGGCAAUAGUGGUAAUUUUGUAUGAAUUUUUCUAUUCUUUUGGCGGUUGGUUGAUACAAAUUAAAAACAUAAGAAGAAAAAUAAAUAAAUUCAAUCUUUUUAGUAUUUCUGAUAGUAGGUUAAACCAAAGGAGGAGGGCUUUAUAAUUUCCCUUUAAAUAAUUUAAGGGUGUGAUUGCGUUUCUAUUGAAUUGUACGCUUGGAUUUGCAUUGAAUUAUCAAAAAAUCUAUGCAAGCAUCGAAUUGUAAUGACUGACGAAGACUUAUAAGGCUUGGACCAAUGAAGAAAAAUGCUUCAUUAAUGCUCCGUGGAAAACAAGCCAGCUUGGAAGCAGUUGAUCGGAUGGUCAACAGUUGAUUGAGAUAGUCAACUAAUAAAAUAAAAGUUAGUUGAGAUAAUUUUAAUAAUUUAAGCGUCGUUUGGGUUUCAAAUAUCAAAUAAUUUAUUCCAGUAUUGAGAAGAGUUGAAUUCCGUUAUUUUAUUGAGAAGAGAUCCAUCGCUCCCUCCCAAUUAUCACAGCAAUCAGACGACAUUCCUUCAUCACCGUCAAACCAUGAACUAAGAGCUUCGUCAUCGUAUCCAAUAUCACUGCUGCUGAUAUGAAGAAGCUUUUGAUUUCUAACAGAGCAGUCCUCUCAGUUUCCAAGCAAGCUUUGCAUCCAUGCAUUUCAUCCAAAACGACAAUCCAAAGUAGUGAGGUUAAUGAGAACUUAAUGAAGGAAGUACUUCCAUUGCAAAACAGCUUUUUAUUUGGCUAAAGUUAAAUGUGAAUUAAAUAUCUUUGACUGGUGAUAUACAUAUAUUCAGAGAUUUGAAGUGCUCAAACCAAAAACAAAUAAAAAUAUAAAAAUAUUAUUAUAAAAAAAUUGAUGAAUAAUAUAGUUCCAGGAAGUGCUAAUAUGGCUCUUUGAACUCUCUUUACAGUAUUGGUAGAAAUUUAUCCGAUGUGUACAAGGGCUUGUAUAUUUUGCAAUAAAAUAUACGAGCCAAUAUGAAUUUCUUUCUUUCUUUCUCUCUCUUUUUUUUUUUAAGUUUCUCUCUCUUUUUUUUUUUAAGAAACAUGAAUUGGUUCGUCCAUCAAUUAAUAAUAAAACCAUAAUGUACACCGGUAUGAGUUUAUCUAAAAUCACCGGCCACACCAAUAUCAUUGUGACAUAGGAAGCGAUGAGGAAAUUUACGAAAUAUUUAUUAAACCAUAGUCUACGCCAGUAAGAUGGAAUUAGCAUUCAAUGAUCAUAGACUUUCUGCAAUUUCAUUGACUUGUGAUCAGGGAGUCCUUAUUCUACAAUAAUUAUAAUCAAACACGCACACUGCAAGGCAACCUUCAAUUGACGUAUUCUGUCAACUAACUGGGGACAGGGGUCAUAAAAGGGUACGUGAGAGAAAGCACGAGUCUAUGCACAGUUCCGGUUUUGCUAGUUGAUGGAACAUGGAGGAUGUGUGUUAACGUUAACCAAUAGUCAAGUUUAUGAACACAACCAAGUAAUCGUAUCAUCAAUCAGAACCACAUUCGACGCACGACUAGUAAAUAUCAUAAUUGAGUUUGAGGACCACAACCGCACAGUGAAAGAAUUUGAAUGAAGGAAAAGUAAAAGAAAAGGAAAAGGAAAAGAGGGGAAUGCUAAAGAAAAAUAAGUUGAUUCAUCAGUUAUUCAAUAUGACAAUUGCACACAAAUUUUGGAUGUUUUUAGCCUCCAUGUGAAUCAAAAUAAUUAAUAGAGACUAUCCCGCGUGUCACAUGUAACUAACUUUGGCGCCAUCUUGAGCUACUUCUGUUAAGGUCUUCACUCCAUAGUCUUAAGAACACAAUGCACAAUCAAUUCUUCAGAUUCAUAUGGCAAAUGAAUUACUCAUAAAAGAAAGAUAAAGUAAACUAUGGCCUGGUACUGUCGUUUUAUGCGUUCUAGUGGUGUUGUAGUAUAAACAGUACUCGUUUUUCUAUCUUGGUGGUUUCUUGAUUGUGUUCAAAUAUCAAUACUCGGAGACAGAUAGAGGAAAGCUAAAGAAAAAUAAGCUAAUUCAUCACUAACAUAAUAUGACAAUUGCACGCAACUUUUGGAUGUUUUUAGUCACUGAAAUUUUUAACAUUAAUGAUUAAUUACAAGUAUGUGAAUGAAAACUUAUAAACAAAUUUUGUUUACAGGAAAAAUGUAACUGUGAAAGAAAGUAAAAGAGAGCAGAGAGACUAAAACCAGAGGAUUUCAUUCGUCAUUUCAUAACUAUAUUCCUAGUGCAACUGCGCAAGGUUGAGCAUUCAAAGUCCAUAAUUCUAAAUCAAAAUCACCAACAGACACCUGUACAUGAAAUACUCAGGCCUUUACUCUGGACUUAAGACCGCAUGUCUGAGAAAUUCGUCAGAUUCAUGUAGCAAAUGAAUUGCACAAGGAGGCAUAAAAAUUAGUAUAUUUUUCAAGGACCCAGCUUGAAAGCAAUGAACUAAAAAUUAAUACAUAAAAGUUCAAUUACACGUAAAGAAGGAUAAUAGUAAACUAUGGCCUAGCAAGAUGACGGAUGAAAGAAAACCAUGGCCAGCGCCAAUACGAAUUCAACCAAAGGAUUCAUCUUAAUUGCAGAUUCAUCUUCGUCUUCUCCUCGAUUGGAUGUUAUUGCUGGAUUUUCCUAUGUUCUGGUGCAAGUCUUAUUAAUUGUUGGACCACAAAGACCGAGAUUAUAACUCUUUUCAUCAAACCUGCCAAAUUGUUUUUUGUCUGGGAUCAGACCGGACAAGUUCUUAUAUGACUCGUUAAAGUUGGAUAAAUAGUUGAUUAUUGAUCAGAAGAUCACUAAUCAGAAAAUUUUUCAUUUAUGUUUGUGUAAAUUAUUCAUAAAAGUAUGGUCUACUCUGAAAUUACAAAAAUAAACAUAAUAAAUUUGAAUAAAGGAAAGGAAAAUGAGAAGCAAAACAGAGGAAUGCUAAGGAUAAAUAAGCUGAUUCAUCAGUAACUCAAUAUGGCGAUUGCACACAACUUUUGGAUGUUUUUAGCCUCUGAAAUUUCAAUAUGAAUGAUACAUUACAAAUAUGUGAAGCAAAACUUAGAAACCAAUUUUUGCUUACAGAGAAAAUGUUAAAAAACAAAUAAUGAUAAAAGAGUGCAGAGAAACUAAAAACAGAGGAUUUCACGGAUCAUAAUUUAUAAGUGAUAUUCCUAGUGCAAGGCUGAACAUAAAUCUUAGGUGUGCGAAUCAAGAUCAUUAACGAAGAGAUCACGCGUGUCCCAUGUAACUAACUUUGGCGUGAUGUAGGAUGGUUGCAUAGAAUGAGUAGGGUAUCUUUCAAAUGUCAUAACUUGGGCUACAAGUGUAACUAACAACGACGAUGCUCAAGUUUGGUUAUCGUCGAUGACUGCGGAUUGAUGUUCGUAGCUCCUCCUAUAUCAAGGAAAUGUCAUAAUUACUUUCCAAACAUAAGAAAUACAACUAUUUUAUGUGAUAUGAUUCACAAUAAAUAUUUAUCCCAUAGCUUAUAACUCUCGAAUCCAUUAUUUGUAAAUAAAAAUUACCCUAAUACUCUCAAAACCAUCAAUUGCACCUUAUGCUCAAAAUUUCAUAUUCCAGCUCAAUAAUUAAAUUUCCAUAUCCUAUAAUACUAAUAAAUCAGCCACAUUAUCGCCAAUCUCAUUAUUAGCCAUGAACUACCCAAACAUAAUAUAUAACAAUAAGCUAUUUACAUACCGAAUUGAGGAAAUAGUGAGCGCUACACAUUUUGGCUCUAAUGCCUUGGUGCCCUUGUGCACCUAAAAUGAUCCACCAAUUACUAAAAUUAGCUUGGGACUGACUACACCCAUUUGUUGGGAACCCUAACUAUAAAUAAAGUACACUAAUCUUUGAAUUAUUUUCAUUUUCAUGUAAAUGCAAUUUCAGGUAAAGAUAAAAUGAUAGAAAUCUUACUUCAUUUGGUAAGAAAUUCAACUUGAAAGCUUGAAUCCCUUCCCUCUCACUGAAAUCCUUUCUCUACACUUCCUACAUUUAAAUUCCUCUCCAAUGAAUUUCCAAAUGAACUUAGGGAUAAAAAUACUCUAGAAUGACUCUCGAAUCCAAGUUGUGCAAGACCAAACUCAAUUUUGGAAAAAUCCUAAAUCAUGAAAAUUUUCCCAUUGUCUUCCUCUCAUGCCCGUGAGCUUUUGCAAAGCAAUGGUAAGUGCUUUCUUUUUUAAUUCGCUUUAUAUAUAAAACUUAUUUUAUUUUUUUGUUUAUGGGCUUUUGAAAUAUCCAUUUAGGCCCAAUUAAAGAAAAUUAAUUUAUAUACAUUCGUAUUCAUAAGUUAUUAUUAAUAACUUGUAUAUACAAGUCAGGGCAGUACGCAAAUUUACUGAAUACAGAGUAAAGUUGUACUUUAAUUGGUGAACUCUGAAGGCACCAAUUAUAACAUCCAUUUCUAGCAUAUAUAUAUAUAUAUAUAUAUAUAUAUCAUGGAAAUCUGACAUGCUUAUACAGAUCACAUACAGGAUUCAGAGAUGAAGGGCAGCAAAGAUUGAUAAUUUUUGUUUUCCCCAAUCACCUUGAACAGAGUGAGAAGAAACCAUUAUUUCUAUAUGUGCAGUUCUUCCAUCCUAUUGUUAUUUAAUGGUUGUUAAAUAUAUAUUUGCAACCAACAGAAACUGCAGAAGAAACAGUAAGUCUAAUUUUAACGAAACCGCUCGAAGGAACUUCAAAACAUGAGCAUAGUUUUAGAACCAAAUUAAGAAUUUUAGCAAACACAUACACUGAUACAUAGCAGUUUGCAGAAAAGCUAACGGAAUACGUAACACAGCAUGACAAGUUAUACUCGCAGACCCGUAGGAACUUACUACAAUGGCCUAGCACAAUCACCGAUAGAAUGCAUAUUUGAAGAGCCAAUAGUAGCAUGUGUCAAUACAUUCAUCAAUGAAAUAGAACCACCGUCUACGCCAAUAGGAGUUUAUCCAAAGGACUGCAAACAAACCCAAAAUAACUGUCACAAAGGACGCGCCAAAACUCCAUUUUAAUGCCACCAUAUCAAUCAUCGAAUCGUCUUCUUCUUCUUCUGCUCCUUCUGUUGGUGUUGCUGGUGGUUUUAAUGCACUGCUGCAUUUCUUCCUUAUCAAGGAACCACAAAGCUCUGCUUCUACUGUUUGAUUUAUUGAGGCAUGUGGUUCAGUGGGCGGUUGAAGAUUAAGAGUAGAAUUGUAGAAAGUAGUAGCAAUAGAAUCGAUGUAGAAACCCUGAUACGCUGUGUAUUCAUCAAGCAAACCAUAGUCAUACAAAUAAUAAUUAGUUCAUUCUCUCCAGAAUGACACGUUACCCAAGCAUGAAGGUAUUGACCCACUAAAUAUGUUAUUUGAAAGAUCCAUGAUACGUAAUUUUGCUAACUGGCACAAUUCAUUAGGAAUAUGUCCUUGUAGAGAAUUCCCUCUUAAAAGAAGAACAUGCAAAUUCGAAAGCUCAUUGAUCUGAUAAGGAAUCCUACCAAAGAAUUUAUUAUCCCUCAAAUCUAGAGUGAUUAAUUUAGAGCUUCUAAACAAUGCAUUAGGAAUUUACCCAGUAAUAGCAUUCUUCUGCAAAUAAAGGUGUUUCACUGAUGAAAGAUUAAAGGAAGAUACCAUGGUCCCAGACAAACUAUUUUCAAAGAUGUCUAUAAGCUCAAGACUUUUAAGGUGGUUGAGUUGGACUGGAAUAUUAGCUUCCAAAUAAUUUUUUGACAUUAAAAGAACCCUAAGAGUUGAGAUGUUACCAAUCCAAUUAGGAAUAUUACCGGAUAUAUCUAACCCCUCUAAUGAAGUGGAGCUCCUCAAACCAUCAUCCAUCUUCCCACUGAAAUGAUUGUUGUCAAAAAUAAAUAAUUCAAAUGGGUCAAGUUCAUAUAUUUGGGAAAAAUUCGGCCAUAGAAAUUGUUAUUUGAUAGGUCUAACAAAUCUAGAGCGACGCAACCAGAGACUAUCGGUCAGGGUAAUUCUCCCAAAAAAUUAUUUCUAGAAAAAUCCAGCAUAUAUAACUCUUUCAUCUCACCUGUUGAAUAAGGAAUAUCACCUUCAAAAAUAUUUUUUGACAUAUCCAAAUAAAUCAAUUUCUGAAGGACAAUACCCAUAUUCCGUGGUAGCUUACCAGCGAAAUUGUUAUUGGAAAUAUCUAGAUGACGAAGCAUAUCGUGUUUGGCAUUGGGAUGUAGAUGAAGAAUUCCUGAGAGUGAGUUGUUCGCCAAAGACAAAUAGUUUUAUCUUGUGUUGUUUUGGAACAACCAAAUUGGGAAAUUGCCAACCAACUUAUUAUGAGAGAGGUCAAGGAAUUUUAAGUGGUCCUGUUGUAAAAGAAAACUUGGAAUGACAUGUAACUGGCAGUCGGAUAAUUUGAGAACCUUCAAUUGAGAUGUCGGGUGCCAGCUUUCGGUUUUCACUUGUAACAUAUUGCUUCCUGAUGAGAGUAACAAGACCUCGAGCUUUGAAUGAUUAGCCAAUGAAUUUAUUGAGAAUGUUCCUCGGAAAUUAAUGGAAGAGAGAUCCAAAUAUUCAAGUGAUGUGAAGUUGGUCAAGGUAGAAGGAAAGUUUCCACUUAAUUGAUUAUUAGAAAUAUCAAGAACUUUGAGAUGGGUCAAGUUAUUGAGACACUGAGGAAGGUGACCCUCAAAGUUAUUUGAGCUCAGAUCCUACUCAAAAAGAUUCCUCAAAUUACAUAUUUCUGAACCUGAAAAUAAAAGAUCAAAAUUUUAUAGAAUGGAAACUAAUCAUAGCGAAUUCGGUCAUAAUCCAAUACAAGACUUAAAAAACAGACAAAAAUCAAAUUGCCUAAUUAUUUUGGUCAGCACAAAUAAUAAUAGAGUAAUGUGAACUUAUUUCUCAUAUAAUAUGAUGUUGAUUGCAAAUGCGUUUCAAUAAUCUGAAAAAAGGGAAAAAAAAUGCCCUCAGCACUUUUUGCUUAUCAUAACCCUAAGUCCUUGUUUAUAAUUAUAAUUUUCUGAGGAAGAAUUUGUUCACGUGAUGUUGUUCAUUGGACAAUGGUUCUGUAACCUCUAUAAUGUAAAGAGAAACUCAUAAUAUUUUAGUUGUCUUCUUAAAUAAUAAAUUGUCUUAAAAUACAAUUAAUUUGUCUUAAAUUUAAUUUAUUCCUCAGCAUUCAAGGAAAAACAAAAACAAAAAAAAAAGAAAAAGAAAAAAGAAAUGGUCUUCAUAUAUAAUUCUGUCCAAGUACUUUGAUACACAAAUCAAUCGGAAGGUGGUGUAUCAGUAAUGCAAAUAUUUAAUUAUCAUGUUUCAACAUAACAAUUCUGUGUAAAUUGUUCGCUUUAGGUUUCUAGAGAACUGUUUAUAUUAUUAUUACUACUCAAAUUCAAUGCUUCCAAGUAUUUGAAUUUAAUUAGCUAAUCCUGUAUCAAGAAUUAAUGAACAUAAGAUAAAUGUCAUAUUAAUUAGAUUUAGAUUUUUUUUUUCCAGUUUUGACGUAUAGAUAUAAAUAAUACUUCAAAAGCAUUGAAAUGUAAGAGCUAUUAAAAAAUCGUUUUUCAUUCAAAGCUAUAAUUAAUGAAAUGAAGAUAGAUAUCAUUGUUCAUUUAAAAAAAAUUAAAUUCAGAAAAAAGAAAGAGCGAAAGAAAUGAGCAGGUUAUGUUAAUAAAUAGUGAGAGAGUAUGUCAAGGACUAAAAUUUAUUAAAGAAAGCAGUGGUUCUAAUUCAAAUUUGAUCAAGUUAGAAGUAGUCAAUUAUGCAUCGAGAAUCAAAAGAAUGAAGAAUGGGAAUUCAAAAUUAGCUUAAAAAUUAUAAUAAAGUGAUUAGUUAAGAUUCAAUUAAGCUGAUUUACUAAAAAAUAUUGAAAAAUAAAAGACCACAACAUUGCCAAAAAGACUAGGAAAUUAAGUAGGAAGGGGUGAUUGUUGCGGAAUACCUUGUAGUUAUUCCACAACCACGAAGACCAAUUGCUUUCAAGUAUUGCAAAUAUGCCAAUCCUACAUCAAUAAAAAGCAAAAUGUUACUUUAAAAUUAUUGUAGAAGACUGUGAUCAUUGUGAUAGAUCGGUAAUUUCAGUAGCUUACCUAGGCUUCUUAAAGAGCCGCUUGUUAGAUUGAGGUUCCAGGUUAGAUCCAACACUUGCAAGUUUCUCAAAUCUGCUAAUCCUGCUCAGUAAACAUUAAUUUUGAUAAAAACAAUAUGCAUAAAUAUUUUAAGAGAUUAACUUGCCUGGCAUGCAUUUCUGCCUCAAACAUAUUUACCGUGCUUGAUUCUGGAACCUUCAAUGUUAUUGGAACGAAGAUUCAGAGUGGUAAGUGAAGUUAGUGUAUUCAAAUAUGGUAAUAUGUUGUCGUUGAAGAAAUUACCACCAAGAUUUAAGAUCUUCAGCUGUUUCAAACUCCCAAAGCUGUCGUAAGCUGCAAAUGCAUAUGAAUUAUUAUCAUUAAUUAGUCACUGACAAAAUAAUUAUGAAUGAGUAAGAGAUACAUAUGCUUGUACCUUUAUUCUUAUAGAAGCCUUUAAACCAAUUUAUCAGAUAAGUCAAGGCGCUGCAGUUCUUCAAAAGGGUGAAAUAAUAAUGACAUAUUCAGAAAAGAAACUCCAUAAGAAUAAGAGUUAUAAUCAGAGUAGUUGAUUUUUGUUUUCUGAUUGAGUGAGAGUUGCGUCACCCGUAGGGUGGUGGCGUUGCACUUAACUCCCUCCCAGUCGUUGCAACAAUCAGACGACAUUCCAUCAUCAUCAAACCAUGAAGAAAGAAUUUCGUCAUCAAAUCCAACAUCACUGGCUGAUAUGAAGAAGCUCUUGAUUUCCAACAGAGCAAUCCUCUUCGUUUCCACGCAUGCUUUGUAUCCAUGUAACUGAAUCAAAGCCAUGCCAAUCCACAAUGACAACUUCAUCAAAAGCAUUUUCAUUUUUAAUAUUAACUGCUAGAGAAACACUCACAAGAUUGACCUGUCAAUUGUUGCUCUCUUGAAUUUUUUCUGGUUCCAUAGCAAAUAUAUGACUUAUAUAUAUACAAUGGAAAUUUUGCGCAGAAUGAAAAUUUUGCACAUUUUCACGUGCCAUGUCAAUGAGAAAACAUGCAUGGAUAGAAAAAAGUAGGUGAGAGAAUGUUACCUGUUGAUACAUGUUAUCUGCUUGUGACUUUAGUACCGUCCAAAGAAAUUGAAAUGUGAAAUAAUUGAAGAUGCAAAUUGGUUGAUUUCACGGGCCUGGCCUCUGGCAAAGUGAAAUGUUGGCCACGCACUAUACCAGUAAAGUGUCAACAUUGUAGCAUAAGGAAAUUGCGGCAUCUCAGCUGGAUUUUGAGAGUCACUAUUUCGUAUAAUCAGUCCCAUUUGUUCGUGGGGACUCACAUUCUGUCCUAUUGUGGACUCACAAAUAUUUAACAUGAUUUUGAUAUUUUGAUAACUACUUAAACCGCAUUUCCUUGAUAAUUAAAGAAAAAGAGAAGUGAAUGAAGCAAAAGAUACUGAUGACCAUAAUUAUGUAAAUAAAUACAAGACUUUACAAUAGAUUAGACCACCAAUUUGUGCUUUUUCGUCCAAAAAUAAUGCAUCUGCUUUAACAAGAUACGAGUGAAUUGGGGCAUAUCUUUCUUUCAUAAUGUAAACUUGCCAAAAUACAUGUAAUCUGCUGGUGAAAUAAUUUUAUAAAACAAAGGCUUAAAGUUAAAGCUGACUAAAAAUAUUGGUGUACGUCAAGAACGCUACGGGGAAAAUUUAACCGCGAGCUGCAGUCUGCAGUCCCCAGCAAUCCGGGAAAAGGCUGAGGUGGUGCGGGCCUGCCCACUAAUUUGGCAGGUCUGAUGGGAUUUAUAAAUAAAAAUAAUGUAAUUUUAUAUAUUUUUUAAAUAAAAAAUUUGUUGAUGCCGUUGUGAGAUCCAUUGGAUCCAAGGUCUUGAAGAGGAAAGAUCACUAUGGCUGCAAGGUCUGGAAGAGGCAAGUCCAAUAAAGCCAAGGCUGACAAGAAGAAGAAAGAAGAGAAAGGUUUCAAUUGUUAAGCCUUAUUAUUCACUUCUUUCAUUGGAAAGUGCUUUUUGUAAAGUGCUUUUGCAGUCUAGCUUCCGUAUGUUCAUUGAUUUCUUUUGUUGUGCAGUAGUACCCAGUGUUCUUGAUAUCACAAUCAUCACCCCAUAUGAAUCACAAGUUGUUCUCAAGGUAUACAUAUAUACUUAUCAUUAAUACUUUCUCGUUUUGCCCUCACCAGCUAUUAUUAGGAUAUUAUUUUGUAAAACUUUAUAAAUAUAAAUGAAUUAUUAAUUAAUCAUCUUUUUCUUGUUUGAUUGAAAUUUGCUCGAAGGGCAUCUCCACUGACAAGAUACUUGAUGUGAAAAAAUUGUUGGCUUCCAAUGUAGAAACUUGCCACCUCACAAAUUAUUCUCUCUCUCACGAGGUAUAUAUAUAUAUAUUUUAUUAUCUCUCUUUUUUUUAAUUAUAUAAGAUUAUGAAUAAUGAUAUUAAGCACUAGAUACUAUUUUUUUCCACCUUAUUUUUAUUUGUUUAUUUCUUUAUGAUAUUAAUGCAUUAUUAGUUGUUUUUUUUUAUCAGGUCAAGGGGUAGAAAUUGAAUGAUAGAGUAGAGGUUGUUACUCUGAAGCCCUGUUUGCUCAGAAUGGUUGAAGGUAGGUGAAGCUCUCUCGUGUCAAAAUUUCUGAAUUAAAAAGUCUCAUGCAUGUGGAUGUGGGUCUCAUCUUAUUUGUUAUUUUUAAGAGUUCUGCUAUUUACCUCGGGUUAAACCCCGAAAGCUAAAACAAAACGACGUCGUUUCCUCUUCUUCAUGAAACGCUACCGUUUCACCCUAGCAAAAGCAAACGUUCCUCUCCUCUUCAUUUUCGUCUUCCUCUCCUGACUCCUCUUCGUUUCACCAGGGAACGACAUUCGUUUUGUUCGUUUUGUUUAAGAUCCAAAUCAAAGAAAUUUCCUUUUAAACAAAUCUGCCAUUUGUUUUCUCCUUUGAAAUUUCCUCUUAAAAAAUCUGCCAUUCGCGCAGGCAUGGUCACCGUCAACGUGGCAGGCAUCACGCGCAUCUCUCAUUGAACUCAUGAAGCGUCACAGUUAUCACAGCCGCAGGUAAUGCUUUGAUCUUUAGCUUUUCUAGGUUACGGUAAAAUGGGGGCAAUUUUGAUAGCUAUCAUCAUUUCCGUUUUAUUUAAUUUUCAGUUGAAAUAGAAUGUUAAGGAAAUAAGUGUGUUAAAUUGCAAUUGGUUUGUAAUUUAUGCUAAAUUGGUCUGCAAUUUGUGCUUGAGUUGGUCUGCAAUUUGUGCUUGAAUUGGUUUGCAUUUGUGCUGAAUUGGUCAGGAAUUUGUGCUGAAUUGGUCUGCAAUUUGUGCUGAAUUGGUCUGUAAUUUGUGCAGAAUUGGUCUGUAAUUUGUGCUUGAAUUGGUCUGCAAUUUGUGCUUAAAUUGGUCUGGAAUCACCAAAUAGUCCAGAAUUGUUGAUGUAACUUUUACAACUCUUAUAAAUAAUAGAAAGCAAGUUAAUUAGAAGCACCAAAAUAGUUCAGAAUCACCAAAAUAGAAGCACUAAAAUAGUCCAAAAUUGUUGAUUUUGUGGACACACACAGACACACACACAGGGAGAGAGAGACACGCACAGAGAGAGAGAGAGAGAGAGAGAGAGAGACACACACACACACACACACACACUGACACACACACACAGACACACACACAAAGAGACACACAAACACAGACACAGACACACACAUACACACAGCUUUGUUCAGCCCACUUUAGUAGCAAAUUCAAAUACCAAGAAACUGAGUUGGCCUUAUAAAACAUUGUUCUGGUUUUCUUUUCAUUAUUAACUGUAAUUGUAUCCCUUUUUGAGCUGUUUCUUUCCAACGGUCUAUGGCUUUACAAAUAAUGUCAUCCAACACAACCGAGAAUUGAAUCUCAUUGCAAAUGUGUAAUGGAUGUGGUGAUCAGAUGGAGCUGUUAACGUCACGCACAACAAAAAAUCCAAAUUGCAAAUUUUGGAUUUGUAGAGGAUGUAACAACUUUCAAUGGGCAGAAGAUCGUAAAUCUAGCGAAGAGAAAAUAGACUUGUUAGCGGAUGAGGUUAGGAAGUUGGCCUUGGAGAUUGAGUGUUUGUCCGUUAAAUUUCAACUAUUGCAUAAAGAACUUGAGCAUAUGUGAGAUCGUGAAGUGCAGAGGCGAUUGUUGGACGAUGAACUUCGAAAGAGAGAGGCACUACGAUAUGAUUUUAUUAAAUUAAUCAUGAUUGUUGUAUUAUGUUUUCUAUUCAAGUAUUGUUUUUAAGUUGUUUCAAUUUGUACUAUGUUACUGGAAAAGACUUGUAUUGUAGAAUUUGACCACUAUAUGUAAUAGCAUUUUCAUGUUAAAUAUAAGUUUUCGAUUGUUUGAAUUAAUUCAAAGUAUUCUGAAUUUAGAAUUUGACCCCCAGAAUACUUCUCAAAAUUAUACUAUGUCCCAACUCAUUCCAAUAUGUUCCAAAUAGAUCCAUUUUCAGAAUUUACAAAGUCUAAAAUUUAAAAAAUAUCGAAAUACACAUACACCAAGUUACAUUAGCUUUACAAUAAUACAUAAAACAUAAGCUAACUUUGUUGAUUCGUCAAGCCAAUUCCAAUGAACUUCGAUCAUGUGCUUGGUUCAUUAGUUGAAAACUCCCCUCGAUUGGCCUCCUCGAAAUUUUGUUGCGGAAAAUAUUGCAAGUUUGCGUGAUGGACUCCGCUGUAAUUCAUCCAAGACUGAUAAUAAGGGAGGAAAAAUGCAUGUUCUAGGGGUGCUUGCUGUGCUAGCUGUUAUACAAAAAAAAAAAAUUAUAUACAAAUUAUCAAACAUAUGACAAUGAAUGUAAAUAGCAAAAAAAAAAAAAUAUUACCAUAGCCAUAUGGCUCUCUUGUGUUGGGAUUGUAGUAGCCACUUGAGAAGAAAAAUCAUGUAUCUCCGAGUCCUAGAAAUAUGGUUAACACACAUUUAAAGUAUAUAUUAAAUUUAUUUAAAAUGAAUGUAUUAAAUAUAAAUGCAAUCAACAUACAUUUAAAGUAUACAUUAAAUUAAUUUAAAAUGAAUGUAUUAAAGUAAUUACCUCUACAGUUGUGCUUGUCGAAGCAUUAUUCGACUUCUGUUUUGGCCUCUUAAAUUGCUUUUGCUUUCUUUGACUAGGUGGACGAUCUUUACGCCGAGUUACUACUGGAUCAUAUAUAAUUUUGAUACAGCUUCCUGAUCCACUAUAAAUGGUUGUAUCGUGACCGUCACUUCGAACAUUCAGAGAUACAUCCUCCAUUGCUUUCUCGAUCCAACCCAUAAUAUUUUUAUGGCUUUCUUCAUUUUUUGAAGUUACCUCAGCAACAUCAUAAAAAUCAGUGCACUCCUCUUUAUAUCGCUGAUGUUCAAUGCUCGAACUUCGUGCAUCAUAAUUGACUUUGACUUUACUAUAGAAUCUCCGCACAUCUUUCCUCUAUCUUCGUAGAAUAUACUUUUCAGGCAGUAAUUGUAUACGGUUACGUGACAACACUGCGAUGGCGUGUCUGCAAAGAAUGCCCUUAUAUUCAAACAUUGAACACACACAAUGAACUUCACCCUCAUCUUUUGCAAAAAUGACUUGAAAAGUAUUUUCUCUACUAUUUUCAUCGUUUUCAAUAACUUCAUAUUCUAAUCCACCACAACUGAAAACCUCACAAUAUAUCUUAUUCACCAGCUCUUGCUGAAAUUCUUGAAACUUGGAAAUAGUGUACACUUCUUCAACUUGCUUCUCCAUUGCAAAACUGGUACGACAUGGCAUCCGUUGGCUAAAACACCUAACAUCCGCUUGCCAUUCUUUCUCAAUUUUACUUUCCAUUGCUUUCUCAUAUUUCUCCACAAAUUGCUUCAAAGUUGUUUUCGAGUUAACAUACCCAUCAAAGAAAGCAUUCAUACUUUCACUACGCUGAGUGGUUGGCAUUCCAGCCCAAAAAGAAGUUUUUACGAAACAUGGAACCCAACGAUUUCUUUCCUCAUAUAAACCAUUUAACCACUGAUUACUAAGAUCAUAUUUAUCUAACAUGUCAUGCCAAGCUUUCUCGAAUUCAACAGGAGUAUAUGAAUCAUAAACAAUAGAAUGUAAUGAAACUCUAAUGGCAUGAUAUUCAACAUACCUUCCUAACUUCUCAGGCACCUUUUUCAGUAUAUGCCAUAAACACCAUCGGUGCCUAGUGUUUGGAAAAACAAUCUCAAUCGCAUUUUUCAUCUCUUUGUCUUGAUCUGUAAUGAUUCCAAGGGGAGGAGAGCCAGACAUGCAUGAUAGCCAUGUGUCAAAUAUCCACGAAAAUGUCUCCGUGUCCUCAUGCGAAAUCAACCCACAUCCUAACAAAAUUGAUUGACCAUGAUGAUUAAUUCCUACAAAAGGAGCAAAUGACAUGUCAUACUUGUUUGUAAGGUAUGUGGUAUCAAAUGUGACCAUAUCUCCAAAGUUUUUAUAGGCUGCCUUACUCCUUGGAUCGGCCCAAUAUACAUUUUUUAACCGGCCCUCCUUAUUUAGGUCAAGACUGAAGAAAAACCCAUCAUUUUCUGUUUGCAUUUUCUUAAAAUGUCUCUGAAUUGCAACAACAUCCCCUUCUCCGAGCCUUAAUCGCCUCACCUUGUCAAUAUGAUUUCUAGCAUCUUUUUCUAAGAAUGAGACAUUUUCAAAGCCACCAGCCUCAACAACAAUCGACUUAAAACUUUGAGCCAUUUUAAUUCCAGCUUCAUCAUUUAUUUCAAGCUGCUUUUUAACAAAAGGACUAAUGGUACGGUUGCAUCGAUAAUACCUACUCUUGCUCGGACUCACGGCACGGUUGUGUUCAAGGAUCAUAUUUCCAAUUACCCAUUUUCUACUAACAAAAUCCAAACGUCCUCCAAGUUUAGCAUUGCAUUCAAUUUUUUGGUUUGGUUGAAGCCGCAAAACAUUAGUGCUUUUGGCUUUUGAAUUGCCAUUUCGCCCACAAGUAAAUGUCACAUAUCUCAAACUCCCAUCAUCCCCUUUUCUACAAGAUCUCCACAUCACUGGAAACCCCUCUUAUAGGCCAUAAGCCUUAUAAUAUUCAAACAUUUCAUCAGAACUAUUAAAAGACAUCCCAACUGCUGGCUCAACAACUUUUUCCACCACCAAUUCCUCAUUAUUUUCUUCCAAAUCAGCCCCCUGCAAAUCCUGCAAUUCUUUAACUUCAUCAACCUCCUCCACUUACUUCAAAUUAUCCAUUAACUGCUGCAAAUUAAAACAAUUCAAUAUAUUAUUAUUUAUUUUUCGUGAAUUCAUUAAAUUUAGAAUAAAAAAAUUAAAAACAAAAUGAAACAACUACUGAAGAUUCAAAUUUAAACAAUUCAAGCUUGUUGUAAAAGCAUCGCAAUUGGAAACUGAAAAUGUCAAAUAACGGCAAGCCGCAAAACAUUAACUAAUAGAAGUCCGUAGGCAUAAUUAAUACUCAAAUAACUUCAAAGUGUGGUUGAGCCAGACUAAGUUUAACUUAUAGCUAGCUCAAGCGAAAAUAUUGUAGGUCUUACAUGCGCAUGAGCGAAUUCCAACAAAAACAAGUUCAUGACUUACCACAAACUCAAACGUUAAUUCAUGUUGAUGCUAUCUCCAACUUAUCUAUUUAGGUUACGAACUAUAUUCUCAGCAGGGGUUAAAUUAUCUUCUCGAUUGAAUAUAAAGAAGAGAACAUUUGUAUACUCAAAUAUCUUCGUAAUCGAAAAUGAGAUAGAAAUUCGAAAACAAAGUUUAAUACAAACAUGACAACAAAAAUGAGUCAAAAAUUCGUAGUCGAAACUGAAACUUCGAAAAUUUGAAGAUUCGAAAACAAAAUGCUGCCAAAAGAAAACAGUACCUUAGCUUGUGCAAAGCCACGUAUAAUCGAAACUGGAAUCUGUAAAUGCCGAAACUUAGUCUUAUGUCAGAAAAAUUUAACAGCUGCUGUUAAUGCCGAUGAGGUUAGGAAUCAUGGACAAUGUCGAGACUCUAUCUUGUUCAAGCUUCUGCUUUUGCCUUGUUUGAGCCAAAUCUUAUCACCUUCGAGGAAUAUAAGAGCUUAAAGAUUUUGCAUUUCACUCGGGUGUGGUGAAUCGAAGAGGAAGAGCUUAAAGAUUUUGCGUUUUUCUCAGUUCAUAAAGUAGCUGUUUCUUUGCGUUUUUUCUGCUUUAGUUGGUUUUGUUUUUACUAGGCUGAAACGACUACGUUUCAUGGAAGCAAAAAGGAAAAAAAAAAGAAAGAAACCAAAACGGCAUCGUUUUGGUUUAAUUCGGGGUUUGACGCGGGGAAAGUAGCAUUUUCCUAUUUUUAAUUGUUAACAUUUAGAUCUUUUUAGUUCUACAUCCAUAGCCAAACUAUUUUAAGUAAACUAUAUUCAUUUUAUUGUAUGUUUUUUAAGAAUUUUUUAAUUCGAAAUAAUUUUUUUAAUAUUGUUGAAAAAGACAGGUUAAAGUAAAAAAAUUAUUGACUAAAUAAAUAAAUAAAUGACAUUAUUUUAUUUUUUAACAUUAAAAAAAACCAAUUUGAUGCAGUCCACUUAGUCCUGCACACUUGGAACGUUACCAUGCUUUUUAGUGCUGUACAUUUUGGACUCAAUUGUCCUUGUCAUUUCAAGUAAAAGUUGAAGCCGUCUCAAAAGUAAAAUAAUAGGGUCCGCCUAAGUUACAUUUAACGUAACUUACGGCUGACCCGCAAAAUAUCAUUAAUCCCCCUAUACUCUAUGUUAUUUACAAUAUAUUUAUAAGUAUUAUAAAAUUUUCUGUAUUGUAAAAUUUCGUUGAACCUCUUGUACUCUGUUUUAUUUUAAUGAAACUCUUGGAGUACGAAUUUGCCCCCUAUAAUUUUAAAUUCCCAAAAUACCCUACAGUUAAUUAAAAAUAUAAUAAUAAUUAAAUAAAUUAUAAUUAUAAUAAUUAUUUUAUUAUAAUUAUAAUAAUUAUUUUAUUAUAAUUAUAAUAAUUAUUUUAUUAUAAUUAUAAUAAUUAUUUUAUUAUUUUAUUAUAAUUAUAAUAAUUAUUUUAUUAUAAUUAUAAUAAUUAUUUUAUUAUAAUUAUAAUUUUUUAAUGGAUUAUUAUUAUUAUUAUUAACAAGAAUAAAAAGUAUUAUAACUAAUUAAUUUUUAGUUAAAAUGUUAAUAAUAACAUUAACAAUAACUAUUAUUGAUAAUUAAUUUUUGAAUAAUAAUAACAGUAACAAUAACAAUAAUUAAAAUACAAAAGAAUAAUUAUGAUAAAAAUUAAUGAAGGAUUUUAUAAUAAUUUGUUACAAUUUAAUUUAUUCUGAUUUUGAUUUUAAGACAAAGUAAACAAAUAAAUGGUAAUACAGCUCAUUCUAAUUAUGAUUCAUGCCGUUCAAAUAAAUAAAUUAUUAUGAUUCCAAUUCUUUAUUUGGAUUCUAGAUAUGUCGAUUCUAACUUAUUAUGUUUUCAGUAAAUUUUGAUUUAUGUUUAGUGAAUGCACUAUAAAAUUCAUAAUACUUAUAAAAAAUUGUAAAUAAUAUAGAGUGGUCUAAUUGAAUAUAAAGUGAUUUACAAUUUUAUAGUGCAUUCACUAAAAAUGAAUCGAAAUUAGUUGGAAACAUAAUGAGUUAAAAUUGGAUUAGCUAGAAUUAAAAUGAAAAAUUGAAAUCAGAAUAAUUUAUUUACUUGAACUGCAUGAAUCCUAAUUAGAAUAAACUGUAUUACCAUUUAUGUGUUUACUUUGUCUUAGAAUCAAUAUCGAAAUGAGUUAAAUUGUAACAAAUUACUAUAAAAUUCUUAAUUAAUUUAUUAUAAUUAUUACUUUGUAUUUUAAUUAUUGUUAUUGUUAUUAUUCGUCAAAAAUUAAUUAUUAAUAGUAAUUAUUGUUAAUUAUUAUUAUUGAUAUUUUAACUAAAAAUUAUUGUUAAUUAUUGUUAAUAGAUUAAUUAAUUAUAAUACUUUUUAUUGUUGUUGUUAAUAAUAAUAAUAAUCCAUUUAAAAAUUAUAAUUUUAUUUAUAAUUAUAAUAAAAUAAUUAUUAUAAUUAUAAUUUAUUUAAUAAGUAUUAUAUUUUUAAUUAAAUGUAGGGUAUUUUGAGAACUUAAAAUUAUAGGGGGCAAAUUCAUACUCCAAGAGUUUCAUUAAAAUAAAACAGAGUACAAGAGGUUCAACGAAAUUUUACAAUACAGAAAAUUUUAUAAUAUUUAUAAAUAAAUUGUAAAUAAUAUAGAGUAUAGAGGGAUUAAUGAUAUUUUGCGAGUGUUGGGUUAAAUGUAACUGAUCCAAAAUAAUAAUGUGCAAUUAAGUAACUGGCCUAAACUUUAGAAAUUUCAGAAGUUACAGUAUACGCAGGUCACAUCUAGGACCAUUAUUAGUUUAAUCAUUAAAUGACAAAAUUUUGCCAAUCUUGAGGGGGCUACUUAAAAAUGCAAGCAUCUCGUCCCUUGCCUGCUUCAUAGAUGCUCUUACUCACCCCCCCCGUCAUCUCACUUGUGCAAACCAAAGAAAAAAGAAAGAUUAUUAUUUUCCAUUUAUUACACAAAAAACAAUAAUUCCUUUUUAUUGCUCCAUGUUUAUUAUUUUAUUCUAUUUCUCCAGAAUCUCUCUUUAUCAAUUAAAUUUAUGAUAUAGAUAUUGAAGAUUUGCUUAAAUCAGAAAACUUGUUCAUAUUUCUGGUCAAUAUAAUACAUCCCUUAAAAGGUAAAAAUAGGGAAAAAAAAAAACAAGAAUGAUGAUUUUUUUUUUUUUUUUGGUUUUGACUGUUCUAGACAAUAAAGAAAUAUUUUGAAAGGGUCGGAGAUUACAAUGAAUCUAUACACUUGUGGAAAUAUUUUUAAGGCAUAAAUAAGUGCAACUUGAGAGCAUUUUGUUUUUUGUUCCACUAUAUAUUUUUAUACAACUGCCGCCUUAGAUUGGGUGCAUCACUUCAUUAUAUAAUCAGUAAAAAUUAAUUAUAUAAAUGGAAUCAUUCUCUAUUACAAUUAUUCGACUUCAUGAAGUAACAACUGAUGUUUUUUACCACAUUGUCAAAAGAGUUCAACUUUUAUUUGAGAAUACACCAUAUAAAAGAAAAAGAAAAAAAUAAAAACAAGAGUACACCAUAGAAAAGAAAAAAAUAAAACAAGUUUUAGAAUUAGUAGAUUAGAAUUGUUAUAAGAAAGAGUUGUCCCUAUAACUUCAAUAAGCUAGCCAUGUUUCUGAAGUUUGUUUUACUACCCUUACCAAACUUUUUCUAGUUGAUAUUAAUAACUUUAGUUUAGUAAACAGAAGCAAGAAGGUUAGAAUUAAUAACUUUAUCGUGAAUAAUUAAUAUGAUUACAGUUUAAUAAAAUUAUAUGUAAAGGCUUAUUUAAAGAGCGAAAAUUUUAUUUUUUUAUCAUUCUUUAGUGCUUAUAAUUAUAAUUUAAUCUAGAAGUAUUUUAAUUGUAAAAAUUAUUUAAAAAAAUAAGUUUGACGAAUAGUUUAGAGCUUAUAAUUAUUUUCUACUUAUAAUUAAGUUAAUAUUUAAUAGAAAGAACUAAAAUAAUAAAAGCAAAAACCUUUUCCGGCAAUUCCUUGUUAUUUACAUUUUUGGCACUGUCCUUGACAGAGGACUACACCGAGGAAUCUCAGGCCGUGGCACACGUGCGGCGGCUUCUCGACAUCGUCGCGUGCACCACACGGUUCUCCAAGUCCAGAAACUCCCGAUUGCCGCCAUCGUCAGAGUCAUGUGCCAAAAAGAACGACAGUAGGCCCCACCAACCUUCACCAAACUCUGCCGCUCUGUCUGAUGGAGCAGCAACAGCAGCAGCAGAUAACCGAAGCGGGCCCCGCGCCACGUCAUCGCCAAUUUCAUCGGCGGUUUCUCCGAGUCUGGACAUGGCAGCCAUUCACCCGACGCCGAAACUCUCCGAGUUUUACGACUUCUUCUCUUUCUCUCACCUCACUCCCCCCGUCUUAAGUAAGCCUAAUGUUCAUUUAUAUAUUUGUCUUCGUUUCUUACAUGGUUGAUCAAAAAAAAAAAAAAAAGAAAAGAAAGAGGAAAAUGAUAUAAAUAUAUGUGAUUUAUUUGAAUAUGAAAUUUGUUUAUUGAUUUUAAUUUUUAAUAAUUUUGAUUUUGAAGAUUUGAGAAAAUGUGAACGCAAAGAAGGAGACAAGCGCGACAGUGAUUAUUUUGAAAUUCAGGUGCCAUUUAAUAUAAAGUUCUGAUUAUUGUUGUUUGUUGUUUAUGGACUAAUUAAUUGUAGAGUUAUUCAACUCGUUAUUUUUGCUGAUGAAUUGGCCAAUGAGUGUUAAAGAUUUAAUAAUCAUUGUCCGCUAAUUAAUAAGAAUGCAUGGAUUAUUUUCAUGUCUUUGUAAGUAAUGUGAGUAUUUGAAAGUGCGGGAAACUGUAUUUUGUGCUUACAGAUAAAAAUCUGCAAUGGAAAGCUUAUACAAGUAGUUGCAUCAGUAAAAGGGUUCUAUACUUUGGGAAAGCAGUUUUUCCAAAGCAACUCCCUGGUGGAUCUUCUGCAAAAUCUCAGUCGAGCUUUUGCCAAUGUGGGUACUCAAUAGUUGAAUCUACAGAUUAUUUUUUUCUUUUUUAUCUGAAUGCAUCUUUUUUUCCUUUGUAAAUUCAAUUAGCUUACCCUUCAAUUGUUUUGUUAAUAAUUAUGGUCAUUAUGCGUGAUGCAGGCAUAUGAAUCCUUAAUGAAAGCUUUUGUUGAACAUAAUAAGGUUACAAUUUCUGUGCUGACAUAGUUUAUUACCAAUUCAAAUGUGAUUUUAACUUGAUUUUACUGAUAUAGUAUAUUCAUUAUCCUUCUUCAGUUUGGUAAUCUUCCCUAUGGAUUUCGAGCUAAUACAUGGCUUGUACCUCCAUCUGUUGCUGAGUCUCCAUCAAAUUUCCCUUGCCUACCGGCAGAAGAUGAGAAUUGGGGUGGCAAUGGCGGAGGCCAGGGAAGAGAUGGAGAACAUGAUUUACGACCAUGGGCGACGGAAUUUGCUAUACUGGCUAGGCUUCCUUGCAAAACUGAAGAGGAGAGGGUGGUUAGAGAUCGGAAGGCCUUUUUGCUUCAUAACCAAUUUGUUGAUGUCUCAAUUUUUAAAGCUGUUGGAGCAAUACGCCGUCUCAUUGAUUCAAAUUUACACACUCAAGAUACAAUAAAGGGGGCAAUCUUGCAUGAAGAUCGUGUGGGAGACUUGUCCAUUACAGUAAAACGUGAUACAGUAGAUGCAAACUUGAAGUCUGAGGUUACUAUUAAAGGAAAUCAGUUAUCUGGUAUGUCUACUGCAGAAGUUGCUCAAAGGAAUUUACUAAAAGGUGUUACUGCAGAUGAGAGUGUAGUUGUUCACGUAAGUCGAUUUCUCCUUUACUUCUUACGCUUACGUUCACAGACCACACACAUAAAAGACAUUCAUCAAAGCUGAAAUUACUUACGUGGGCGGAAUAAUAUAGCUCCGGAAUAAUAUAGCUCUACCUUUGUCAGGGAGUGAUUUUUCUGUCGGAUUAAGAUGUUUCACUCUUUAUCUGAUAUCUAGCAUUUGAUGAUGGCCUAAAAUACCCAUCCUCUUCAUUCUCUCUUUCUACACAUUUAUGAAUGCACAAGAAAGUCAAUUUUAGUUUCUUUCCUAAGAAUCACUACUUGUUACUAACCUUAUAUAUCUGGUUUAGCUUCAUGAAUCUUUUGUUGCCAUUCUGUUUGGUGACUCCCUAUUCUGUUGAAAUCACUUGAUAGCAGGUCUUUCUACCCAUUAUCCAUAUCCCUCUGAUUUUCUACUUGUAGUUUGCGCCAGCUUAAUGUCAUCAACCCUUUUUGGGGAAGCCUAUUAACCUUGGUUGGGCAUGCUUGUAUUAUAUCAACUAGUGAUACAAUUGCUAAAGUUUUCAGCAUGGUAGAUCUUGAAAUAAAAUUUUCUUGAAAUAUCUAGAUUUAUCUUCCUUUUCUUUUUCUCUUUCUUUUAUUUUAGUUUCAAAGAUUUUGUUAUAAAGAGAACUGAACAAUAUAGUUUUUGGCAGGAUACCUCCUCAUUGGGUACCGUCAUUGUAAGACACUGUGGAUACACCGCCGUAGUAAAGGUUGUUGGUGAUGUGACGGAGAAGUUUGGCACACAAGAUAUUGAAAUUGAAGAUCAACCUGAUGGAGGAGCUAAUUCUCUUAAUAUUAACAGGUCUGAAAUUGUAACACAAUGCUUCCUCUGUCGAUUCCUCUUAGCACACAAAGACUAGGAAAUCUACAGAUGGAGAAUGGCUGUAAGAUAUGAAAAAUUAUCUUUCAACCACUAACCGUUUUAAGCUAUUCUGCAAGAUAUCUUAGAAAUGCUAACUGGUAUGAGCUUCUUUGCUUAGUGUCUAUCACAGUUGAAUUCAUGAUGCAGAGCAUUGUUAUUCUCCUUAUUUUUACCAGAUAGAACAGGAUUGAAACGGUGGUGUUGGGGAUUCUUAAGAAAGGAUAGCACCUGCUCCUUUUUCUUUCUGUUUAGAUGGGAUCUAAUCAGUAGAUGUCUGAACUCUUAAGGGGAUUUGAUGUCAGAUUUCUAAACCAGGUUUUCUUCAAGUGUUAAGUUUAUGAAUAGGCCAAAGAAAAGAAAGCUGAUAUCUAGUUAGGGAUAUGUACUCCUCUUUCAGCAUCCUAUGGACCAGAAAAUGGCUUUUCCUCCAUUAAAAUAUGUGUGAGAUUCUUCACUGUAUGGGGAUGCUUCACCUCUGCAUAGUUGUAGACCACCUAAAAAAUAACGAGUGGUUGCAGGAAACAUUAAGUCAUGGCUUUCACAAUAAUGGUGGAGUGUUUAUAGUUAUGUGCCUUGACAUUGGUUUGUAAUUGUUAUAUUAACAAAAUAACCAACAGACAUCGUUGAUGAUGUUCAAAUAAAGGAUAAAGGAAAGUAUAAUUACAGUGGAUGCUCAGUUGCUGAAAUAGGUCAUCAGCUUUUUGGAUUGUGCUAUUUCAGAAAGUAUUUAGACCUUCUUUGGUGGAUUCUGCCUUUGUUUCAUAUACUCUUAUAUCUUUCUCCAUUUAAGUUGUUCUGACAGGGUAAACUAUUUAUUGCAGCUUAAGGCUUGUACUUCAGAAGUCUUUCAGUGCUGAAUCAGCUAGAGGAGACCAGUCACCUCUGUGCAAUUUGGAUAAUUCAGAAGCUCUUAGAAGUCUUGUACGAAGAGUUAUUAAACAGAGUUUAGCAAAGCUAGAGCUGGAGCCAACUGCGUCAGAAAGAUCUAUUAGAUGGGAACUUGGUUCUUGUUGGGUGCAACAUCUACAAAAGCAGGAAACCCCAACAGAUAUCAAGUCAACGACGUCUGGGGAUGAUAUUGAGACUGAACAUGCUGUCAAAGGUCUUGGGAAGCAAUUUAAAUUUUUGAAGAAGAGGGAGAACAGACCUAACCUUGUUGGUAGCAAUUAUGAGGCUAACGAAGAUGACAAUGGACCGUGCAGCAUGAAUGUGGGAACUAAUGGCAGACAGCAAAGCAAUGGCGAGCUCAAUUGUGAGAUGGAAUUGAAAAAACUAAUUUCUGAAGAAUCCUUCUUGCGAUUGAAAGAAACUGGCACUGGCCUUCAUUCAAAGGUUGCAAAAUCUCAAAUUUGUUUUGUAUUUCAACUGUAAAGUUUGCUACUUUUUGUGUUUUCAUUAUGGUAAAUUUGGUUUGUUUUAUUUUCAUAAGGAAUGACUGGUAAAAUCAAUUUCUUGUGCAGGCAGUGGAUGAGCUUAUGAAAAUGACAUACAAAUAUUAUGAUGACAUUGCUUUACCAAAGCUGGUACUAUUUAAUUUAUUUAGGGCCUUUGUUGCAGCCAAUUUAGACGUGUGGGGAUGGUUUAUGGACUAAUUUGCAUUCUUUAUUAGGUAACAGACUUUGGAUCACUUGAACUUUCUCCGGUUGAUGGCCGCACACUGACAGACUUUAUGCAUUUAAGGGGACUACAAAUGCGCUCUUUAGGUCGCGUGGUGAGGAAUUUCUCCCUCUCUUUCUCUCUCAGACAUGCAACCUAUUCACCCGUGGAAAUCGGAAUAAACAAAUGUUGUCUUUCUUUAUGUAAACAAAACCCCUAAGUUAUCUUUCUAUAUGUAAACAAUCUCCCCAAGUCUUCCUGGAUUGAAUUAUCAAUGUUCCUUUUUGAAAAUUGUACUACAUGAUAGAAUUUUUGACAUGGUGAACUUUUCCAAGAUAUUGAAUUAUUGUCGUCUUUAGAUAUUACUGUAUGUUGUGUGACAUACAAUAUUUUGAGAAAUUGACAUGCUAAUACUUGAAAGCCUGGUAUUCUUCUUCUGUUGGUUCUAAUCCCAUUUACAAAUUCAGGUUGAACUUGCAGAGAAGCUUCCUCACAUACAAUCACUUUGUAUUCAUGAGAUGGUUACUCGAGCGUUCAAGCAUGUACUUAAAGGAGUCAUCGCAUCCGUUGACUAUUUAUCAGACCUAUCUGCAGCUAUAGCUUCUUCCCUAAAUUUCUUAUUUGGCUGUUGUGAGAUGGAAGAUGACCAAAGCUUGAAUGAAGAUCAUAUCCUUAGAUUGCAGUGGCUACGAACAUUUCUUGGCAGAAGAUUUGGUUGGUCCCUGAAAGACGAGUUUCAGCAUUUGAGAAAGAUUUCAAUUCUACGUGGGCUUUGCCAUAAGGUAAGGUACUGUCUUUUCGGUUCCUUUGGCAGCGGAUUAUUUUCAAAGCUUGAAUUUUGCUUGUAAACUUUACCCAGGUUGGGUUGGAGUUGGUUCCAAGAGAUUAUGAUAUGGAAUGUCCAAACCCAUUCACGAGAGAUGAUAUUGUCAGCAUGGUUCCUGUGUGCAAGGUGAGACUAUUUUCUCUCUUAAUUGUGUUUUGAUUUAGUUUUUACAUUCUCAAUGAGUCACUCAUUUGUAAAUUGAAUGUAAUUGUGCUAUUUUUAUGGCAUUCUACAGCAUGUAGGUUGCACUUCAGCUGAUGGACGGACUUUAUUAGAGUCAUCCAAAAUUGCCCUUGAUAAAGGAAAACUAGAAGAUGCUGUAAAUUAUGGGACAAAGGUAAUAACCCACUCGAUCUAUACGUAAGAAUUACAUUAUUCUUUUCAUAAUAAGGCAUCUGUUGAUCUCAUAUGAUGUAUUACUUGCAUUGUAAGGCACUGGCAAGGAUGAUAGCUGUUUGUGGUCCCUACCAUCGGACUACUGCAAGUGCUUACAGUCUUCUAGCUGUAGUUCUCUACCAUACUGGAGACUUUAAUCAGGUACGACAAUCUUCAGUUGUAUUUCAGUGUUAACUUGGUGAUUCUAAGUCGAGUAUAAUUAUAACGUCCUUCUGUACGGAGAUUCUCAUUCAGUGGGACAUUUGAUUUGAAACUGUGUUAUGGCUAGUUUUUAUGGUCUUGUAUAAAGAUAUGCAUUAGAAAUUAUAAUUUUCUGGACUUAGGAAUUACAUGGACAGGCAUUAGCAUAAUUUUGAUAUCAGAUUAUAUAUUUUAACUAAAUCAAACACAUUCAUGGUUCUUAUGUUCUGGCAUUUGGUCUAAUGGCAUCUGCGUCUGAGUGUUAGAGUAGCGUUCGUAUGUACUCAAGAUAUCUUCUUCUUCAUUUUAGGCAACUAUAUAUCAGCAGAAGGCAUUGGAUAUUAAUGAGAGGGAACUUGGUCUUGACCAUCCAGAUACAAUGAAAAGCUAUGGGGAUCUUUCAGUUUUCUAUUAUCGCCUUCAACACAUUGAAUUGGCUCUUAAGUAAGUAGCACUGCUUGAUUUACCAGAGCAACUUUGUGAUUUUCAUUCUUUAACUGAUUAAGGUUUAUUUAUUCAUAAAUUAAAUUGGAAGUUUCGAAAAAUGUGACCUUUGUAUUGAAUGUGCUUCGAACGAAUGCAGUUUUUAUCUACCUACUUUAGCUUUUAUUUGUCUUUUAUUGGCUCUAGCUCCUGAUCAUACCGUACCAUUGGCAGAUAUGUAAAUCGUGCCUUAUUCCUUUUGCAUUUUACUUGUGGACUUUCACAUCCAAACACGGCUGCAACAUACAUAAAUGUGGCUAUGAUGGAAGAGGGCAUGGGAAAUGUUCAUCUUUCUCUUAGAUAUUUGCAUGAAGCCCUUAAAUGCAACCAAAGACUAUUAGGAGGUGACCAUAUACAGGUUUUUCUCUCUCUAUUUACGCAUGUAUACACACUCUUUAGAAUUAUAAAUCUUUCUGUUAACUCAGAAUUUUGUUUGAUUUCUUCACGUGACAGACAGCUGCAAGUUAUCAUGCCAUAGCCAUAGCUCUUUCUUUGAUGGAGGCAUAUUCACUAAGUGUGCAACAUGAGCAAACUACACUUAAGAUUCUCCAAGCAAAGCUUGGACUAGAAGAUCUGCGUACUCAGGUGACUACAUGUAGUCAUAUUUUAAUUGGUUCUGUUGUGCAAUUUGGCUAGUUGGCUUCUUUCUUGUCAAUCUUUUACAGGUGAUAUUAUGAUAUAAAACAAAUUGUAUUGGAGGCAUAUUUUUGGUGUCAAAUAUGGAUAUGACUCAUUCAUUAAUUGUAUCGAAAUAUCAAAAUACGGAUAUGACCCGUUUAUUAAUCGUGUUGACUUGUUUAAUAUUAAAUACAAACAAAUUAAAAAUUAAUUUUAAAAUAACAAAUGUGUCAAAAAAAUGAGUUAUAAAUAAGUUAAAAUGACAUAAGUAUGACAUGAAUAAGUUUAUAACAUAAUGUGAGUAUGACAUGAGUCAUAAAUUUAGUGUUUAGUAUAUAUUUUAGUUAUUUUUUCCAAUAAUAUUAACACAUAAUAAUUGAUAUUUGUGUUAUAAACGUAUAAUCAUAUUGAGAUGGUCCAAAACAGAUACGACAUGGUUAUUUAUCGUGUUGUGUCAACUCAUUUAUUAAUCGUGUCAAUAUUUGUCAACACGAAUAUGGGUCAUAUGUCAUAUUAUGUUGUGUAAUCGUGUCGUAAUCCAUUUUCCCACCUCUAAUCUUAACUGUCAUAAGAGAAUUUCUCAAGUUCCAUAUUAUUGAUGGGAAGAGAAUUUUGUUAUUUUGUUGUAUUUUUUUUCGUUUUACAGGAUGCUGCUGCAUGGCUGGAGUAUUUUGAAUCAAAAGCUCUAGAGCAGCAAGAAGCGGCACGGAAUGGAACUCCAAAGCCAGAUGCGUCCAUUGCGAGUAAAGGUCACCUUAGGUAUUAACAGGGUAUUCCCACAUUACUUGUUUCUAAAUUGUUGAUUAUUUCUUGUGGCACCAAGACCUAUAAUGAUCGCUUUUUGCAGUGUAUCAGAUCUCCUGGAUUACAUUAGUCCUGGUCAAGAUUCUAAAAGAAGCGAAGCACAUAGGAAACAACGACGUGCAAAGGUAGUAUAUACUUAGUGCCUGUUUAGUAUGACUUAUCUAAUAGUCAUAAAUUUUUAUUUAAUCCCAUAAGCUGUUAUCAAUUUUUUUUUGUUGUUUAAUUGUUUUUUCGUAGAGCUCUUGAAAAUUAAAUAAGUUAUUUUGCCUCUACUACCAAAAGCUCAAAUUUUGUGCUUUUAAGAGUAGAGGUUAAAAAGUUUUUUUUAAAUGUUAAAAUAUCUAAAAUAUUUUCUACUUAUUUGACAAUCUUAUUUUAUUCUUUUCAAAACAUAACUUUAAAAAAUUUGCUUAUUAAAGUAAUUUUAUAAUUUUCAAUAAAAGCUCUUAUUGACAACCAAACAACACAAAUUUUUUGGGUAAAAACUUUACUUAUAAAAUCUUUACUAACAAAAGCUCUACUCAGAUAAGAUCUAUUUGAAAAGCUAUGUCAAAUGAAGCAUUAAGCCUGCUGCUGUUCUCUGUUCCUUUUUUCUUGUGAUGUCAUCUGAAUGGAUUCUUAAACUAAUUGUAGUUAGGAUUUGGUAUUUUAGAGUACACUCUGCUGGCUGCAUAUAGUUUUGGAUUUGCUGAUGACACGAGUAAACUUGUUGGCCAUGCAAAAUGCAACUAUAUAUCUGCAGGAUAAUAGUUCUACUUUUCUGAGUGAACUCUGAAGGCACCAAUUAUAACAUCCAUUUCCAGCAUAGAAUCCCCUGCCCAACAAAAAGAAAUCUAACAUGCUUAUACAGAUCGCAGACAUGAUUGAAACUUCAGAAGUUUCUGAUCUAUUGAUGGCCAUAGAUUGGGCCAGCUGAUAGUUAGUAGGCAAUGAUGGAGGGUUGCUUGGUCAAGCUGCUAGUUCUUUGGAAAUUCAGAGAUGAUGAGCAGAACGAGUGAUAAUUUUUGUUUUCCCCCAUAAUCUUGAACAGAGUGGGAAGAAACCAUUAAUUUGAAGUGCAAUGGAUGGAUAUGACAGAUCUAUCAUUUUGGCUAGUAGAUGGAGUUCUUCCAUUCUACUGUUAUUUACUGGUUGUUUUUAUUGAUUCUAGAAAAACAUUUUUUGAUUUGGCAGUUGGAGUUUUUCCCUUUUUUUUUUCUCCCCAUUUUGUAGGCCUUAGAGAACCAAAUAAUACUACAUAUUAGAUAGACAGGAUUAUUAUGUGCUAAUUUGAAGUAUUACCUGGUUGACAAUUUAAGACACUAGUAAAGUAUUUCGCUAUGAUUAUUUUUUUUUGAGAAUUCCAUGAUUCAAAAGGCCGAAGAAUUUCAUUAGUUUAACAUAGUAUAUAUUAACAUAAUUUCUCACUGAGUGUUUUUUUCAACAUUUCAGGCAUGUACAUAUCAAAUUCCCAUUAUGUUCCACUGAAUUCUGCCUCAUGUUAUGUCCGGAUUUGUUGUAAUAAAUUUUGCUACUGUAAAAUUACAAGAUGAUUGUAACUUAAAAUGAACUAUUUCUAUUUGCUCAAUUUUUGACAUUUUAUAUGCAUACAAGUUAAAAAGGUUUUGUUUAUUUUUAUUUUUUUAUUUUUUCAGGUAAUGCAGAUUAGGGAAAAGAUUCAUGGAGCACAUCAUGAUAUGAUGGUGGAAGAUGCACUGCCCCAUGAUGGAUUGAAAAAGAGGAUGACUAUAGUGGAAAGCAAGACCGAGGAAGUAAUAGAAGACAGUGUUCAACCUGAAGAGCCAGAAGAGAAUGAUGAUAUUACUAGAUAUGGACCGGCAAUUUCAGGUGAGUUUGUGGAAGAAACAAAUUCAGAUGAGGGGUGGCAAGAAGCCAAUCCAAAAGGUAGGUCAGGAAAUGCUGCUGUUCGGAAGCUCAGCCGGAGGCGACCUGUUCUUACAAAGCUAAAUGUCAAUGGUUGUGAACAUUCAAAUCUUAGAGAAAAAGGCAAUAGACGGGAAAUUGUAUCUCCAGCACGGGAAAAAGCUUCAAGGACCACCACCACUGAGUUAACAGGCACGAAGGAUUCAAUUAAAUUGCAGGGAAAAGCUUCUGUCUCCAAAGUUUAUGCAAGUCCACCAAACCUUACUGCCAUGGCUUCCAAGUCGCUGUCUUACAAAGAAGUAGCUGUGGCACCACCAGGUACGGUUCUAAAGCCAUUACCAGAGAAACCUGACGAAGAAAUUGAAGAAAAAACUGAAACACAGAUGUGCAGUAAUGCUCCUGAGACAUCAAAGGCGGAGUUGAAUAACCAUUUCUCUCCCGUUGAAGAUGCGCCAGUUGAUGGUCAGUCUCAAGAAACUCAUGGAAGUGUAACUCAAUCUGAAACUACUGCUGCAGAUACCGAGGAAGUUCCUACUUCUUCUAAUGAGGAAAAGCCCAUGGAAACAAAUGGGAGUAAGCUUUCUGCCACAGCUGAACCAUUCAACCCAGGAGCUGUCUCCAUGACUCAUCUGCUAAACUCUGUAGCAGCCACGAGUAUUUAUGAUGCGAGAACUAGUCAAGGUAUGCUUGCAGAACCUGCUGUACCUUCGGCUGCUGCUAGAGUUCCUUGUGGGCCAAGGUCGCCUCUCUAUUAUAGAAAUAAUUAUUCUUACAUGAUGAAACAUGGAUUUCCAAAAUACCACUCUUCCAUUAUGGAAAGAAACCUGUUGGGGCCUUCAAGAAUCAUGAACCCGCAUGCACCCGAGUUUGUGCCAAUGAGAGGUUGGCAAAUAAAUCCUGGAUAUGCAGAUUCAAAUGUUUCAAAUGAGUCGAACUCUUCAAACGACACAAGUGAGGCAGACGAUGAGAAACUUGACAAAAUGUCCAGUAUUCAAGGCGAGGAUAAUACCUCAAGAAAGAGCAGUACAGAGGCGGAGAAUUCAGAGCUGGCAAGACAGAUACUACUUAGCUUCAUUGUAAAGUCAGUCCAGCAUAAUAUGGAUGCUCCAAGUCAUUCUUCAGGCUACGAAAAGAAGAUUGGGUAUUCAGAAAAUUCUUCAGAUGCAAUUGCAAAUGAUAGUGCUAUCAUAAAGAUCCUUUAUGGAAAUGAAAAGGGCAAAACAAACUUGGCAUCUCAGUCCAAUGAUCAAGAACAGCAAAAACCCAAAGAUGAAAACCAAAAAAGUGGGGAUGGUGAAGGAUUUAUAGUUGUCAGAAAACGGAGAAGAAACCGACAGCAGAUCACAAAUGGGGUCACUGAGAUGUACAAUCAUCAAUCCAUCUGUGCUUCUGUUCGUUAAAAGAGAGCAAAGCAAUAAAAUGCAAAGGUGCCGUCCUGUUUCUCCCAAUUUUAUUCGAAAAAUUUGUUAGUGAAUGUUGCUGUUGUAGAGAUGGUUAAAGUUUGGAGCAAGUUUUAAUCAAUACUUGAUUGUAUCAUUUUAGAUAUCCUCUCUGGAUGUUCUAAUAAAAUAUUUGUACAAAUCGGUUUCUUGUUUUGUUAAGAGAUUUUGUUUUGAUCAAUAAAUGAUGAUAAAUUAAUUGGGCGAUUUUCCUCAUCAAGAGAUCUGUGAUGUUGUUCUAUAAUGGAUUUUAAUGUUUUAGACUGAGAUUUGUAGUUAUGCCUCAAAUUAUUUGGUAUUUGGUUGGUGCGUGUGAACAAUACGUUCGGAAUGGAGUUGAAUUGACCCACUGAUAGAUAGCUUACAUUUGCAGCUGAAGUUGCUGCAUUGAUGAUAUUACAACUAACAUAGUAGUUGGCAAAAUUCCUUAUUCAAUUUAAAUUUGCAAUCAACAGAAACUGAAGAAGAAGCCGUAAGUUUAAUCCUAAUGGAUGCAUAGCUGUUUGGAGAAAAGCCAACGGAGACAUAACACAGCACGAUAAGUUAUACACGGCAGAACCGUAUGUGCUAGUAAGCACAGUCACCGAUGGAAAACAUAUUUGAAAAGCCAAUAGUAGCAUGUGUCAAUACAUCUAUCAAUGAAAUAGAACCACAGUCUGCGCCAGUACGAGUUUAUCCAAAGUGCUGCAAAUAAACCCAAAAUUACUGACACAUAGGAUGCUCCAAAACUCCAUCUUAAUGCCACCAUAUCAAUCACAGAAUCGCCUUCAUCUUCUCCUCCUCCUGUAGGUGUCGCUGGUGGUGCCAACGCACUGCUGCAUUUCCUCUUUAUCAUUGAGCCACAAAGAGCCGAAUUACCUUUAUAACUGCUGUCAUCAAAGGUGGCAAACUGCUCUUUGUCUGGGAUUGGGCCGGACAAAUUGUUGUAUGACACGUUGAAGUUUGAUAAAAAGUUGAGAUCAGUUAGUUGAGGAGGAAUUCGGCCACUUAAUUUGUUGCGGGAAAGGUCCAGGCUCUCUAUCAUUUUCAGAUUGGAGAAGCUCUCUGGUAUAGCACCUGAUAGUAAAUUAUUCGACAGAUUAAGUGCACGAAUAUGUUGAAGAUGCCCAAUUUCCCAUGGAAUUUCUCCACUGAACUCAUUGCUCGACAAAUCCAGUCCAGCCAUGUCGACGAGACUGCGACCGAUGAAAAAUUCAUAUCUAUACUUUGUCACAAAUUCUACACCUACUUGUCUAGCAUGUCGUUCACCUUGCGGCGGCUGAUCAAGAGUGGAAUUGUAGAAAGUAAAACUGAGAUCACGAGUUGACACAGCAAAUCCGGGUAUAAUAUUUGGAUAUAUCACUUCAUAUCUGUUUACAUGUGGAUAAUCAUCAAUCGCUUCUCUCCAGAAUGACACGUUACCCAAGCAUGAAGGUAUCGGCCCAUUAAGUCUGUUAUGUGAAAGAUCCAUGAUACCUAAUUUUCUUAAUAGGCACAACUGAUUAGGAAUACGUCCUUGUAGAGAAUUCCCUCUCAAAAGAAGAAAAUGCAAAUUCGAAAGCUCGUUGAUCUGAUGAGGAAUCCUACCAAAAAGCUUAUUGUCCCUCAAAUCUAGAGUCAAUAAUGUAGAGCUUCUAAGCAAUGCAAUUGGAAUUAACCCAUUAAUUGCAUUGUUAUGCAGAUAAAUGUGCUCCACUGAUGAAAGAUUGGAGAGAGAUACCGUGGACCCAGACAAACUAUUUUCGGAGAUGUCUAUAAACUCAAGACCUUCAAGAUUGCCGAGCUGGACCGGAAUAGUACCUUGCAAAUAAUUUUUUGACAUUAAAAGAACCCGAAGGCCUGAGAAGUUGCCAAUCCAGUGGGGAAUAUCGCUGGAUAACUUGUUGUUGGAUACAUCUAAUACCCCCAGCAAAGGGGAGUUCAACAAACCAUCUGUCAUCUUCCCACUGAAAUGAUUGUUGUCCAAAAGUAAGGAACGCAAAUGAGUCAAGUUCAUAAAAUUGGGAAAAAGUUGGCCAUAGAAAUUGUUAUUUGAUAGGUCCAACAUUUCUAAGGAGAGGCAACUAGAGAAUAUAGAUCGAGGUAAUUCUCCUGAAAAAUUAUUUCUAGAAAAAUCCAAAGUAAUUAGCUCUUUCAUCUCACUGAUUGAAUAAGGAAUAUUACCUUCAAAACUAUUUUUUGACAUAUCCAAAUAUAUCAAUUUCUGAAAGAUAAUACCCAAAUUCUCUGGUAGCUUACCAGAAAAAUUGUUACUGGAAAUAUCUAGAUAACGAAGCUUAUCGUAUUUGGCGUUGGGAAGUCGCGGAAGAAUUCCUGAGAAUGAGUUAUUCCACAAAAUCAAAACUUCUAAUCCUGUGUUGUUUUGCAACAACCAAGUUGGGAAAUUGCCAACCAACUGAUUGUGAGAGAGAUCAAGGAAUUUUAAGUUGUAUUGGUGUAAAAGAAAACUGGGAUUGACAUUUAAGUGGCAGUGAGAUAAUUGGAGAACCUUGAGAGGAUAUGUGGGGAGCCAGUUUUCGGUUUUCACUUGCAACAUAUCGUUUCCUGACGAGAGUCGCAAGACCUCAAGCUUUGAAUGAUUAGCCAAUGAAUUUAUUGAGAAUGUUCCUUGGAAAUCGAUGAAAGAGAGAUCCAAAUAUUCAAGUGAUGUGAGGUUGGUCAAGGCAGAAGGAAAGUUUCCACUUAACUGAUUGUAAGAAAUAUCAAGAACUUUGAGAUGGGUCAAGUUGUUGAGGCACUGAGGAAGGUGAACCACAAAAUUAUUUGACUUUAAAUCCAACUCAAGAAGAUUCUUCAAAUUACAUAUUCCUGAAAGUGAAAAUAAAAAGCUCAGAUUUCAUAAAACGAAAACUAAUUAUAGCGCAUUCAAUCAUAAACCCAAUAUAAGACUUAUAAAACGGACAUGAAAUCAAAUUGUCUAAGUAUUUUGGUCAACAUAAAUAAUAAUAGAAUGAUAUGAAUUUAUUUCUCAUAUAAUAUGAUGUUGAUUGCAAAAGCGUUUCAAUUAAUCUAACAAAAUAAUAAUAAUAAUAAUAUAAAAGCAGUCAGCAAUUCUUGCUCAUCAUAAUCCAUUCAAAAAGCGUUUCAGCAAUUCUCGUUGUUUAAAAUAAUGAUUUUCCGAGGAAGAGUUUGUUGACUUCGUCUUUUUCGUUGGAUAUUCGUUCUCUAAUCUCUAAAUUUGUUGGAUAAUGUAAAGAGAAACUCAUAAUAUAUUAGUUGCUUUCUUAAACUUUAUUUAUUCCUCUCAUAGCAUUAAACAAAACUAUUUGCCCUAGCAGAAAAAAAAAAAAAAAACUGGUCUUUAUAUUUAAUUUGGUGAAAGUACUUUGACCAACAAGUCACUGGGAAGUAGGAAUUGUGCAUCAGUAAUGCAAAUAUUGGGUGCGUUGGCAUUGUUUUUAUAUGCUGUUUUUUAUUUUUUGAUUUUAGAAAAUAUUAGAUACGUGUUCGGUAGAUUGUUUCUGAAAAUAUUUUUAAAAAUAUAAAAUUCAUUCUACACAUUUUAACAAAAGAAAUGAGAAACAAUUUUUUCUUAUUUUCCUUAUUUCCCAAUACAAAAUUAAGUUCCAAAAUGAAGAAUUCUCUGUACCUCCUCCUGAAAUAAUAAUAAUAUCAACAUUAUUAUUAUUAUUAUCAUUAGGUCUAAUUAUCUCUGGGUGACAGAUGUUUUAAUAAAUUUCAAAAAGAUGACACAUGUUUUGAAAACACUCGAGUGGGUGACAUUCCAUUAACUUUUGUUGUUAAUUUUAACCAGUCGAGGGUAGAAUUGAAAAAAUAAUUUUUUUUUUCAUAAAGCCAAAGAGAUGAAAAUAUUGAAUUUAUACAAUACUUUAUAAUUCAUAAGAUUUUUGCUUCUUUAUAUUCACAAAUCAGUUUGAUCAACAAGAAUUUUUUUAAAAUUUAUUUGAUUUAACAAAAAAAACUUGUUAAUUAGACUUAUGUUUAAUUUUUUUUUAUAUUUUCUAUUUAAAAAAUUAAAAAUGAGUGAGUAUGGGCAGAAACAUCAUUUUGUGGGGUAGAAACGUCAUUUAAUUUACUAUUCCCAUUAAAAUUAAUGACAAAAGUUAAUAGAAUGUCACUCGCUCGAAUAUUUUUAAAAAAUGUCAUCUUCUUAAAAUUUGUUAAAACAUAUGUCACCUAUUUGUUAAACAUAUGUCACCUAGAGAUUAUUAUUCUUAUUGUUGUUGUUGUUGUUGUUGUUGUACCCAAAGACUCAAUUUCCUUCACAAAAAUCUUUUCUUUUUAUAUACAUUAUAAUAUUUAUGUUUUUAUAUAUUAACUAAAUCAAAUAUGUAGGGUUUCUCAUUUUUCUUUGAACAAAAAAAUAGAAGGAUCACCUAAUUUAUUCUUAAAAUUAAAAUAAUCAAUAUACAUUGCUUAAUCUUAAGUUUAUGGAAAUUAUUCCAAUAAUAAUUCUUUGAGAUAUUCUUACCAAACAUAUUUAUGUUUUUCUCAUUUUUCAGAUUAUUUUUGAAAAUGAUACUGAACACAUUUUUAAAUUUUAAAAAUAAAUUUCAAAAUAGCAUUUUCAUUUUUAUUUUGUAAAAACAACAAUUAGAAAACAAUAUUGGGCUAUUAUUUAUCAUGUUUCAACAUAAAAACACAGUGUAAAUUGUUUAAUAUGGGUUUCUAGAGAAUUUUUUAUGUUACUAUUACUCAAAUUCAAUGCUUCCAAGCUUUUGAAUUUAGCUAAUCUUGCAUCAAGAAUUAAUGAACAUAAGAAAAAAAAAUUUCAUUCAGAACUAUAAAUAUUGAAAUAAAGAUAGAUAUCAUUGUUGAUCUUUUUAUAAAAAUGAUUUAGAAUUAAGAGAGAGUGAAAGAAAUGAGCGGGUUAUGUCGGAAAUUGGUGAUAGAGUAUAUCAAGUACUACACUUUGUAUAGAAAGCAGUGCUUCUAAUUUAAAUUUGAUCUAGUUUAAAGCAAUUAAAAAAUGGAAAUAUAUUAUCAUCUUGAUUAACAUCUAAAACAAUUUUAUCAUUGGAGGAAGUGAAUUGUUAUAUACCUUGAAUUGUAGUUAUCCCACAAUAACCAAGACCCAAUGUUUUCAAGUUUGGCAAAUCUGCGAAUCCUACAUGCGUCGAUAAAAAAUGAAAAUAUUACAUUUAAAGGCAUUGUAUGUGAUCCGCGUGUUUGAUGAACGUUAACUCUACAUUUAAUUUGCUUCUUAUCUCAAAUUCAGUGGCCUACCUAGCGUUGUCAGAUUUUGAUUAUCGCUUAAAUACAACACUUGCAGGUUUGUCAAAUUUGCUAAUCCUGCUAAAAAAAACAUAAAUUUUGUCAAUAACAGAUAUGUCACUCUCGUCUAAAUUGUUUAGUUAAAAUAAUAUGGUAAAUAUUGAAUGAAAAUUAACUGUGCACAUUGUUAUUUUUUUGUUUCUAUGGAUAUUUUAAUAUAUACCGUCACUUUUAGCAUUACCAAGAUUUGGAGUGUUUGAAUCAUAAUUUGUAAAUUAGUUUGCACUUUGAGUAAACUUGAAAAUGUGAAAAAAGCAAUUAAAAAAAAUGCAAAUAUAUUAUCAUCUUGAUUAACAUCUAAAACAAUUUUUGUCAUUGGAGGAAGUGAAUUGUUAUAUACCUUGAAUUGUAGUUAUCCCACAAGAACCAAGAUCCAAUGUUUUCAAGUUUGGCAAAUCUGCUAAUCCUACAUGCACCGAUAAAAAAUGAAAAUAUUACAUUUAAAGGCAUUAUAUGUGAUCCAUGCGUUUGAUGAACAUUAAUUCUACAUUUAAUUUGCUUCUUAUCUCAGAUUCAGUGGCCUACCUAGCGUUGUCAGAUUUUGAUUACCGCUUAAAUACAACACUUGCAGGUUUGUCAAAUUUGCUAAUCCUGUUAAAAAAAGGUAAAUUUUGUCAAUAACAGUUAUGUCACUCUCGUCCAAAUUGUUUAAUUAAAACAAUAUGGUAAAUAUUGAAUGAAAAUUAACUGUGCACAUUGUUAUUGUUUUUGUUUCUAUUGAUAUUUUAAUAUAUACAGUCACUUUUAGCAUUACCAAGAUUUGGAGUGUUUGAAUCAUAAUUUGUAAAUUAGUUUGCACUUGGAGUAAACUUGAAAAUGUGAAAAAAGCAAUUAAAAAAAUGCAAAUAUAUUAUCAUCUUGAUUAACAUCUAAAACAAUUUUUGUCAUUGGAGGAAGUGAAUUGUUAUAUACCUUGAAUUGUAGUUAUCCCAUAAGAACCAAGAUCCAAUGUUUUCAAGUUUGGCAAAUCUGCGAAUCCUACAUGCGCCGAUAAAAAAUGAAAAUAUUACAUUUAAAGGCAUUGUAUGUGAUCCGCGCGUUUGAUGAACAUUAAUUCUACAUUUAAUUUGCUUCUUAUCUCAGGUUCAGUGGCCUACCUAGUGUUGUCAGAUUUUGAUUACCGCUUAAAUACAACACUUGCAAGUUUGUCAAAUUUGCUAAUCCUGUUAAAAAAAGGUAAAUUUUGUCAAUAACAGUUAUGUCACUCUCGUCUAAAUUGUUUAAUUAAAAUAAUAUGGUAAAUAUUGAAUGAAAAUUAACCGUGCACAUUGUUAUUUUUUUGUUUCUAUGGAUAUUUUAAUAUAUACCGUCACUUUUAGCAUUACCAAGAUUUGGAGUGUUUGAAUCAUAAUUUGUAAAUUAGUUUGCACUUUGUGUAAACUUGAAAAUGUGAAAAAAGCAACUAAAAAAAAUGCAAAUAUAUUAUCAUCUUGAUUAACAUCUAAAACAAUUUUUGUCAUUGGAGGAAGUGAAUUGUUAUAUACCUUGAAUUGUAGUUAUCCCACAAGAACCAAGAUCCAAUGUUUUCAAGUUUGGCAAAUCUGCGAAUCCUACAUGCGUCGAUAAAAAAUGAAAAUAUUACAUUUAAAGGCAUUGUAUGUGAUCCGCGCAUUUGAUGAACAUUAAUUCUACAUUUAAUUUGCUUCUUAUCUCAGAUUCAGUGGCCUACCUAGCGUUGUCAGAUUUUGAUUAUCGCUUAAAUACAACACUUGCAGGUUUGUCAAAUUUGCUAAUCCUGUUAAAAAAAACAUAAAUUUUGUCAAUAACAGAUAUGUCACUCUUGUCUAAAUUGUUUAAUUAAAAUAAUAUGGUAAAUAUUGAAUGAAAAUUAAUUGUGCACAUUGUUUAAUUAAAAAAAUUAUUGUCUAAAGAACCGUGUAUAUAAUAAUUAGAACUCAAAUCCAACGCUUCCAAGUUUUUUAAUUUAGCUAAUCUUGCGCCAAGAAAGAAGAAAAAUCUUAGUAAUCGUCUUUGGGAAAAAAAUAAAGAAUUAAGAAAUUAGAUUAAAUAAUUGUAGUAAUAAAGCAUAUGACUCAGAUCUAAUUAAAUUGAUCAUAUACUCAAAAAUGAUUUUUUUUUAAAUUUUACUAAGAAAUUAGAAAGUAAUUUUUUGCCGUAUACCAAUUGUAGUCAAGUUUGUCAAGUUUUCCAGUCAAAAAUUGGUUUUAAUUUGACAUUAUACAUGUGUAAAAAUUAAGGGCAUAAUAAUAUCACAAGGAAUUUGGGUAGUGACUUGUUGCCGUGUGCUGACUUGGUAAUUAUCUCAGUAGCCUACCUAGCCUUGUUAAAGAGCCACUAGUUAUAUUGAAGUUCAAGCUUAGAUCCAACACUUGCAAGUAUCUCAAAUUUGCUAAUCCUGCUCAGAAAACAUUAAUUUUGAUCAAGACAAUAUAAAUAUACAUUUUAAUUAAGAAAUUAAUUAAGUUGCCUGAUAUGUAUAUCUGCUGGCCUGAAACGUAUAUGUAUACCUUGCUUGGUUCUGGAACCUUCAAUGGAAUUGGAAUUAAGAAUCAAAGUGGUAAGUGAAGUUAGUGUAUUCAAAUAUGGUAAUAUGCUGUCGUUGAAGAAAUUAAGACCAAGAUUUAACAUCUUCAGCUGCUUCAAACUCCCAAAGCUAUCGUAAGCUGCAAAUGCAUAUGAAGUGUUAUUAUUAAUUAGUCACUGACAAAAUAUUUAUGGACAAGAAAUAAAUGUAUACAUAUAUACGGACCUCUAUUCUCAUAGAUGCCUGCAAACCCAUUCCCAGAUAAGUCAAGACUUUGCAGUUCUUCAAAAGGAUGAAACAAUGACAUAUUCAGAACCAAAACUCCCUCCCAAUAAACAGAGUUAUUGAUCAGAAGCGAAGCCGAAGUACUAUCAAAAUAAUUCAAUCUGUGUGUAUGAUUGAGUGAGAGUUGCAUCACGCGUCGUGUGGUGGCGCUGCACUUAACUCCCUCCCAAUCAUCACAACAAUCAGACGGCAUUCCAUCAUCCUCACCAACCCAUGAAGGAAGAAUUUUGUCAUCAUAUCCAAUAUCACUGACUGAUGAUAUGAAGAAGCUCUUGAUUUCCAACAGAGCAGUCCUCUCUGUUUCCAAGCAUCCUUUGUAUCCAUGCAUUUCAUUCAUCAAUACAAUAAUCCAAAUUAGUGACAUUAAUGAGAACUUAAUACAGGAAGUACUUUCCAUUGCAGAGCAACUUUUCAUUUGGUUAAAAUUAAAUGUGCAAUGAGCAACUUUCCAUUGCAGAGCAAUUUAUACUAAAAGUUUAUCGCAGGUCUUGCAAUUUGAUUGGCUGAAGACUUUUUUAAGACUUUGAAGACUUGUAAGCAUUCCAUGUUUGGCAGCAUUCGACCAACGGGAAAAAGCACUUCAUUAAUACCCCGGGGAAAAUAUAGAUAAAGUGAUUAUAAACUAUAAAUUUUUCCAAUAGUUUGAUGGAGAUAAUCAUAACUAAUAAAAUAAAAGUUGACUGAGAGAAUUUAAAUAAUUUAACCGCAUGUUUGGAUUUCCAUUGCAUUAUCAGUCAAUCUAUUAAAUAAUGUGUUUUGAGAAGAAUUUGAUUGGAUGUUUGAUGAGUUUAAAUUAAUUUAUUAGAAAAUCAAUAAUUAAUCAACGUAAAUCUUCGUGUAUGUUUAGUUAGUGUGGCGUAGUCUGAAAUGACAAAACACAUAAAUGUUAUUUGAAGCUCUUGUGACCCUUUGUGUUCCUGCAUUCGGAUAAGGAAAGUUUCCAUUGCUCCAGUCUACACUCUUCACUACUAUUACAAUCACUUGAAAUGACAAAAACAGAAACUUCGUAUGAACAUGGGACCGAUGUACGGGUCCAAUUUAAAUGACCCUAGCUAAUUUUGCAUAUAUUAUUGCAACUACGUGGAAAAUUAAAGUUGACUGACUUUCAAAUUAAGCCAACAAACAAGUGGCCAUCAACUCUUUUCCCUCUAUGAUUGGUUUUUUUUUUUUUUUUAAAUUGAAUUGUAAGAUUGGGUUUGCAUUGAAUUAUCCAACAAUCUAUUCAAGCAUUGAUAUUUGAUAUUAUCAAAUAUUUAAUGGGUUUUGAAAAUUAUUUACUAGAUUUUUGAUAAAUUGAUUUUUAUUAUUUCAUGAUCAAUAAUUAAUCAAGUAAUUUUAUAUAUAUAUAUAUUUGGUAUUUGGUAAUUUACUCAUAAAAAGUGUGGAUCACAUUGAAAUGUUAUUUUAUAUGAUGCAUGACAUACGGAGAGGUGCAGUUUAAAUGCGCAAAUAAUUUAUUUAUUAUAACAUGCAAUCAUUGAGUUAAAGCGCAAGCGUGAGUUUGGAUUUGAAAUAUUCAAAUAAUUUAUUUCAUUAUUGAUUCUUAAAUAACAUGCUUUGGAAUUAAUAGUUCGAUAGGAUGUUUGAUAUAUUGAAAUUUGUGAUAAUCAAUAAUCAACUAAUUUUCAUUCAUAUUUAAAGAUUUUAAUAAAUUACUCAUAAAAUUGUGGCGUAUAUUGAAAUGACAAUCAAUCUUGAUAUUGACUGACAAUCAAUUUUUAUAGUGAUUGGCACUUAAGACAAUCAGUUUUGGUCUCCGUAAUGACUAAUGAAGAAUUGUAAGCCUGAAAUUCCACAUGUUGCAAUGUUGGACCAAUGAGGGAAAUGCUUCAUUAACAUUACAUGGAAAAUAAAUGUUGACUGACUUUCAAAUUAGGCCAACAUACAAGUAGUCGUCAAUUCUAUUUUUUCCAACAGUUGAUAAAGAUGGCAAGUUAAGAAAAAAAAAAGUUGAUUGAGAUAAUUUAAAGAAUUUAAGCGUAAGUUUGGGUUUGAAAUUAUCAAAUAAUUUAUUCCAGCAUUGAUUCUUAAAUAAUGUACUUUGGAAUUAAUAACUCAAUAGGAUGUUUGACAUAUUGAAAUUUGUGAAAAUCAAUAAUCAAUUAUUUUUCAUACAUGUUUAGACAUUUUAAUAAAUUACUCAUAAAUUUGUGGUGUACACCGAAAUAAUAAGUUAAUAAAUUGAAAUGAUAUCUAAAACUCUUGAGUCCCUUUGUAUCCUUGCAUUAAUUUGAAUUGAAGCUCGAAUUAAAAUCGAAGACCCAUAUUGAGAAUUUAUAUAAGUAACUUAAGAGUAUGAUUGGGUUUACAUUGACUUAUAUAUAUCAAACAAUAUAUUCAAGCGCUGAUAUUCUCAAAAAAAGAAAAAAAAAGACAAUCAAUCUUUGCGUCAACUGAUAUUAUUGAUUGGUAAUAAAUCUUAGUAGUGAUUGACAAAGCUUGGGAAAAUCACUCUCGGUGAUUAAUAGUCUUCGUCCUCAUCUUUGUUUUGAUCGUUGUGAUAGAGGAUGAGUGGUGCGUAAGAGAGGGUUCAUCGCUUGCGGAAUUUUCGCGGCCAUUCAAGAAUCAGGAUGGUUGUUGUAGAAUUCCACGAGAAUUGGCCUUGCAAUUAGGGAAAGUUCAAUAUUAAUUUAUACUAAAAGUUUAUCUUAGGCCAAUCACAAUGACCACCAAAACCUAUGAAUAAUUAGUCCAUCGAAACCCAAUGUAUGCUCAAUUAAUAUUUCCUAUCAAGAUCAAAUUUUUCGCUCUUCACCAAUCAUGAGCAUAAAAGCUCGAUUUAUACAAAAAUUAAGAAUUUAUGAAAAAAAGUCACAAUUAUUAUAAUUGGAAGUUUGAUUGAUUUUUAAAGAUUGAUUCAAUCAAUCUUAAUGUUACUGGACAAUCGAUCUUAAUAUUAAUUCAAAAUCAAUCUUUAUAGCAAUUGGCACAAAUAAAGAUAAUUAGUUUUGGUCUCUAUAAUGACUGACGAAGACUUGUAGGACCUGGACCAAUGAGGAAAAACGCUUCAUUAAUACUCCAUGGAAAAUAAAUGUUGACUGACUUUCAAAUUAAGCCAACAUACAAAUGGUCGUCAAUUCUAUUUUUUACAAAAAUUGAUGGAGAUAGUCAACUAAUAAAAUAAAAUUGAUUGAGAUAAUUUAAAGAAUUUAGGCAUAAGUUUGGGUUUUAAAUUAUCAAAUAAUUUAUUCCACUAUUGAUACUUAAAAAAAUGCUUUGGAAUUCAUAAUUCAAUAGGAUGUUUGAUAAAUUGGAAUUUGUGAAAAUCAAUAAUCAACUAUUUUCACAAUAAACUGAGAUUUUUUUUUUUUGAAAGCCAAUAGAAACAUGAAUUAUAGUACAUCCAUCGAUUGACGUAUAAUUAUAAUCAUAUAAUCAAACACGCACACUACAAGGCGACCUUCGAUUGACGUAUUCUGUCGACUAACCCAGGGACAUGGAGGAUGUUUUAACGUUAUAUAAAAAAAAAAUGAUGAAUAAUAUAGUUCCCGGCAGUGCUAAAAAAUGAUCAAUAAUCGGAUGAGGAAAUUUACGAAAGAUUUAUUAAAUGAUCAGAGACUUUCUGCAAUUUCAUUGACUUAUUCUACGAUAAUUAUAAUCAAACACGCACACUGCAAGGCGACCUUCGAUUGACGUACUCUGUCAACUAACCAAGGGACAGGGAGGAUGUGUGUUGACGUUAACCAAUAGCCAAGUUUAUAAACACAAUCAAGCAAUCAUAUGAUCAAUCAGAGCCACAUUCGACGCACGACUAGUAAAUAUCAUAAUUGAGUUUGAGGACCACAGCCUUACGGUGAAAGAAUUUGAAUGGAGAUCACUGCCAAAUCGUUUUUUGUCUGGGAUCAGACCAGACAAGUUCUUGUAUGACUCGUUAAAGUUGGAUAAAUAGUUGAUGAGUGAUCUGAAGAUCACUGAUAAGAAAUUUUGUCAUUUUUGUUUGGUAAAUUAUUCGUAAAAUUAUGGUCUACUCUGAAAUUACAAAAAUAAGCAUAAUUAAUUUGGAUAAAGGAAAAGCAAAGGAAAUUGAGAAGGAAACCAGAGGAAGGCUAAAGAAAAAUAAGCCGAUUCAUCAGUAACUCAAGAUCACAACUUUGGAUUUUUUUAGCAUCUGAAAUUUCAACAACUAUUCAAGUGAUGCGAGGUUGGUCAAGGUGGAAGGAAAGUUUCCACUUAAUUGAUUAUUAGAAAUAUCAAGAACUUUGAGAUUGGUCAAGUUGUUGAGACACUGAGGAAGGUGACCCUCAAAGUUAUUUGAGCUUAGAUCCAACUCAAAAAGAUUCUUAAAAUUACAUAGUCCUGAACUUGAAAAUAAAAGAUCAAAAUUUUAUAGAAUGAAAACUAAUUAUAGCAAAUUCGAUCAAAAUCCAGUACAAGACUUAAAAAACAGACAAAAAUCGAAUUGCCUAAUUAUUUUGGUCAGCACAAAUAAUAAUAGAGUAAUGUGAACUUAUUUCUCAUAUAAUAUGAUGUUGAUUGCAAAAGCGUUUCAAUAAUCUGGAAAAAGGGGAAAAAAAAAUAAGCCCUCAGCACUUUUUGUUUAUCAUAGCCCGGAGUCCUUCUUGUUUAACAUUAUGAUUUUCUGAGGAAGAAUUUGUUCACUUGAUGUUGUUCAUUGGACAAUGGUUCUGUAACCUCUAAACCUAUUGGAUAAUGUAAAGAGAAAUUCAUAAUAUUUUAGUUGUCUUCUUAAAUAAUAAAUUGUCUUAAAAUACAAUUAAUUUGUCUUAAAUUUAAUCUAUUUCUCAGUAUUUAAAGAAAAACAAAAAGAAAAAAAGAAAAAGAAAAACGAACUGGUCUUCAUAUAUAAUUUUGUCCAAGUACUUUGAUCAACAAAUCAUUAGGAAGGUGGUGUAUCAGUGAUGCAAAUAUUUAAUUAUCAUGUUUCAACAUAACAAUUCUGUGUAAAUUGUUCACUUUAUGUUUCUAGAGAACUGUUUAUAUUAUUAUUACUACUCAAAUUCAAUGCUUCCAAGUAUUUGAAUUUAAUUAGCUAAUCCUGUAUCAAGAAUUAAUUAAUGAACAUAAGAUAAAUGUCAUAUUAGUUAGAUUUAGAUUUUUUUUUCCAGUUUUGAUGUAUAGAUAAUGUUUUCAACUGGUUUUGGGGUAAGAAAAGCCAAACCAAUCUAGAACAAUAAAUUUGUUAUUUUGAGGGGAGAUGGGGUACCUCACUGGUUUAUUGUGUGUUGGGCGGUGUAUCUAAGAUUUUGGGGAGGUGAGAAAGGGAGAGAGAGUGGUAACAAUGGUGGAAGAUCAGAAACAAGAGAGGUAUCCUUCAAAAUGAGCUUCACGCCUGCAAAACAAUGAAAUAGAGGUUAGAGGUGAAGCCGGGGGUACCCCGGCGUUCACACUCCGACGCUCAAGUUAGCAAACUCAAGCUUUUAUUGCAAAGAGAGCUAGCUAGCCCUCUGUAAAUUAGGGUUUAAGGUUGAAGAAAACCUCUUUUUUGGAGUGUGAGUGUUUUUGGGCGAAUGAGAGCAUGAUGGAGAAUGAAACCUAGGCGCCUUUAUAUAUGGAGUACCUUAGCUGCCACGUGGCAUACCCUUUUUGGCUAACGUCCUUUUACCGCUUUUAUGAUUCUUGGGGCCGUUAUGUGCAUGUUCGCGGCGUAUCUCAUCUUUUGGAAACGUGGCGCGCGCUGGAGAGUGGUCCAGGGUACCUCUGCAGUAGCUGUCGGGUAGGCGGCUAGGGACCACUGUCCUUGGGACAGUGUCCUUCACUUUUGGCAGAGGUAGCAGACGGCUGUCCCUCCUUUUAGCACGUCGCUUUUGAUUCCUAAUUCUGACAAAAUCAAAUGAUAUCUUUUAGGAGGCGGAGACGUUUCUCAUGGCGGAUAUUUUCGGUGGAUUCUCUUGCAUCCGCUUUGCCGGGUACCUCGAAUUACAUGGGGUACCCCCUAUUACGCAGGGUACCCCUAUCUGUAUGGGAUACCUCUAUUUGUAUGGGGUACCUCUAUUUGUAUGGGGGUACCUCUAUUUGUGUGGGAUACCUCUAAUUGUGCAGGGUACCUCUAUUUAUACGGGGUACCUCAAGUCAUGUCGGGCACCUCGGAUUAUGUAGGGUACCUCCGAUUGUGCUGAUAUCAUUCCAUUGGCUGACACGUGGCGCUCUAUUACCUUUCCCAUCUUUCCCUCAAACAACAUCCCCCUAGUUUCUUUUUGGCGAGAAGUAUUGGAGGCAAAAGAAACUUAUUGUAUGAGUGACACGUGGCGAUGCGGCUGGAUCGGAGGGUACCUUGCUUAGCUUCUUCCCUUGACUAAACUUUGUGUACUUCAAACUAAAAAUCUUCUCUUUGUCUUUUCCUUUUCCCGCUUUUUUUUUUUUUUUUUUUACACGAUGAGAACGAACAGUUGUCUUCAUAUGUCUCUCUCCUUUUUCUUGGGAAGUGGCAGCCGUCUGACACGCAGUUUGAAUUUUGAAAAUACAAAUCUCACUCAAACAUCCUUGAACUCCUUUCUUGAGCAACGUGUUCUGUCAGGUUGAAUUUAAAACUCCUGACGUGUGUCAAAGUUUUGAAAAUCCCCAAACGAACUCCCAAAAAUUGAUUAUUUCCAGUAGCCUUUUUCUUCCAUAAUUUCGUCUCUUCUUCUAACUGGAUCAACAUUUCCAGUAGCCUUUUUUUUUUUUUUUUUUUUUUUUUUUUUUUUUUUUUUUAGCCUUGUUCAUCUUCCCUAGGCUUUACUCUCCCUUUACUCUUUUUCUUUUAUUUCUUUCCCAUUUUCUUUCUCCCUUUUCUUUCUCACGUUUCUCUUUCCUUUUUCUCUCUUUUCCUUCUUCCUUUUCUUUCUUUCUUCUUUCUCUUUCUCUCUCGGCCGGCGUUGAUCUGGUACGUUUUCCGGCGUGGAUCUCGGCUGCUGCAGUGGCGGUUUUGGGCUCCAGAUCUGGUCGGUUCAAGGCGAUUUCCGGCGGCUCACGGCGAGAUCUCAGUCCGGCGAUACACACGGUAACCCCUCCUUCAUCGUUUCUUUAUUUUUCCCUUGGUGCUUUCUCUCUUCCUUCCCUUUUCUUCUCUUUUUCGUUUCGGCUUGGUGUUUUUCUCUGUGAUUUCCGGCGUCGGUUUGGUGUGGUUGCAGCCGGCGUCGGUUCGGUGCUUGCAGCCACGACAGCCGGCGUCGGUUUGGUGGCUGCUGUCCCUUCUUCCGUGUUGUCUUCUCUGUUCUUCGUUUUCUUUUUUUUUUUUUUUUUUUUGGCUGGCGUCCUCCUUUGGCGGUUUCCGGCAUCCUUCUCGUGAUCUCCGGCGUCGGUUCUCGGUGGUUGCAGCCAUGACAUCUGACGCCGGUUGCUGCAGCUUCUUCGUUCUUCAUUUUAUUUAUUCAUUUAUUUAUAAAUAACUAUAUAUAUUUAAGCUUAUUUUUGUUUUUAUACUUGCAUAUUUUUACCCACUAUUUUUGGUUGCCUGCAGCUUCAUUUCGCCGCGAUUAUCAAUCCCGAUCUGUUGAAUUGGUGAAUCACAGGUAUCCCUCCUCGCUUCUCCUCCUUUGGCGCAUUCACAGUGGCGCUAUUUUGCAUACUCUGAGAAAAUUUUGUUUUUGGUUUUUGUUGUUUUUUUUUUUUUUGUUUUGUUGGUUGGUGUUUGCAUUUGGUGGUUGAUGUGUGGUGGAUGGUGCUUGGUAUGGAUAUAUUGCUGUUUGGAAAACAUGUGGCUUGUUGGAUGUGUUGUUGGGGGCUUGUGGAUAUGUUGUUGGGUGUAUCGUUGGGUGUAUUGUUGGGGAACUUGUGGAUGUGCUGUUAGGGGCUUGUGGAUGUGCUGUUGGGGAACUUGUGGGUGUGUUGUUGGGGAAAAGUAGAUGGGCAAAAAGCACACGGGACCCCCGAUGAAGCGACGUAAAGUUGGGGCUAGUAGGGUUGACAACCCUCCUGCGGGUUCCCCUUCCCACAUCUCCAUCAGCGAGGGGGAUCGGUCCCCUCCUAAUUCCUCUAUGAGUUGCAAUUCUCGUUCUGAGCCCCCUCCUCCUAGGAGUACCCCUCGUGUCAGCCCACGCUUUCCUAGUAGACGGCCUACCCCUCAUCCUCGAAAGAAGGGUAAGCCAACCAAGCCUAAGGUUCCAGCUCGUUCCUCGGACCAGCCGCCUAAAUCUCCCCCUGCCACACCUUCAAAAUCUAGCAACCCUUUUUCCCUAGGCAUUAGGAGGGCUACUUUGGGGGAGUUGGAGCAAAUUAGAGCCAAAUACAAUAUUCCUCCGUCUGUCCAGCUUAGGGUACCCCAUGUGAAUGAGCGACCCGAGUGUCCAAAGUCUGAUGGGAUUGCUCUCCAUAUCGAUCUCUUCGAUCUAGGACUCCGCCUGCCCCUCCAACCAUUCUUUAUGAAAAUGUUUAGUUACUUGGGGGUAGCUCCUGGGCAGCUGUCCCUUCCAGGGUGGAGGACACUGACGGGCUUACAUGUGUUAUGGUUGGAGGUCGUGAAGCGCGACAUUUCUGUUCGGGAGUUGAGGGGCCUUUACCAAUUCAAGAAGCCUAAGGGUCCCGGCAUUGCUUACUUCUCUCCCUGGGGUGAUCAUGGCCACAUCGUUGAGGGGAACCCCGCCUUGAAGAAGGGUUACCGAAAGGGAUGAUUUGUCGCUGAGGGUACCUCCCACAGCGGGUCAAAGGGUACCCCUCGCUCGAAGAAGAGAAAAUUCGGGCUGGUUUCUACUUUUCCCGAUGAGUUACGUGAGGGUGACUUAGACCCGGCUUCUAACAAGGAGGUUUCGCACUUGGCUCGCCACUUUUACUACUCUGCUGAAAAUGUUACCUCCGAGGUUGCUGAAGAGGUUGACAAGAUGAGCUUGAGCCAGCGUUAUGGUCAAGCACUUAGGGCUACCCAAGAGGUAGGCUUUCUUGGGGUACCCCGGGUGUACUCUUCAUCAUUUUCUUUUUACUUAUUUGAUCUUUUCGCCAUACACAUAUAUUUAACAUGUCUUGCAUGACCCGCAGGCAUCCUUUCUCCUUAGCCACUGCCUUCCGGAUCUCGACUCCCUUGUUGCCGCACAGUCAGAGGUCGACAAGUUAAGGAGUGAGCUUCAAAGCCGUCAAUCUCGUGAGGAUCAGCUCGCUCGAGAAGUUAAAACUCUGCAAGAACGCAUUGCUGGCCUAUCGGGAGAGAAAGCUAGGGUGGAGAAGGAUUGUGAGGAGUUGAGGGCCACCAACGGGGAUCUGCUAUCUCGGCAAAAGACGAUGGCGGAGGAUGCAUUCUCACUCAUCAUGACAGAGGUGUGGAGUGUGGAUCCGGCGUUGGAGGUACCCCGCGUGCAGAAAUUUGUCAACAAGGCUGCCAUUCUGAAGACAAUUGCAGAGCGGAAGAAGUCUUCCCAGGCACGGUCGGGUACCCCUUCUGGGUCGCCUGGGGUACCCCAUCAGCCUCAGUCGUUGCCCGCCUCGGAUGCCCCUAUUUCGGCGGCUCAUAUUCCGGGUACCUCGGAGUCUUCUGCCGAUCGCCCUCUAGAGACGGAUGUUGGGGAUCGCGUUCCCCCCUCGGUGUAGCCUUCUCACUGUGCUCUUGUUUAUCGGAUCUAUCCACAUUUUGCUAUUUGGACCUUGUUUAUUUCUUUUUGGUUUCUCGGGAUAUUUUGUUUUAUUGAGACUUCUCUUUUGUUAUGAUACCAUACCAUCUAGUCCUCUUGUACUUUGCAUUAUUCUGCAAAUGAAUGCUUGGCUAAACUGUUAUCUUACAAAUUCCUAGGGUACCUCUCAUUUCAUCAUUUUUUUUAAAAUGGGGUACCCCUGGUACCUUAACAAGUAUUCAACAUCAGGCGCCUGCUGGUUUACACUGAGCGGCGAAUUUGGUGCAUGCCCUCCUCGGCAACCAUGGCGGAUUUUCCACAAAUAGGUAAUCAAAACAUCGUCGCGACAUCUCGAUCAAAAAUUGAAAGUGCGCAAUUGGUCCAACCAAUCAAUUUCUUAUUCUUUCGAAGUGCUCUCCGAAUUUUUGAAUAGCUUACCCCAUACUUUGCAAAAGUACGAGGAUGGAGGUGUGGGUGUUCUCAUACCUAAGCCGAACUUCGUGCCGCUAGGGUAUGCCGGUUUUUCUUCACCCUCGGGUCCUCUUUGACCCUCCCUCUCUUUGUCUAGGUAGCUUUGUCAUGCUUCCGCAGAAAGGCUACCCCUGGGCUGUUCACUCCAUUGCCUAUCUUGGCUUUACACAGAUCGUCACGAUCUAGGCAUAUCAAGUACCUUGGCUGGUCCUGUGAUAGGUUAGUCAUAACUGACAAGCGUAUGGCGAGAAUUGCAUAUAACCAGAUGCGAGGGUAUAUUAAUGGCGAUAAAUGAAUGUAAUCUGCAUUCUAAGAUCGAAGUGGCGAAAAAUAAAGAAAGAACUCACAUCAUAUUUGUUGAGAAAGAAAAUGCAUUUAUAGAUAACGAAAGCGUUGAUCAAUACAUGACUUAGCUUUGUUACCCUGAGGAGAAUGGGAGACCGCAAGACCUCCUAUUCUUUUCAUUUGAAAAUUAAAGAAACUCUAAAGUUGUAACUGACCAACAUAGGGCAUUUGGGGUACCCUAUUUGGCAUACCACACAAAAACAUUAAAGAAAGCAAAUAACAGCAAAAGACUAAAGGUUGAGACACUGUCCUUUAGUAAUAUUUCCGUAGCAUUGCAGCGUUCCAGGGGUGCCUCACAAUUGUGCCAUCCAUGUGGAGUAGCCUGUAUGCACCUGUCCCAACGGGUUUGUCGAUGCGGUAAGGUCCUUCCCAAUUUGCCCCGAAAGCACCUUCGUAGGGUACCCUAGUGUUCUGAGUUACCAUUCUCAAGACUAAGUCUCCUUUCUUGAAGGAUCGAGGGCGUACCCUUUUUUCAUAUAGACCCGAAAUGCGAUGCUGAUAUAUGGAUGUCCUCAGUUCUGCUCUAGCCCUUUUUUCAGCUACCAAAUCAAGGUUUGAAGCAACCAAGGAGGUGUUCUCGGCCUCAUCGAAGUAUUCAACCCUGUGAGAGGGUACCCCGAUUUCUGCUGGAAUCACUGCGUCAACACCGAAUGCGAGGGAAAACGGGGUCUCCCUGGUGGAGGUGUUUUGAGUAGUCCGGUAUGCCCACAGUACGCCAGGUAGCUCGUCUACCCAUGCUCCAUUUCUUUCCUCUAGCUUCUUCUUCAGGAUACCUUUGAUAAUCUUGUUAACGGCUUCGACUUGCCCAUUAGAUUGGGGGUGGGCAGGUGUAGCAAAUCGGUUGGCUAUCCCCAACUCCGAACAAAAUCUUCAGAAUUUUUCAUUAUCGAAUUGCUUGCCGUUAUCACUGACAAUUGCAUAGGGGAUUCCAAAUCUGCAAAUGAGGUUCUUCCAAAUGAAUUCGGUGGUUUUCCUUUCUGUGAUGCUUGUUAGUGGCUCCACUUCCGCCCAUUUUGUAAAAUAAUCUACCGCCACGAUUGCAUGUUUUGCUUGCCCCUUUCCGGUAGGCAAUGGGCCAAUGAGGUCCACUCCCCACAUAGCGAAGGGCCAAGGGGAAGAUAUAACUGUUAGCUUCUCUGGGGGUAGAUGGGGUACCCUAGCGAACCUCUGGCAUUUGUCACAGCUUCGUACCAUAUUCUUGGCAUCCUCCCGCAUGGUUGGCCAAUAGUACCCCUGACGGAGAGCUUUUUGCGCCAGUGAUUGUGCUCCAUAGUGAUUGCCACAAAUCCCCUCAUGUAUCUCCCUCAUGACAUACUUGGCCUCGUCGCUUCCCAAGCAUCUAAGGUAAGGAAGAGUGAACCCUCUUCUAUAUAGGGUAUCCUGGAUCAAGCAAUACCGGGCAGCUUUAUACUUUAGUCUUCUCGCUUCACUUUUAUCUGAGGGGAGGUCUCCGUCCUUGAGGUGCCUUAUGAUAGGCUCCAUCCAAAGUACCUCGUUGGACAGUGAUCCUACUUCCAACGGCUCUAGGAGAUCAAUGCUGGGGGUGGGUAUGUGUUCUGUUGUGAUGGGGCCAGCUGACUGAGCUACACCAAGGGACGCCAUUUUUGCUAGGGUAUCGGCUUCGCUGUUCUCCAGUCGGGGUACCCUUUCCACUUUAACCUCGCAAAAUUGGGACAUUAAUUCUCUGGUUUUUUCGAGGUACCCCUUCAUGUUUUCCUCUUUCGCCUGAUAUUGUGCGGUAAUCUGGCUUACCACCAACUGUGAGUCACUCUUGACGUGUACCCUUUUUGCUCCCAAAGCCUUUGACAUCCUCAACCCCGCUAUGAUUGCCUCAUACUCGGCUUCGUUGUUUGAAGCCUUGAAUCCGAAUUGCAGGGCGUAGUAUAUUUUCACCUUGUUCGGGUUGAUGAUAAUAACUCCUGCGCCACUUCCGUGUGAGUUAGAGGAACCAUCCACAUAUAUUUCCCAGACCUGCUCCUCUUCAUUGGUGGGUAGGGUAUCUAACAGGUAUCUCAGAUCACAUUCACCACUUGAGUCAUUGGCGAAUUCCGCAAUGAAAUCAGCAAUGGCCUGAGCUUUAAUCGCCGAACGAAGCUUGAAGAUGAUGUCGAACUCGCUUAAUUCGAGGGACCAUCGGAGAAGCCUUCCGGACAUGUCUAACUUCUGAAGGAUUUGCCGGAGGGGAAGGUUGGUGACGACUGCAAUGGUGUGAGCCUGAAAAUAUGGUCUGAGCUUCCGUGCGGAGAUAACCAAUGCCAAAAUGAUCUUCUCAGAGGUGGGGUACCUUUUUUCGGCAUCAACCAUAGCCUUACUAGUGUAGUAAAUAGGUCGUUGUACCCCAUUAUCAUCCUCUCGGAGUAACACAGAGCUGGUGGCAUGCUCGGAUACGGCGAGAUAUAGCAGCAGCACCUCUCCCGGCUCAGGUUUGGCAAGUAGUGGAGCAUUCACGAGGUACCCCUUCAGUUCUUGGAAAGCCUCUUCGCAAUCGGGUGUCCAUUGGAGCUUUUUACCGGUCUUCAAAGCUUUGAAAAAGGGCUUACACCGAUCGGUAGCCUUGGAGAUAAAACGGCUCAGAGCAGCUACCCGACCUGUUGUACCAUGAACCCGAGAAACUUUCCCGAGGUUACCCCAAAUGCACAUUUUUCAGGGUUUAGCCGCAUCUGAUGUUUUCUCAAAACGGUAAAGGUAUCUCUGAGGUGCCCCAGGUGUUACCCCAAAUGCACAUUUUUCAGGGUUUAGCCGCAUCUGAUGUUUUCUCAAAACGGUAAAGGUAUCUCUGAGGUGCCCCAGGUGUUACCCCAAAUGCACAUUUUUCAGGGUUUAGCCGCAUCUGAUGUUUUCUCAAAACGGUAAAGGUAUCUCUGAGGUGCCCCAGGUGUUCCCCCGCAUGCACCGAUUUGGUGAUCAUGUCGUCUAUGUACACCUCCAUGGUGCGCCCGAUUUGUUCUUUGAAAAUUUUGUUCACUAGCCGCUGGUAGGUAGCCCCGGCAUUCUUCAAACCAAACGGCAGGCGUCCAUAAAACUAAGCAUUUCAUGCCUCGCUGUUGCAUCAACCAGCUGGUCCACCCGAGGAAGCGGGAAGCUAUCCUUGGGGCAGGACUUAUUCAAGUCGGUGAAGUCCACGCACAUGCGCCACUUUCCGUUUGAUUUCUUGACAAGAACAACGUUGGACACCCAAUCGGGGUACACUGCUUCCCGAAUAAACCGUGCUGCUGAUAGGCGGUCUACCUCUUGUUCAAUUGCAUCGUACCUCUCUUGAUUGAAGGCGCGAUGCUUCUGUUUGACCGGUUUAUUAUGCGGGCUGACAUUGAGUUUGUGACAUGAGAGAGAAUGUGGGAUACCCGGCAUAUCCGAGUAGGUCCAAGCAAAUACAUCGAGGUGCUCACAUAGGAAGGUGAUGAGUUUCUCCCUUUGUUCCUCCGAGAGGUUGGAGCCUACUUUCACUGUCUUUGUUGGGUCGGUGGCGCAAAUCGAGACUGAAAUAAGAUCUUCAACUGGGGUACCCCGCAUUUCAUCUUUCAAUAUCCGGGGAUCCAAAGGUGCCUCAACUUCACAUCUGGGCUCCUCCUGGUCCCCGUGGGGUACCCUCGAGCUAUCCCCCGUAACUGCUUCCAUCUCCCUUGGUGAAAACUCCAACUUUUCUCGUGGGUGGGCUACUUGAGGAGAUUUUUUCAGUACUGUUCUCCGCUGUCUAGCAAGUGCUCGCUUUGAGGGGGAAGGUGUGGGCUGGCUGCCACUAGGGUACCCCUUCAUUGGCGGAUCUGAAGCUAUUUGGUAAGUGACUUUGGAGGCCACGGAAUAACAUCCACGAGCCGAUUGCUGGUCCCCUUUAAUGGUGAUAACUUCUUGGGCGGCCGGGACUUUCAUGGCGAGAUAGUGCAUGGAUACCACCGCUUUAGUUGCUACUAAGAACGGCCUACCCAAUAUAAUAUUGUAGGCACCCGGGUGAUCUACAAUAAGAAAAUCAAUCAUAUGAACAACACGGUGAGGUACCUUACCAAGUGUAACGGGCAGCGUAAUGAUGCCUUUUGGUAUAACCAUAUCUCCGGCGAACCCAAUAAGAGGCGUAGCAUAUGGGGUGAUCUUUGGCGACUCAAUCAAUAGCUGAUCCAAGGCGCUUUUGAAAAUGAUGUCAACGGAGCUACCGGUAUCUACGAGAGUUUUUGCUACCUUACCAGUGGCAACCUUCAACGUAAUUACGAAGGCAUCAUCGUGGGGGUACGAGAUGCCCUCCGCAUCUUUUUCUGUAAAAAGGAUAGGCGGGGGAUGGUGGGGUACCUUCGGUGUACCCCAUUCAUUAAGGUUGACUUCUCUGCCCAUAUUGGUGGUUAUCGACAACGAUCUACCAUAGCCUUUGAUAGCCCUCCUAGAUUGGCCUGCUAAAGUCGGUCCGCCCAUGAUCAUUCGGACAUACACGCCUUUCUUGUGUCCAGGGGGUACCUCUCGUUCCGGACUGCCAUCAGCUACCCGCUUGCCUUUAUCCUGUUCCGCAGAUUUCCGAGCUUCUCUCAUGCCAGCAACAAAUUCUUUGAGGUACCCGCUAAGAAUCAAAGAUUCAAUUUCUUCUCGCAAGGUGAAGCACUCGGCUGUGCUGUGACCAAAGUCCUCAUGGAACUCGCAAUACUUCAGGCUACGCUUCAUGUUGGGGUACUUCUUCAUUGGCUUAGGAGGACGGAGGAGGCCGCUAUCCCGAAUAUGGUAGAAGAUCUGCUCUGGGGAUCGAUUCAGUGGGUGGUAAGAUUCAUACCGAGGCCUCGGCGGUGGCUCUCGUUGAUCCGGUGGUGGCGAUCUUGGAGGUUGGGGUACCCUUGAGGCACCCUGAGGGUUAUACCCUUGUCCCCGCAAGGCAGCCCGUGGAGGGCUCCGUGCUCGGGGUACCCGCGGUAUUGGGGCCUCCACCCUCUUGGGCUUCUCCUUGUUCUUUGUAACAUCGGCCUUAUCUUCUUGGCGCUUCAAUUGGCAUUUUUCGUCCAUCUCCAAUUGUUGCAACGCCCGAGAACGGGCUUCCCCAUAUGAAAGUGGACGCUUCUUUUGAAAAGAACGCCAUAACUUGCCCAACCGCAAAUUUUUCUCAAAAUGGGUCAAUGUGUAUUGGUUUCCAAAUGCUCCGGUUCGCAGCACCUCUUGGUGGAAACGACUUACAUACUCCGCCAAAGGCUCGGCUUCCCCUUGCUUGAUAAAGGCAAGUUUGGAGGCUACCCUAUCUUGAGUGGAAGCAUAGGAAAACUCUUUAGUAAAUUCAGAUAACAAUUGGUGUAAGGAAGAUAUGCUACCCGCUUUCAAAGAUCGAAACCAUGACUUCGCGGGGCCCGUGAGUGUGUGUGUAAACAUCCUACACAUGGCGCUCUCAUCUACACCCUUAAUGAGCAUUUGGUCACGGUAUAGCUCAGCAUGCUCCGAGGGAUCAGUGGUACCCGAGUAUUGGGGUAUCUGAGGCAUGGCGAACGCCUCGGGGAGAGCUGCUGUCCUAAUCUCCCUAGUGAAUGGUGAUUGGUAGGUCAUUGGCGUUGGUGCAGCUGUGAUGUUUUGCUUCUCGGAGAGGAGCUUCACUUGGGCUUCCAGGUUCUCCAUCUUUUCCACAAGUUCGAGGGGUACCCUCGGUGUACCUGAUGAUGUCGCCGCCAUUUGAGAAGCCCUUUUGGCGUUUAACUUCUCACGGAGAUCAUCGUGGGUACGCUUUGCACGCCUCGUACCCUGGCUACUGCGGGAAUUGCAAGAGGCAGUGGAACGCUCGUCGCGGGAGCCCAUGGUUUGAAACUUAGAACGGGUACCCGAUGGCCUAGGCUUUGGCUUGCUGGCCUCGGGUACCCCUCUUCUGACCAUAGCUUGGUCGUCCGUUUGAGGUGGUGGAGCUUCUAGCGUCACUGGUGGAAGUGAACUUUCGGGUGCCCGAGAUCCAACCGCCCUAAGUAUUGCGUGAGCAAGAUCCUCAAAACGCUUGUGCGAAAUAGGUUCUUCUUCUUGGCGAACACCCGUCGACUGCUUGACACCCUUGCCCUUACUGAUGCGGGCUACCCUUCUCGCGGGAUCACUGCCUUCACUGCUGCUGUCCUCUCUCAUCCUUGUAGGAUCCCCCAUUAAACCUUUAGGAGGUACGUCGGGUGCCAUGUAUUGGAGUACACACAACAACUAGUUUGGUAACCGUGGAGGAGGCUUUUUGUGCGUCUCCCCACAGACGGUGCCAAUUGUUUUCAACUGGUUUUGGGGUAAGAAAAGCCAAACCAAUCUAGAACAAUAAAUUUGUUAUUUUGAGGGGAGAUGGGGUACCUCACUGGUUUAUUGUGUGUUGGGCGGUGUAUCUAAGAUUUUGGGGAGGUGAGAAAGGGAGAGAGAGUGGUAACAAUGGUGGAAGAUCAGAAACAAGAGAGGUAUCCUUCAAAAUGAGCUUCACGCCUGCAAAACAAUGAAAUAGAGGUUAGAGGUGAAGCCGGGGGUACCCCGGCGUUCACACUCCGACGCUCAAGUUAGCAAACUCAAGCUUUUAUUGCAAAGAGAGCUAGCUAGCCCUCUGUAAAUUAGGGUUUAAGGUUGAAGAAAACCUCUUUUUUGGAGUGUGAGUGUUUUUGGGCGAAUGAGAGCAUGAUGGAGAAUGAAACCUAGGCGCCUUUAUAUAUGGAGUACCUUAGCUGCCACGUGGCAUACCCUUUUUGGCUAACGUCCUUUUACCGCUUUUAUGAUUCUUGGGGCCGUUAUGUGCAUGUUCGCGGCGUAUCUCAUCUUUUGGAAACGUGGCGCGCGCUGGAGAGUGGUCCAGGGUACCUCUGCAGUAGCUGUCGGGUAGGCGGCUAGGGACCACUGUCCUUGGGACAGUGUCCUUCACUUUUGGCAGAGGUAGCAGACGGCUGUCCCUCCUUUUAGCACGUCGCUUUUGAUUCCUAAUUCUGACAAAAUCAAAUGAUAUCUUUUAGGAGGCGGAGACGUUUCUCAUGGCGGAUAUUUUCGGUGGAUUCUCUUGCAUCCGCUUUGCCGGGUACCUCGAAUUACAUGGGGUACCCCCUAUUACGCAGGGUACCCCUAUCUGUAUGGGAUACCUCUAUUUGUAUGGGGUACCUCUAUUUGUAUGGGGGUACCUCUAUUUGUGUGGGAUACCUCUAAUUGUGCAGGGUACCUCUAUUUAUACGGGGUACCUCAAGUCAUGUCGGGCACCUCGGAUUAUGUAGGGUACCUCCGAUUGUGCUGAUAUCAUUCCAUUGGCUGACACAUGGCGCUCUAUUACCUUUCCCAUCUUUCCCUCAAACAGAUAAAAAUAAUACUUCAAAAGCAUUGAAAUGUAAGUGCUAUUAAAAAAACGUUUUUCAUUCAAAGCUAUAAGUAAUGAAAUGAAGAUAGAUAUCAUUGUUGAUUAAAAAAAAUUCAGAAAAAAAGAAAGAGUGAAAGAAAAGAGCUUGUUAUGUUAGAAAAUAGUGAUAGAGUAUGUUAAGGACUAAAAUUUAUUAAAGAAAGCAGUGGUUCUAUUUGAAAUUUGAUCAAGUUAGAAUUAGUCAAUUAUGCAUCGAGAAUGAAAAGAAUGAAGAAAGGGAAUUCAAAUUAGACUUACAAAAUUAUAAUAAAGUGAUUAGUUAAGAUCCAAUUAAGCUGAUUUACUAAAAAAAAAUAUUGAAAAAUAAAGGGCCAUAACAUUGCCAAAAGGACUAGGAAACUAAGUAGGAAGGGGUGAUUGUUGCGGAAUACCUUGAAGUGUAGUUAUUCCACAACCACGAAGACCAAUUGCUUUCGAGUUUUGUCAAAUAUAUAUGCCAAUCCUACAACAAUAUAAAGCAAAAUGUUACUAUCAAAUUAUUGUAGAAGACUGUGAUCGUUGUGAUAGAUCGGUAAUUUUAGUAGCUUACCUAGCCUUCUUAAAGAGCCACUUGUUAGAUUGAGGUUCCAGGUUAGAUCCAACACUUUCAAGUUUCUCAGUAAACAUUAAUUUUGAUCAAAACAAUAGACAUAAAUAGACAUAAAUGAAGUUAGUGUAUUAAAAAAUGUUGUCGUUGAAAUUACCACCAAGAUUCAAGAUCUUCAGCUGUUUCAAACUCCCAAAGCUGUCGUAAGCUGCAAGUGCAUAUAAAUUAUUAUCAUUAAUUAGUCACUGGCAAAAUAAUUAUGAAUGAGUAAUAUGAGUCAAGGCACUGCAAUUCUUCAAAAGGGUGAAACAAUGACAUACUCAGAAGGGAAACUCCAUAAGAAUAAGAGUUAUAAUCAGAGUAGUGGAUUUUUGUUUUCUGAUUGAGUGACAGUUGCGUCACCCGUCGGGUGGUGGCGUUGCACUUAACUCCCUCGCAAUUGUUACAACAAUCAGACGACAUUCCAUCAUCAUCAAACCAUGAAGAAAGAAUGUUGUCAUCAUAUCCAACAUCACUGGCUGAUAUGAAGAAGCUCUUGAUUUCCAACAGAGCAAUCCUCUCUGUUUCCAAUCAUGCUUUGUAUCCAUGUAACUGAAUCAGAGCUAUGCCAAUCCACAAUGACAACUUCAUCAAAAGCAUUUUCAUUAUUAAUAUUAACUGCAAGAGAAACACUCACAAGAUUGACCUGUCAAUUGUUGCUCUCUUGAAGUUUUUCUGGUUGUCUGGCAAAUAUAUGAUUUGUAUAUACACACAUGGAAAUGUUAGAAAACUAAGUCUUUGAUACAUGAUAUCUUCUUGUGACCCUAGUACCGUCCAAAGACAUUGAAACAAAGAGAAAUUAACAGCUGACUUACCUGCAUCAUGUGCAAAUCACGUGACAUCAAAAGUUACCAUGUAAUUUGUCUUUAUAAGUGUUUUCUGCUUCUGAAAAUGAAAAAUAACAAAAUGGAAAUGCUUUUAGCUUUUGGCUAGACAUUUUCAGGUCACUCUCUUAUCGUGGCCUGCGGCUUGCAGUCAUCAACAAUCCUCAUCUGGCCUCUUUAUAAUCCACUUUUAACAAAAUAUAGAUAGAAACAGAUAUAUUACUGAUAUUCAAAUUACACUUAAUAUUAAUAAAUCUUUGGACUGAGCUUUAAAUCUAUAAACUAAAACUUCCAGCAUACCACAAAUUAUUUUUAGAGCCCGCAUGUUGGAAUAUCUCCUUCAAGUUUCGCUUUGCUUUCUAGCACAUCAUUCAAAUGAGUUGCUAUACUAUAUCUAGCUAGUUUUGAACAAAGUAAGUGAGAAUAUUACAUCUGCUUUAGCAAGAUACGAGUGAAUUAAAACCUUUGACCAGAUUCAAGAGAGAAAAGAAUGUUGAAAUAUUGACUUGAAUAUUAUGGCAAAAUGAGUUUGACUUUAGUACCGACCAAAGAAAUAAUUGAAGAUGCAAAUUGGUUAGUUUGAGGUGCAUGGCUAUUGGCACAACAACAUUUGCUGCAUAACGAAAUUGCGGCGUCUCAGCCGGAUUGUGAGAGUUGUUUUCAAAUCCCAUUUCUCUUCUUUGUAUUUAUUCAUUGCCACAACAUUUGAUGCAUAUUUUGAUGACUACUCAAACGCGUUUCCACAAUAACUAACGAAAGGAAAAGUGAACGAAUAAGCAAAAGACACUGAUGACUAUAAUCAUGUAAAUGAAGUACAAGGCUUCACAAUAGAUUAGACCACCAAUUUGUGCCUUUUGAAUGCAUGUGCUUGAACAAGAUACGAGUGAAUUGAGGCAUAUCUUUCUUUCACAAUGUAAACUUCCCAAAAUACAUGUAAUCUGCUGGUGAAAUAAUUUUUAUAAAACAAAGGCUUAAAGUUAAAGCUGACUAAAAAUAUUGGCGUACGUCAAGAACGCUACGGGGAAAAUUCAACCGUGAGCUGCAGUCUGCAGUCCCCAACAAUCCGGGAAAAGGCUGAAGAGGUGCGCGCCUGCGCAUACUAAUUUGGCAGGUCUGAUAGGAUUUAUAAAUUAAAAUAAUGUAAUUUUAUAUAUUUUUUAAAUGAAAAAUUUGUUGAUGCCGCUGUGAGAUCCAUUGGAUCCUCGCGUGCCUGCCCCACAAAACAAUCUCCAUCAAAUCUCUUUACAAUCCAUUUUUGAUAAAAUAUGAAUAAGGAUACAUAUAUUUAUUCAAAUAUUAGUAAAAAUAGAUAUAUUGCUGAUUUUUUUUUGGUGUAAGCCAUUCGGUAUUUGGCGAACGCAAUUGGAUCCCGACUAAUCCGAAUUUGGGGUGUAGUCACAGUUAAAGCUCUUUACUCCUCCCACGUAAUUGGAUCCCGACUAAUCCGAAGCGAACGCAAUUAGAUCCCGACUAAUCCGAAUUUAGGGUGUAGUCACAGCUAAAGCUCUUUACCCCUCCCAAAUAACUUAUUUAGUGGGGAUUGAACCCAAGAGCUCUUCCCACAAACUCAGCCUGCGUUGCUAACUGAGCCACAACCAUUUGGUUAUAAUGCUCAUUUUUAAAUUAUACUUAAUGAACAUUUAGACCGAGCUGUAAGUCUAUGAAUUCAAACUUCCACAACACCACCAAUUAUUUUUAGCCUGCAUGUUGGAUUGUCUCCUUUAAGGCUGUGUUUACUAAACUGGAAUGAGAAUUGAAAUGGAGAAAUCCGAAUGAAUGACUUGUUUAGUCAUUAAAUUGAUGAUAGGAAUGGGAAUAAGGUGAGUAGGCUCCAAGUUCUUGAAGAGGAAAGAUCACUAUGGCACCAAUCUCCGGAAGAGGCAAGUCCAAUAAAGCCAAGGCUGACAAGAAGAAGAAAGAAGAGAAAGGCUUCAAUUGUUAAUCUUUUUUAUUCACUGCUUUCAUUGGAAAGUGCUUUUUGUAAAGUGCUUCCGCUUUCUAGCUUCCUUAUGUUCAUUGAUUUUUUUGUUGUGCAGUAGUGCCCAGUGUUCUUGAUAUCACAAUCAUCACCCCAUAUGAAUCACAAGUUGUUCUCAAGGUAUAAAUUUAUACUUAUCAUCAAUACUUUCUUGUUUUGCCCUCACCAGCUAUGAUUAGGAUAUUAUUUUGUAAAACUUUAUAAAUAUAAAUGAAUUAUUAAUUAAUCAUCUUUUUUUUUUUUUUUGGUUUGAUUGAAAUUUGCUCAAAGGGCAUCUCCACUGACAAGAUAUUUGAUGUGAAGAAAUUGUUGGCUUCCAAUGUAGAAACUUGCCACCUCACAAAUUAUUCUCUCUCUCACGAGGUGUCUAUAUUUUAUUAUCUCUUUUUUUUUUUCAUUAUAUAUGAUUAUGAAUUUUUUUCUGAUAAUAUUAAACACUAGAUACUAUUUUUUCCCACCUUAUUUUUAUGUGUUUAUUUCUUUAUUAUUAUUAUUAUUAUUAUUAUUAUUAUUAUCUGGUCAAGGGGCAGAGAUUGAAUGAUAGAGUAGAGGUUACUCUGAAACCAUGUUUGCUCAGAAUGGUUGAAGGCAGGUGAACCUCUCGCAUGUCCAAUUUUCUGAAUUAAAAAAUCUCAUUCAUGUGGAUGUGGGUCUCAUUUUAUUUGUUAUUUUUAAUUAUCAACAUUUAGAUCUUUUUAGUUGUUCAUCGCCAUACUAUUUUAGUAAACUAUAUUGAUUUGAUGGGGGAACCUUAGGUGCAACUGUGGCACCGUGCCACAAUUGCAUCUUAACCGUUGGAUGCCUGUGGACCUCAACACUCUAACUGCAUCCAACGGCUAGAUGCAACUGUGGCACGGUGCCACAGUUGCACCGUAGCCUGAUCCUGAUUUGAUUGUAUGUUUUUUAAGAAUUUUUUAAUAUUAUUGAAAAAAACAGAUUAAAGUGAAAAAAUUAUUGACUAUAUUAAUUGACUAAAUAAAUAAAUAAAUGACAAUAUUUUAUUUUUUAACAUUAAAAAAAACCAAUUUGAUGCAGUCCGCUUAGUCCUGCACACUUGGAACGUUACCAUGCUUUUUUGUGCUGUACAUUUUGGACUUAACUUUCCUUGUCAUUUCAAGUCAAAGUUUUUUUUUUUUUUUAAACUGAUUAAGUGUCAGGUUACUGUAUUACACAGAGAUAUUUACAAAUAAUAACAUAUCACUGAUAUUUACAAUCCGAUAUAUACUUAGGACUUACAUUAUUAUAUUUUUAUUCUAUAAAGUACGUGCCCAGCCAAAUAUCACUCAUAGGAGAGGGAUGUCUCUACUCCACUAGCAUUUCGCAAUGGAAAAAGACGUUAUAAAUAAUCUCUAAACAAUUAUAAUUAAUUGAGGGAGUUUGAGUCAGUAAAAAUUCGAACUAUUAAUAGUCAUUCUUAAUUUUAAGGGCAAUGAUUCACCUCUGGGCUACAAGCCCAAAUGGCAUUUCAAGUCAAAGUUGAAGCUGUUUCAAAAGUACAAUAAUAAGGUGCAUUUAAGUAACUGGCCUAAACUUUAGAAAUUUCAGAAGUUACAGAAUACGCAGUUCAUAUCUAGGAGCAUUAUUAGUUUAAUCAUUAAAUGACAAAAUUUUGCCAAUCUUUUUACGAGCCUUAACAAACUUUUUCUAGUUGAUAUUCAAAGUUUUAUUGAUUUUUUUUUAUAGUCAACUGUACUAAUUGAACAGUCAAUUUAAUAUAAAAACGACUUUAUCGCUUUGUGAUCCUAAUUUUCAACCAGGCGUUAAAAUCUAUUACCCUUAAAAGAAUAUUAGUUGGCAGAAAUGUAAACAGAAGUAAGAAGGUUUGUAGAAGUGUAUUAUUUCAGAAUUACUAAUUUUAUUGUGAAUAAUUAAUAUGAUUAGAAUUUAACAAAAUUUUAUUUAAAGACUUGUUUAAAGAGCAAAAAAUUUAUUUUUUAUUAUUUUUAAUACUUAUAAUUGUAAUUUAAUUUAGAAAUAUUUUAAUUAUAAAAAAUUAUUUUCAAAAAUAAAUUCGACGAAUAGUUUAGGGCUUUCAAAUAACUCUACUUAUAUUUAAAUUAAUAUUUAAAAGAAAGAAAUAAAAUAAUAAAAGUAAAAAACUUUGCCCGGCAAUUCCUUGUUAUUUACAUUUUUGGCACUGUCCUUGGCAGUGGACUACACAGAGGAAUCUCAGGCCGUGGCACACGUGCGGCGGCUUCUCGACAUCGUCGCGUGCACCACACGUUUCUCCAAGUCCAGAAACUCCCGAUCGCCGCCAUCAUCAGAGUCAUGUGCCAAAAAGAACGGCAGUAGGCCCCACCGACCUUCACUAAACCCUGCCACUCUGUCUGAUGGGGCAGCAACAGCAGCAGCAGAUAACCGAAGCGGGCCCCGCGCCACGUCAUCGCCAGUUUCGUCGGCGGUUUCUCCGAGUCUGGACAUGGCGGCCAUUCACCCGACGCCGAAACUCUCCGAGUUUUAUGACUUCUUCUCUUUCUCUCACCUCACUUCCCCCAUCUUAAGUAAGCCUAAUGUUCACUUAUUUAUUUGUCUUCGUUUUUUACAUGGUUGAUCCAAAAAAGGUUGACGUCUCUAUUUUUUAAGCUGUUGGAGCAAUACGCCGUCUCAUUGAUUCAAAUUUACACACUCAAGAUACAAUCAAUGUCCAAAAGGGGGCAAUCUUGCAUGAAGAUCGGGUGGGAGACUUGUCCAUUACAGUAAAAUGUGAUACAGUAGAUGCAAGCUUGAAAUAUGAGGUUACUGUUAAAGGAAAUCAGUCAUCUAGUGUGUCUGCUGCAGAAGUUGCUCAAAGGAAUUUACUAAACGGUGUUACUGCAGAUGAGAGUGUAGUUGUUCACGUAAGUCGAUUUUUCCUUUACUUUUUAUGCUUACUUUCACAGAACACACACAUAAAAGACAUUCAUCAAAGCUGAAAUUACUUACGUGGGCGGAAUAAUAUAGCUCUACCUUUGUCAGGGAGUGGUUUUUCAGUCGGAUUAAGAUGUUUCACUCUUUAUCUGAUAUCUGGCAUUUGAUGAUGGCCUAAAAUACCCAUCCUCUUCACUCUCUCUUUCUACACAUUUAUGAAUGCACAAGAAAGUCAAUUUUAGGUUCUUUCCUAAGAAUCACUACUCGUUACUAACCUUAUAUAUCUGGUUUAGCUUCAUGAAUCUUAUGUUGCCAUUCUGUUUGGUGACUCCCUAUUCUGUUGAAAUCACUGGAUAGCUGGUCUUUCUACUGAUUUUAUCCAUAUCCCUCUGAUUUUCUGCUUGUGGUUUGUUCCAACUUAAUGUCAUCAACCCUUUUUGGGGAAGCCUAUUAACCUUGGUUGGGCAUGCUUGUAUUAUAUCAACUAGUGAUACAAUUGCUAAAGUUUUCAGCAUGGUAGAUCUUGAAAUAAAAUUUUCUUGAAAUAUCUAGAUUUAUUUUUCUCAAAAUAUCUAGAUUUAUCUUCCUAUUCUUUUUCCCUUUCUUUUAUUUUAGUUUCAAAGAUUUGUGAUAAAGAGAACUGAAACAAUAUAGUUUUUGGCAGGAUACCUCCUCAUUGGGUACCGUCAUUGUAUGACAUUGUGGAUACACCGCUGUAGUAAAAGUUGUUGGUGAUGUGAAGGAGAAGUUUGGCACACAAGAUAUUGAAAUUGAAGAUCAACCUGGUGGAGGAGCUAAUUCUCUUAAUAUUAACAGGUCUGAAAUUGUAACACAAUGCUUCCUCUGUCGAUUCCUCUUAGCACACAAAGACUAGGAAAUCUACAGAUGGAGAAUGGCUGUAAGAUAUGAAAAAUUAUCUUUCAACCAAUAACAGUUUUAAGCUAUUCUGCAAGAUAUCUUAGAAAUGCUAACUGUUAUGAGCUUCUUUGCUUAGUGUCUAUCACAGUUGAAUUCAUGAUGCAGAGCAUUGUUAUUCUCUUUAGUUUUACCAGAUAGAACAGGAUUGAAAUGCUGGUGUUGGGGAUUCUUAAGAAAGGAUAGCACCUGUUCCUUUUUCUUCCUGUUUAGAUGGGAUCUAAUCAGUAGAUGUCUGAACUCUUAAGGGGAGUUGAUGUCAGAUUUCUAAACCAGGUUUUCUUCAAGUGUUAAGUUUAUGAAUAGGCCAAAGAAAAGAGAGCUGAUAUCUAGUUAUGGCUUUCACAAUAAUGGUUGAGUGUUUAUAGUUAUGUGCUCUGACAUUGGUUUGUAAUUGUUAUAUUAACAAAAUAACCAACAGACAUCGUUGACGAUGUUCAAAUAAAGGAUAAAGGAAAGUAUAAUUACAGUGGAUGCUCAGUUGCUGCAAUAGGUCAUCGGCUUUUUAGAUUGUGCUAUUUCAGAAAGUAUUUAGGCCUUCUUUGGUGGAUUCUGCCUUUGUUUCAUAUACUCUUAUGUCUUUCUCCAUUUAAGUUGUUCUGACAGGGUAAACUAUUUAUUGCAGCUUAAGGCUUGUACUUCAGAAGUCUUUCAGUGCUGAAUCAGCUAGAGGAGACCAAUUACCUCUGUGCAAUUUGGAUAAUUCGGAAGCUUUUAGAAAUCUUGUAAGAAGAGUUAUUAAACAGAGUUUAGCAAAGUUAGAGCUGGAGCCAACUGCUUCAGAAAGAUCUAUUAGAUGGGAACUUGGUUCUUGUUGGGUGCAGCAUCUACAAAAGCAGGAAACUCCAACAGAUACCAAGUCAACGAGGUCUGGGGAUGAUAUUAAGACUGAAAAUGACAAUGGACCGUGCAGCAUGAAUGUGGGAGGUAAUGGUAGACAGCAAAGCAAUGGCGAGCUCAAUUGUGAGAUGGAAUUGAAAAAACUAAUUUCGGAAGAAUCCUUCUUGCGAUUGAAAGAAACUGGCACUGGCCUUCAUUCAAAAGUUUCAGAAUCUCAAAUUUGUUUUGCAUUUCAACUGUAAAGUUUGCUACUUUUUGUGUUUUCAUUAUGCUAAAUUUGGUUUGUUUUAUUUUCAUAUGGAAUGGCUGGUAAAAUUAAUUUCUUGUGCAGGCAGUGGAUGAGCUUAUGAAAAUGGCAUACAAGUAUUAUGAUGACAUUGCUUUACCAAAGCUGGUACUAUUUAAUUUAUUUAGGGCCUUUGUUGCAGCCAAUUAAGACGUGUGGGGAUGGUUUAUGGACUAAUUUCCAUUCUUUAUUAGGUAACAGACUUUGGAUCACUUGAACUUUCUCCAGUUGAUGGCCGCACACUGACAGACUUUAUGCAUUUAAGGGGACUACAAAUGCGCUCUUUAGGUUGUGUGGUGAGGAAUUUCUCCCUCUCUUUCUCUCUCAGACAUGCAACCUAUUCACCCAUGGAAAUCGGAAUAAACAAAUGUUGUCUUUCUUUAUGUAAACAAAGCCCCCAACUUAUCUUUCUAUAUGUAAACAAUCCCCCAAGUCUUCCUGGAUUGAAUUAUCAAUGUUCCUUUUUGAAAAUUGUACUACAUGAUAGAAUUUUUGACAAUGUUGACCUUUUCCAAGACAUUGAAUUAUUGUCGUCUUUAGAUAUUACUGUAUGUUGUAUGACAUACAAUAUUUUGAGAAAUUGACAUGCUAAUACUUGGAAGCCUGGUAUUCUUCUUCUGUUGGUUCUAAUCCCAUUUACAAAUUCAGGUUGAACUUGCAGAGAAGCUUCCUCACAUACAAUCACUUUGUAUUCAUGAGAUGGUUACUCAAGCGUUCAAGCAUGUACUCAACGGAGUCAUCGCAUCUGUUGACUAUUUAUCAGACCUAUCUGCAGCUAUAGCUUCUUCCCUAAAUUUCUUAUUUGGCUGUUGUGAGAUGGAAGAUGAGCAAAGCUGGAAUGAAGAUCAUAUCCUCAGAUUGCAGUGGCUACGAACAUUUCUUGGCAGAAGAUUUGGUUGGUCCCUGAAAGAUGAAUUUCAGCAUUUGAGAAAGAUUUCAAUUCUACGAGGGCUUUGCCAUAAGGUAAGGUAUUGUCUUUUCGGUUCCUUUGGCAGCCGAUUAUUUUCAAAGCUUGAAUUUUGCUUGUAAACUUCACCCAGGUUGGGUUGGAGUUGGUUCCAAGAGAUUAUGAUAUGGAUUGCCCAAACCCAUUCACGAGAGAUGAUAUUGUCAGCAUGGUUCCUGUGUGCAAGGUGAGACUAUUUUCUCUCUUAAUUGUGUUUUGAUUUAGUUUUUACAUUCUCAGCGAGUCACUCAUUUGUAAAUUGAAUGUAAUUGUGCUAUUUUUAUGGCAUUCUACAGCAUGUAGGUUGCACUUCAGCCGAUGGACGGACCUUAUUAGAGUCAUCCAAAAUUGCCCUUGAUAAAGGAAAACUAGAAGAUGCUGUAAAUUAUGGGACAAAGGUAAUAACCCACUCGAUCUAUAUGUAAGAAUUACAUUAUUCUUUUCAAAAUAAGGCAUCUCUUGAUCUCAUAUGAUGUAUUACUUGCAUUGUAAGGCACUGGCAAGGAUGAUAGCUGUUUGUGGUCCCUACCAUCGGACUACUGCAAGUACUUACAGUCUUCUAGCUGUAGUUCUCUACCACACUGGAGACUUUAAUCAGGUACGACAAUCUUCAGUUGUAUUUCAGUGUCAACUUGGUGAUUCUAAGUCGAGUAUAAUUAUAACGUCCUUCUGUACGGAGGUUCUCAUUCAGCGGGACAUUUGAUUUGAAACUUUGUGUUAUGGUUACUUUUUAUGGUCUUGUAUAAAGAUAUGCAUUAGGAAUUAUAAUUUUCUGGAUUUGGGAAUUACAUGUACAGGCAUUAGCAUAAUUUUGAUAUCAGAUUAUAUAUUUUAACUAAAUCAAACACGUUCAUGGUUCUUAUGUUCAGGCAUUUCGUCUAAUGGCAUCUGCGUCUGAGUGUUAGAGUAGCGUUCGUAUGUGCUCAAGAUAUCUUCUUCUUCAUUUUAGGCAACUAUAUAUCAGCAGAAGGCAUUGGAUAUUAAUGAGAGGGAACUUGGUCUUGACCAUCCAGAUACAAUGAAAAGCUUUGGGGUGUCAAAGGAAUUAGCAGAUUCUAUGGCAAAUUCUAUGCCUGUACAGCUGUAACAAUUAUCUUUAUGAUUGUAAAUCUUUUAUGUUUUCCUUAUUUAGGAUAUACUAGCUGUAAGCUAAUUUAGAUAGUUUUGUAUAUGAUAGUUUAGCGAUGUUUAGGGCUAAACAUAAGCUUGUAUUCAUAGUAUAUAAUGGGAAUUCUCCUCCAAGAGAAAAACAACUUUUGCUCAAAAUUCUCUUAGUUUAUCAUGGUAUCAGAGUCUCAGUUCUGAAUUCUCUUCUUCCUAGUUCAUUCUCUUAUUCUUAGUUAUUUUUUAUCAAGUUAUCUCAGCCUCAUGUCUUCAGACAAGUAUGAUGCCUUUUUGAUCCGUUUUAAUGGCACAAACUACUCAGCCAGGGCAUUUCAUUUCGAGAUAUUUGUCAAAGGCAAAGAUCUAUAGGGACAUGUUGAUGGCAAGAAACCUGCCCCUGACAAAGACAUAGACCAGGAUGGGCACGCCAAGUGGGAAGUCAAGGAUGCUCAAAUCAUGGCAUGGAUUCUAGGAUAUGUGGAAUCCAACUUCAUCUUGAAUCUUCGACCCUUCAAGACCGUAGCAGGAAUGUGGAAUCAUCUGAAGAAACUCUAUAGUCAAACCAACACUGCUCGUCGAUUUCAACUUGAACAUGAGCUAGCCAAUCUCCAACAGGGCAGUCUCGCUAUUUCUGAUUUUUAUUCUAGCUUCAUGAAUCUUUGGGCUGAAUAUACUGAUAUAAUCUAUGCUACCUUACCUCCCAAAGGUCUUAGUUCUGUUCAAUCUGUACAUGAAACUACUAAGAGGGAUCAGUUUCUGAUGAAAUUGAGAUCUGAAUUUGAAAGCACUAGGUCUAAUCUUAUGAACCGAGAAUCUGUCCCUUCCUUGGAUACAUGCCUCAAUGACUUAUUUCGUGAGGAGCAACGACUUCUUACUCAAAACACCAUGGAACAACAAAAAUCCACUUCUGUUCUUAUAGCUUAUGCAGCUCAAGGCAAGCCAAAAGGUAGGGACAUAAGUACAGUUCAAUGUUUUUGUUGCAAAGGAUUUGGACAUUACGCUUCAAAUUGUUCAAAAAAAUUCUGCAACUAUUGUAAAAAGGAUGACCAUAUCAUCAAGGAAUGCCCUACUCGACCCCCCAAGAAAUCUGAAACAGCAUAUGCUACCGCAGUUGGUUCUUUUAGUGCUGGUAGUUCUGUCGAUACAGCACAUUUGACACAAAAUGCUCCUGCUCCUGUUCAGUCUGUGACCCCAGAAAUGAUUCAACAAAUGAUUAUUACUGCAUUCUCCUCAUUAGGACUCUCAGGUAAAUCACCCACUACAUCUCCUUGGUACUUUGAUUCUGGGGCUUCCCAUCACAUGACAAACAAUGAUAAAUUCCUCACCAAUGUAAGUAAAUACCCUGGAAAUCUAAAAAUUCAUACAGCUGAUGGCAACUCUUUACCUAUCACAGCCACUAGUGAUGUUUCUUCUUCUAUAACCAAUGUCUUUGUCUCUCCUGGUCUUACCACUAAUCUUGUUUCAGUCGGUCAGUUAGUUGACAAUAAUUGUAAAGUAGAAUUCUCUAAAUCUGGUUGUGUUGUGCAGGAUCAGCAGUCAGGGAAGAUGAUUGCCAGGGGGCCUAAAAUAGGACGUCUUUUCCCUCUCCAAUUUGCUGAGUCUCCAUGUUUCUCUUUGCCCAUCAUCACUUGUAAUUUUACUAAUGUUAAUUAUCGAGCAUGGCAUAAGCGUCUAGGACACCCAAACUCUAAUGUACUUCAUGCUUUGCUAAAUUCUGGUUUACUUGGGAAUAAAAGAUCACACACCAAAUGUUGUCCAGCCUUUUGAUUUGAUACAUAGUGAUGUGUGGGGUAUGACGCCCGUUACAUCUCAUGCUAAUUACAAGUACUUUGUCACUUUUAUUGAUGACUAUAGUUGCUUCACAUGGAUUUAUUUUCUACAUUCUAAAGAUGAAGGGUUCUCUGUUUUCAAGCUUUUUCAUGCGCAUAUUCAGACCCAAUUUUCAACUAAUAUCAAAAUUCUUCGCUCUGAUAAUGGGGGUGAGUAUAUGUCUCAUUUAUUUCAAGAAUUUUUGCACACCAAUGGUAUAAUUUCUCAAAGAUCUUGUCCUUCAACCCCCCAACAAAAUGGGGUGGCUGAAAGAAAGAACCGUCACCUUCUCGAUGUUGUUCGCACUCUUCUAUUAGAGUCAUUUGUACCCUCUCGUUUUUGGUGUGAAGCUCUCUCCAUUGCUGUCUAUCUCAUCAACAGAUUGCCCUCUCCUUCCUUGAACCAUGUCUCCGCUUUCUUUCGAUUAUUUGGCUAUACACCAAAUUACUCCCAUCUCCGUACCUUCGGUUGUGUGUGCUAUGUUCAUCUUCCUCCACAUGAACGCACAAAACUCACAACCCAAGCUGUGAAAUGUGCUUUUCUAGGAUAUUCUAUGCACCAAAAAGGUUUUCUUUGCUAUGAUCCAAAUUUGCGUCGUAUAAGGGUUUCUCGAAAUGUGAUUUUUUUUUUAAAUCAGUAUUUCUUUUUCGCACAUCAGGACGAUUUUUCCCCUUCAUUUUCUGUUUUGCCAAAGUUUACUAACCCUUCUGCAGAUUCUGUACCUUCUAAACCUCUCAUAGUCUAUCAGCGACGCAAGAAUUCAGUACCUCUCAGGCCCCCUCCAGCAACUUCCCUAAAUGCUGAUCCAGUUCCAGCAACUGCACCUGAACCUCUCAGACACAAUACUCGGGUUCAUAGACCACCGGAUAGGUAUGGUUUCACCUAUCCAUUAUCUUUGACAGCCACUUUGUCUUCUAUUCAUAUUCCUUCAUCAUAUAAACAGGCAAUGGAGCAUGAAUGUUGGCGAAAAGCUGUUGAAUCAGAACUUCUUGCACUUGAGGAAAACUAGACUUGGGAUAUUGUUUCAUGUCCUCCAUUUGUGAAACCCCUUAGUAGUAAAUUAGUGUUUUCUAUCAAGCUGCGUUCUAAUGGAUCCAUAGAUCGUUACAAGGCUCGGUUGGUGGUUCUUGGCAACAAGCAAGAAUAUGGCCUAGACUACGAUGAGACCUUCGCACCGGUAGCCAAAAUGACCACUGUUCGAACAAUAUUAGCUCUUGCUGCAUCACAAUCAUGGUCUUUACAUCAAAUGGAUGUAAAGAACGCUUUCCUACAUGGUGAUCUCAAGGAGGAAAUUUACAUGAAACUUCCCUACGUUAUGACUACUUCCUCACCUAAUGAUGUUUGCAAACUAAAAUGUUCUUUGUAUGGGUUGAAGCAGGCACCGCGAGUAUGGUUUGAGAAGUUUCGAUCAACUCUUUUCGGUUUUUCAUUCACUCAAAGUUAGUAUGACUCCUCCUUUUUUUUUCCAACAGACAUCUAAGGGCAUCGUUGUUCUCCUUGUUUAUGUGGACGACAUCGUUAUCACUGGUUCUGAUAUGGAGGCAAUUUCUAAACUUCAGAAUUUGUUGCACUCAACUUUUCACAUGAAAGACCUCGGUCAACUCACCUAUUUUUUGGGGUUAGAGGUGCAUCAUCGGACUCAAGGUAUCUUCUUGAAUCAGCACAAGUAUAUUCAGGGUUUAAUUCAAUUAGCUGGACUUAUGGACACAAAUUCUGUUGACACCCCAACGGAACUUAAUGUGAAAUAUCGACGAGACGAAGGGGAACUACUUCAAGAUCCUACUUUAUAUCGGAAGCUGGUUGGUAGUCUUAUCUAUCUAACUAUCACCGCCCAGACAUCUCUUAUGCUGUCCACACCGUCAGCAAGUUCAUGCAAGCCCCUCGACAUCUCCACCUAUCCGCAGUCCGCCGCAUCAUUAGAUAUAUUCUUGGCACUCCUAGCAGCGGUUUAUUCUUCCCUACUGGUUCUUCACCCCAACUACAAGCCUACAGUGAAGCAGAUUGGGCUGGCUGCCCGGACACGAGAAAAUCUACUAUGGGAUGGUGCAUGUUUCUUGGUGAUGCCCUUAUCUCUUGGAAAUGCAAAAAGCAAGACUCAAUCUCCAAAUCAUCCACUGAGGCAGAAUAUCGGGCCAUGUCUGCAGCCUGCUCCGAGAUCAUUUGGUUGCGUGGUCUCUUAACAGAGCUUGGUUUCUCAUAACAUCAACCUACUCCCCUACAUGCUGACAACACUAGCGCCAUCCAAAUUGCAGCCAACCCUGUCUACCACGAGCGCACGAAACACAUAGAGGUUGACUGCCACUCUAUUCGAGAGGCCUAUGACCGCCAAGUUAUCACCCUCCCGCAUAUCUCCACUACUCUACAUAUUGCGGAUAUCUUCACCAAAUCCAUGACACGUCAGCGACAUAACUUUCUUGUUAGCAAAUUGAUGCUUGUAGAUUUACCAGCAUCAAUUUGAGGGGGGAUGUCAAAGGAAUUAGCAGAUUCUAUGCCUGUACAGCUGUAACAAUUAUCUUUAUGAUUGUAAAUCUUUUAUGUUUUCCUUAUUUAGGAUAUACUAGCUGUAGGCUAAUUUAGAUAGUUCUGUAUAUGGUAGUUUAGCUAUGUUUAGGGCUAAACAUAAGCUUGUAUUCAUAGUAUAUAAUGGGAAUUCUCCUCCAAGAGAAAAACAACUUUUGCUCAAAAUUCUCUUAGUUUAUCAUGGGGAUCUUUCAGUUUUCUAUUAUCGCCUUCAACACAUUGAAUUGGCUCUUAAGUAAGUAGAUCUACUUGAUUUACCGGAGCAACUUUGUGAUUUUCAUUCUCUAACUGAUUAAGGUUUAUUUAUUCAUAUGUGACCUUUGUAUACCUUUGUAUUGAGUCUGCUUCGAACUAAUGCAGUUUUUAUCUACCUACUUUAGCUUUUAUUUGUCUUUUAUUGGCUCUAGCUCCUGAUCAUACCACACUAUUGGCAGAUAUGUAAAUCAUGCCUUAUUCCUUUUGCAUUUUACUUGUGGACUUUCACAUCCAAAAACAGCUGCAACAUACAUAAAUGUGGCUAUAAUGGAAGAGGGCAUGGGAAAUGUUCAUCUUUCUCUUAGAUAUUUGUAUGAGGCCCUUAAAUGCAACCAAAGACUAUUAGGAGAUGACCAUAUACAGGUUUUUCUCUCUCUAUUUACGCAUGUAUACACACUCUUUAGACUUAUAAAUCUUUCUGUAAACUCAGCAUUUUUUUGAUUUCUUCACGUGACAGACAGCUGCAAGUUAUCAUGCCAUAGCCAUAGCUCUUUCUUUGAUGGAGGCAUAUUCACUAAGUGUGCAACAUGAGCAAACUACACUGAAGAUUCUCCAAGCAAAGCUUGGACUAGAAGAUCUGCGUACUCAGGUGACUACAUGUAGUCAUAUUUUAAUUGGUUCUGUUGUGCAAUUUGGCUAGUUGGCUUUUCUCUUGUCAAUCUUUUACAGGUGAUAUUAUGAUAUAAAACAAAUUGUAUCGGCGGCCUAUUUUGGUGUCAAAUAUGGAUAUGACCCAUUCAUUAAUCGUAUCGAAAUAUCAAAAUACAGAUAUGACCUGUUUAUUAAUAGUGUUGACUUGUUUAGUAUUGAAUACAAACAAAUUAAAAAUUAAUUUAAAAAUAACAAAUGUGUCAAAAAAAUAAGUUAUAAAUAAGUUAAAAUGACAUAAGUAUGACAUGAAUAAGUUUAUAACAUAAUAUGAGUAUGACAUGAGUCGUUAAUUUAGUGUUUAGUAUAUAUUUUAGUUUUUUUUUCCAAUAAUAUUAACACAUAAUAAUUGAUAUUUGUGUUAUAAAUGUAUAAUCAUGUUGAGAUGGACCAAAACAUAUAUGACAUGGUUAUUUAUCAUGUCGUGUCAAUUCAUUUAUUGAUCGUGUCAAUAUUUGUCAACAAAAAUAGGGGUCAUAUGUCAUAUUAUGUUGUGUAAUCGUGUCAUAAUCCCUUUUGCCACCUCUAAUCUUAACUGUCAUGAGAGAAUUUCUCAAGUUCCAUAUUAUUGAUGGGAAGAGAUUUUUUUUAUUUUGUUGUUUUUUUUUUCGUUUUACAGGAUGCUGCUGCAUGGCUGGAGUAUUUUGAAUCAAAAGCUCUAGAGCAGCAAGAAGCGGCACGGAAUGGAACUCCAAAGCCAGAUGCGUCCAUUGUGAGUAAAGGUCACCUUAGGUAUUAAUAGGGUAUUCCCACAUUACUUGUUUCUAAAUUGUUGAUUAUUUCUUGUGGCACCAAGAUCUAUAAUGAUCGCUUUUUGCAGUGUAUCAGAUCUCCUGGAUUACAUAAGUCCUGGUCAAGAUUCUAAAAGAAGCGAAGCACAUAGGAAACAACGACGUGCAAAGAUAGUACAUAUUUAGUGCAUGUUUGGUAUGAUUUAUCUAAUGAUCAUAAAUUUUUAUUUAAUCCUAUAAGCUCUUAUCAAAAAUUUUUUUGUUGUUUAAUUUUUUUUUAGUAGAGCUCUUGAAAAUGAAAUAAGCUAUUUUGCCUCUACUACCAAAACCUCAAAUUUUGUGCUUUUGAGAGUAGAGGUUAAAAAGUUUUUUUUUAAUAUUAAAAUAUCUAAAAUAUUCUCUACUUAUUUGACAAUCUUAUUUUAUUCUUUUCAAAACAUAACUUUAAAAAUUUGCUUAUUAAAGUAAUUUUAUAAUUUUUAAUAAAAGCCCUUAUUGACAACCAAACAACACAAAUUUUUUGAGUAAAAACUUUACUUAUAAAAUCUUUACUAGCAAAACUCUACUCAAAUAAGAUCUAUUUGAAAAGCUAUGUGAAAUGAAGCAUUAAGCAUGCUGCUGUUCUCUGUUCCUUUUUCCUUGUGAUGUCAUCUGAAUGGAUUCUUAAACUAAUUGUAGUUAGGAUUUGGUAUUUUAGGGUACACUCUGCUGGCUGCAUAUAGUUUUGGAUUUGCUGAUUACACGAGUAAACUUGUUGUCCAUGCAAAUGCAACUAACUAUUGCAGGAUAAUAGUUCUACUUUUCUGAGUGAACUCUGAAGGCACCAAUUAUAAACAUCCAUUUCUGGCAUAGAAUCACACUUAUCUAACAUGCUUAUACAGAUCGCAGACAUGAUUGAAACUUUAGAAGGUUCUGAUCUAUUGAUGGCCAUAGAUUGGGCCAGCUGAUAGUUAGUAGCCAAUGAUGAAGGGUUGCUUGGUCAAGCAGCUAGUUCUUUGGAAAUUCAGAGAUGAUGAGCAGAACGAGUGAUGUUUUUGUUUUCCCCCGUAAUCUUGAACAGAGUGGGAAGAAACCGUUAAUUUGAAGUGCAAUGGAUGGAUAUGACAGAUCUAUCAUUUUGGCUAGUAGAUGGAGUUCUUCCAUUCUACUCUUAUUUAAUGGUUGUUAUUAUUGAUUCUAGAAAAACAUUUUUCGAUUUGGCAGUUGGAGUUUUUCCCUUUUUUUUCCCCCAUCUUGUAGGCCUUAGAGAACCAAAUAAUACUCCACAUUAGAUAGACAGGAUUAUUGUGUGCUAAUUUGAAGUAUUACAUGGUUGACAAUUUAAGACACUAAUAAAGUAUUUCGCUUUGAUUAUUUUUUUUGAGAAUUCCAUGAUUCAAAAGGCCGAAGAAUUUCGUUAGUUUAACAUAAUAUAUAUUAGCAUAAUUUCUCACUGAGUGUUUUUUUCAACAUUUCAGGCAUGUGCAUAUCAAAUUCCCAUUUAUGUUCCACUGAAUUCUGCCUCAUGUUAUGAUUGUAACUUAAAAUGAAAUAUUUCUAUGUGCUCAAUUUUUGACAUUUUAUAUGCAUACAAGUUAAAAAGCUUUUGUUUAUUUUUGUUUAUUUAUUUAUUUUAGGUAAUGCAGAUUAGGGAAAAGAUUCAUGGAGCACAUCAUGAUAUGAUGGUGGAAGAUGCACUGCCCCAUGAUGGAUUGAAAAAAAGUAUGACUAUAGUGGAAAGCAAGACCGAGGAAGUAAUGGAAGACAGUGUUCAACCUGAAGAGCCAGAAGAGAAUGAUAAUAUUACUAGAUAUGGACCGGCAAUUUCAGGUGAGUUUGUCUAUGAAACAAAUUCAGAUGAGGGGUGGCAAGAAGCCAAUCCAAAAGGUAGGUCAGGAAAUGCUGCUGUUCGGAAGCUCAGCCGGAGGCGACCUUUUCUUACAAAGCUAAAUGUCAAUGGUUGUGAACAUUCAAAUCUUAGAGAAAAGGGCAAUAGACGGGAAAUUUUAUCUCCAGCACGGGAAAAAGCUUCAAGGACCACCACCACUGAGUUAACAGGCAUGAAGGAUUCAAUUAAACUGCAGGCAAAAGCUUCCGUCUCCAAAGUUUAUGCAAGUCUACCAAACCUUACUGCCAUGACUUCCAAGUCGCUGUCUUACAAAGAAGUAGCUGUGGCACCACCAGGUACGGUUCUAAGGCCAUUACCAGAGAAACCUGAUGAAGAAAUUGAAUAAAAAACUGAAACACAGAUGUGCGGUAAUGCUCCUGAGACAUCAAAGGCGGAGUUGAAUAACCAUUUCUCUCCAGUUGAAGAUGUGCCAGUUGAUGGUCGUUCUCAAGAAACUCAUGGAAGUGCAACUCAAUCUGAAACUACUGCUGCAGAUACCGAGGAAGUUCCUUCUUCUUCUAAUGAGGAAAAGCCCAUGGAAACAAAUGGGAGUAAGCUUUCUGCUGCAGCUGAACCAUUCAACUCCAUGACUCAUCUGCUGAACUCUGUAGCAGCCACGAGUAUUUAUGAUGCGCGAACUAGUCAAGGUAUGCUUGCUGAACCUGCUGUACCUUCGGCUGCUGCUAGAGUUCCUUGUAGGCCAAGGUCGCCUCUCUAUUAUAGAAAUAAUUAUUCUUACAUGAUGAAAUAUGGAUUUCCAAAAUACCACUCUUCCAUUAUGGAAAGAAACCUGUUGGGGCCUUCAAGAAUCAUGAACCCGCAUGCACCUGAGUUUGUGCCAGUGAGAGGUUGGCAAAUAAAUCCUGGAUAUGCAGAUUCAAAUGUUUCAAAUGAGUCGAACUCUUCAAUGACACAAGUGAGGCAGAAGAUGAUAAACUUGACAAAAUGUCCAGUAUCCAAGGCGAAGAUAAUACCUCAAGAAAGAGCAGUACAGAGGCCGAGAAGUCAGAGCUGGCAAGACAGAUACUACUUAGCUUCAUUGUAAAGUCAAAUUGAGAAUUUGAACAAACACAAACAUGGAUACAUAGCUGUUUGGAGAAAAGCCAACGGAUACAUAAUACAGCACGAUAAGUUAUACACGGCCGAACCGUAUGUGCUAGUAAGCACAAACAUAUUUGAAAAGCCAAUAAUAGCAUGUGUCAAUACAUCUAUCAACGAAAUAGAACCACAGUUUGCGCCAGUACGAGUUUAUCCAAAGUGCUGCAAAUAAACCCAAACUCACCGAUGCAUAGGAUGCUCCAAAACUCCAUCUUAAUGCCACCAUGUCAAUCACAGAAUCGCUUUCAUCUUCUCCUCCUCCUGUAGGUGUCGCUGGUGGUGUCAAAGCACUGCUGCAUUUCCUCUUUAUCAUUGAGCCACAAAGAGCCGAAUUACCUUUAUAACUGCAGUCAUCAAAGGUGGCAAACUGCUCUUUGUCUGGGAUUGGGCCGGACAAAUUGUUGUAUGACACAUUGAAGUUUGAUAAAAAGUUGAGCUCAGUUAGUUGAGGAGGAAUUUGGCUACUUAAUUUGUUGCGGGAAAGGUCAAGGCUCUCUAUCAUUUUUAGAUUGGAGAAGCUCUCUGGUAUAGCACCUGAUAGUAAAUUAUUGGACAGAUUAAGUGCACGAAUAUUUUGAAGUUGCCCAAUUUUCCAUGGAAUUUCUCCACUGAACUCAUUGCCUGACAAAUCUAGUCCAGCCAUGUAGUUGAGGUUGCUACCGAUGAAAAAUUCAUAUCUAUUCUUUGUCACAAAUUUUGCACCUACUUGUUGAUCUUGUCUAAAAUGUAGUUCAACUGGCAGUUGCAGCUCAAGAGAGGAAUUGUAGUAGGCAACAGGGGAAUCAACAUUAUUUGCAUAAAAAAAUUCUGACGAAUCAUCAUCAGUCGCUUCUCUCCAGAAUGGCACGUUACCCAAACAUGAAGGUAUCGGCCCAUUAAGUCUGUUACGUGAAAGAUCCAUGAUACUUAAUUUCCUUAAUUGGCACAAUUGAUUAGGAAUACGUCCUUGUAGAUAGUUCCCUCUCAAAAGAAGAACAUGCAAAUUCGAACGCUCAUUGAUCUGAUGAGGAAUCCUACCAAAAAGUUUAUUGUCCCUCAAAUCGAGGGUCAAUAAUGUAGAGCUUCUAAGCAAUGCAAUUGGAAUUAACCCCUUAAUUGCAUUGUUUUGCAGAUAAAUGUGCUUCACGAAUGAAAGAUUGGAGAGAGAUAUCAAACUAUUUUCGGAGAGGUCUAUAAACUCAAGACUUUUAAGAUUGUUGAGCUGGACCGGAAUAUUACCUUGCAAAUAGUUUUCUGACAUUAAAAGAACCGAAAGGACUGAGAAGUUCCCAAUCCAGUGGGGAAUAUCGCCGGAUAACAUGUUGUUGGAUACAUUUAAUACUCUUAGCAAAGUGGAGCUCAACAAACCAUCUGUCAUCUUCCCACUGAAAUGAUUGUUGUCCAAAUAUAACGAACCCAAAUCAGUCAAGUUCAUAUAAUUGGGAAAAAGUUGGCCAUAGAAAUUGUUAUUUGAUAGGUCCAACCAAUCUAAGGAGAGGCAACUAGAGACUAUAGGUCGAGGUAAUUUUCCCGUAAAAUUAUUUCUAGACAAAUCCAAAAUAGUUAGCUCUUUCAUCUCACCAACUGAAUAAGGAAUAUUACCUUCAAAAUUAUUUUUUGACAUAUCCAAAUAUAUCAAUUUCUGAAAGAUAAUACCCAAAUUCUCUGGUAGCUUACCAGAGAAAUUGUUACUGGAAAUAUCUAGAUGACGAAGCUUAUCGUAUUUGGCAUUGGGAAGUCGUGGAAGAAUUCCUGAGAAUGAGUUAUUCCACAGAAACAGAACUUCUAAUCCUGUGUUGUUUUGCAACAACCAAGUUGGAAAAUUGCCAACCAAUUGAUUGUGAGAGAGAUCAAGGAAUUUUAAGUUGGAUUGGUGUAAAAGAAAACUGGGAUUGACAUUUAAGCGGCAGUGAGGUAAUUGGAGAACCUUGAGAGGAUAUGUGGGGAGCCAGUUUUCGGUUUUCACUUGCAACAUAUCGUUUUGUGGCGAGAGUAGCAAGACCUCAAGCUUUGAAUGAUUAGCCAAUGAAUUUAUUGAGAAUGUUCCUUGGAAAUCGAUGAAAGAGAGAUCCAAAUAUUCAAGUGAUGUGAGGUUGGCUACUAUAGAAGGUAAGUUUCCACUUAACCGAUUGGAAGAAAUAUCAAGAACUUUGAGAUGAGUCAAGUUGAUAAGACAUUGAGGGAGCUGACCCUCAAAGUUAUUUGAGCUUAGAUCCAACUCAAAAAGAUUCUUCAAAUUACAUAUUCCUAAACCUGAAAAUAAAAAGCUCAAAUUUCAUAAAACGAAAACCAAUUAUAGCGCAUUCAAUCAUAAAACCAAUAUAAGACUUAUAAAACCGACAUGAAAUUAAAUUGUCUAAGUAUUUUGGUCAACAUAAAUAAUAAUAGAAUGAUAUGAAUUUAUUUCUCAUAUAAUAUGAUGUUGAUUGCAAAAGCGUUUCAAUUAAUCUAACAAAAAUAAUAAUAAAAAUAAAAAAGCGCUCAAUAAUUCUUGCUCAUCAUAAUCAAUUCAAAAAGCGUUCCAGCAAUUCUUGUUGUUUAAAAUUAUGAUUUUCUGCGGAAGAGUUUGUUGACCUCAUCUUUUUGUUGGAUAUUGAUUCUCUAAUCUCUAAAUUUGUUGGAUAAUGUAGAGAGAAACUCGUAAUAUUUUAGUUGCCUGGCAUUCAACAAGAAUUUUUUUUUAAAAAAAAAAUUGUUUAAUUUAACCAAAAAAACCUUGUUAAUUAGACUUAGAUUUAAUUUUUUUUUAUAUAUUUUUCUAUUUAAAAAAUUAAAAAUGAGUGAGUAGGGGUAGAAACAUCAUUUUGUAACUAGUUGUGGGGGCAAAAAUGUUAUUUUGUAACUAAUUGUAGGAGUAAGAAUGGCGUUUUUUAUAGUUAAUUGUAGGGUAGAAACGUCAUUUUGUAACUAAUUUAUUAUUCUUAUUAAAAUUAACAACAAAAGUUAACAGAAUAUUGCACGCUCAAAUAUUUUUAAAAAAUAUGUCAUCUUCUUAAAAUUUGUUAAAAUACGUGUCAUCCAAAGGUAAUUGACCAUUUAUAUUAUUAUUAUUAUUAUUAUUAUUCCCAAAAAAUCAAUUUCCCUCACAAUAAUCUUUUCUUUUCGUAUACAUUAUACUAUUUAUGUUUUUAUAUAUUUACUAAAUCAAAUAUGUAGAAUUUAUCAUUUUCUUUGAACAAAAAAAUAGCAAGGUCACCUAAUUUAUUCUUAAAAUUAAAAUAAUCAAUAUCCAUUGCUUAAUCUUAAGUUUUAUGGAAAUUAUUCCAAUAAUAAUUCUUUAAAAUAUUCUUACCAAACACAUUUUUCUUUUUCUCAUUUUUGAGAUUAUUUUUGAAAAUGAUACCGAACACAUUUAUAAAUUUUAAAAAUAAAUUUAAAAAUAGCAUUUUUAUUUUCAUUUUUUGGGGUGAAAACAACGAUUAGAAAACAAUAAUGGGUUCUUGUUUAUCAUCCUUCAACAUAAAAACACAGUGUAAAUUGUUUAAUUUGGGUUUCUAGAGAAUUUUUUAUAUUACUAUUACUCAAAUUUUAUGCUUCCAAGCUUUUGAAUUUAUCUAAUCCUGCAGGCUGCAUCAAGAAUUAAUGAACAUAUGAUAAAAAAAUAUUUUUUUAUUCAGAACUAUAAAUAUUGAAAUAAAAAUAAAUAUCAUGUGAANNNNNNNNNNNNNNNNNNNNNNNNNNNNNNNNNNNNNNNNNNNNNNNNNNNNNNNNNNNNNNNNNNNNNNNNNNNNNNNNNNNNNNNNNNNNNNNNNNNNNNNNNNNNNNNNNNNNNNNNNNNNNNNNNNNNNNNNNNNNNNNNNNNNNNNNNNNNNNNNNNNNNNNNNNNNNNNNNNNNNNNNNNNNNNNNNNNNNNNNNNNNNNNNNNNNNNNNNNNNNNNNNNNNNNNNNNNNNNNNNNNNNNNNNNNNNNNNNNNNNNNNNNNNNNNNNNNNNNNNNNNNNNNNNNNNNNNNNNNNNNNNNNNNNNNNNNNNNNNNNNNNNNNNNNNNNNNNNNNNNNNNNNNNNNNNNNNNNNNNNNNNNNNNNNNNNNNNNNNNNNNNNNNNNNNNNNNNNNNNNNNNNNNNNNNNNNNNNNNNNNNNNNNNNNNNNNNNNNNNNNNNNNNNNNNNNNNNNNNNNNNNNNNNNNNNNNNNNNNNNNNNNNNNNNNNNNNNNNNNNNNNNNNNNNNNNNNNNNNNNNNNNNNNNNNNNNNNNNNNNNNNNNNNNNNNNNNNNNNNNNNNNNNNNNNNNNNNNNNNNNNNNNNNNNNNNNNNNNNNNNNNNNNNNNNNNNNNNNNNNNNNNNNNNNNNNNNNNNNNNNNNNNNNNNNNNNNNNNNNNNNNNNNNNNNNNNNNNNNNNNNNNNNNNNNNNNNNNNNNNNNNNNNNNNNNNNNNNNNNNNNNNNNNNNNNNNNNNNNNNNNNNNNNNNNNNNNNNNNNNNNNNNNNNNNNNNNNNNNNNNNNNNNNNNNNNNNNNNNNNNNNNNNNNNNNNNNNNNNNNNNNNNNNNNNNNNNNNNNNNNNNNNNNNNNNNNNNNNNNNNNNNNNNNNNNNNNNNNNNNNNNNNNNNNNNNNNNNNNNNNNNNNNNNNNNNNNNNNNNNNNNNNNNNNNNNNNNNNNNNNNNNNNNNNNNNNNNNNNNNNNNUAAUAAAUAUACUUCAAAAUUAUUAUAGAAAGGCCCGGAUCCAGUGGGGUUGUUUUGUAAAUUAUCCCAAUAAGAUUGCCUAGCCUUGUUAAAAAGCCACUUGUUAGAUUGAGGUUCCCGCCUAGAAACAACGCUUCCAUGUGUCUCAAAUUUGCUAAUCCUGCUCAGAAAACAUUAAAUUUUGAUCAAGACAAUUUACGUAUAUAUUUUAAGAGAUUAACGAGCCUAACAUGCAUUUCUGCUGGCAUGAAAUGUAUAUACCUUGCUUGAUUCUGGAACCUUCAAUGCAAUUGUAAUAAAGAUUCAAAGUGGUAAGUGAAGUUAGCGUAUUCAAAUAUGGUAAUAUGCUGUCGUCGAAGAAAUUGUCACAAAGAUUUAAGAUCUUCAGCUGCUUCAAGCUCCCAUUGCUAUCGUAAGCUGCAAAUGCAUAUGAAGUAUUAAUAUUAUAAUAUGCACGAGAAAUAUAUACAUAUACAUGUACCUUUGUUCUCAUAGAGGCCUUUAAGCCAAUUAUCAGAUAAGUCGAGGCUCUGCAAUUCUUUGAAAGAAUGAAACAGUGACAUAUUCAGAAGGGAAACUCCAUAAGAAUAAGAGUUAUAAUCAGAGAAGUUGAACAUUCUUGUCCCAUUGAGUGAGAGUUGCAUCACCCGGCGUGUGGUGGCGUUGCACUUAACUCCCUCCCAAUCAUCACAACAAUCAGACGACAUUCCAUCAUCAACCCAUGAAGUAAGAAUAGAGCCUUCAUAUUCCCUAUCACUGAUUGAUAUAAAGAAGCUCUUGAGUUCCAACAGAGUAGUCCUCUCUGUUUGCAAGCAUGCUUUGUAUCCAUGCAUUUCAUUCAUCAAAACAAUAAUCCAAAUUAGUGAAAUUAACGAGAACUUAACGAAGGAAGUACUUUCCAUUGCAAAGCAACUUUUCAAUUGGUCAAUAUAAAAUUUGCAAGGAGGAAACUUCAAUAUUUAUACUAAACAUUUAUCAUCGUGGACCUUGCAAUUUGAUUGGGUGAAGAUUACCAACCACCACCUAACGAAAAUGAAACAUCUCAGAGAUAUCAAGUAAUAAAAAUACUUGAUUAUCUUAUUUUUGUUUUAGAGGGUUAUUAAAGACAAAACGUUGUCAAUACAUUAUAACAUCGCUAUCUUGAAGUCUUUGUCUUUAGUGAAGACUUGUAAGCUUGAAAUUACAUAUAUAUUGCAGCAUCGACCCAGGAGAAAAAGAACUUCACUAAUACUCCGUGAAAAAUAAAAUUAAAGUUCACUGACUCUUGAAUUAAGCCAACAAACAAGCGAGUGCAAACUAUAUUUUCUCCAACAGUUUGAUGGAGAUAGUCGUAACUAAUAAAAUAAAAGUUGUGUGAAAGAGUGUAAAUAAUUUAUCCGUAUAUUUGGGUUUACAUUGGAUUAUCAGUUAAUCUAUUAAAUAAUAUGUUUUGUAAAGAAUUUGAUUGGAUGUUUGAUAAGUUUAAUUUAGUAGUUUAAUUACUCAUAAAAGUGUGAUGUACUCUAAAAUGACAAAUACAUAAAUGUUAUUUGAAGCUUUUGUGACCCUUCAUGUUCAUGCAUUUGAAUCAAAGCCAUUAAAAUCAAAUAUAUUGAUAAACCUUAAUAAGGAAAUUAAGUUUUGAUUGCUCUCAAUCUGCAACUCGACUACUAUUACAAUCACUUGAAAUGACAAAAACAGAAAUUUCAUAUGAACUUGGGACAGAUGUACACGGGUUCAAUUUAGCUAAUUUCCCAUAUAUUUACAACUACGGGGAAAAUUAAAGCUGAUUGACUUUCAAAUUAAGCAACAAACAAGCGGCUGUCCUACUAUUUUUCCUCUACCAAUUGACGGAGACCGCCGAUGCUAUAAAACAAAAAUUGAUUAAGAAUUCAGAUAAGGAAAAUUAUCAACUGUCCGUCCUAAGUUUAUCAUUUAUUCAUUUUUCGCCUUAAGUUUACAAUUCGUAUUAGUCAUCUACUAAAAAGAUAGAAUUACACUUAUGAAAUGACAAUACAUAAACAAAUAUAAAUGGCAAUAGUGGUAAUUUUGUAUGAAUUUUUCUGUUCUUUUGGUGGUUGGUUGAUACAAAUUAAAAACAUAAGAAGAAAAAUAAAUAAAUUCAAACUUUUAGUAUUUCUGAUAGCAGGUUAAACCAAAGGAGGAGGGCUUUACAAUUUCCCUUUAAAUAAUUUAAGGGUGUGAUUGCGUUUCUAUUGAACUGUAUGCUUGGAUUUGCAUUGAAUUAUCAAAAAAUCUAUGCAAGCAUCGAAUUGUAAUGACUGACGAAGACUUAUAAGGCUUGGACCAAUGAAGAAAAAUGCUUCAUUAAUGCUCCGUGGAAAACAAGCCAGUUUGGAAGCAGUUGAUCGGAUAGUCAACAGUUGAUUGAGAUAGUCAACUAAUAAAAUAAGCGUCGUUUGGGUUUGAAAUAAUCAAAUAAUUUAUUGAGAAGAGUUGAAUUCCGUUAUUUUAUUGAGAAGAGAUCCAUCACUCCCUCGCAAUUAUCACAGCAAUCAGACGACAUUCCUUCAUCAUCGUCAAACCAUGAACUAAGAGCUUCGUCAUCGUAUCCAAUAUCACUGGCUGAUAUGAAGAAGCUUUUGAUUUCUAACAGAGCAGUCCUCUCAGUUUCCAAGCAAGCUUUGCAUCCAUGCAUUUCAUCCAAAACGACAACCCAAAGUAGUGAGGUUAAUGAGAACUUAAUGAAGGAAGUACUUCCAUUGCAAAACAGCUUUUUAUUUGGCUAAAGUUAAAUGUGAAUUAAAUAUCUUUGACUGGUGAUAUACAUAUAUUCAGAGAUUUGAAGUGCUCAAACCAAAAAAAAAAUAAAAAAAUAAAAAAAUUAUUAUAAAAAAAUUGAUGAAUAAUAUAGUUCCAGGAAGUGCUAAUGUUUGAGGGAAGUACAUCGAGGAGACCAGACGUGAUGAGCAGGUGGUUGGUGGCAGGGUUCUGCGAGCAGGUGUAUCCUGCAAGAGCCAAAUAGCAGGGGAAUAGGAGCAGGAGUAUUCUGCUUGUCCACGAAUAUGCCAUUCGGGAGGCCGAACUCCUGUCAGAGGCAUAAGGUCACUCCUGCUAGGCAUGGAGGCGAGGAGACGCAAUCAACGACAGUUGGCAGGACGUGCAUUCGUAUCCGAGAGUUAAGGCACGAGGGUCAUCUCCAUUCGCCGACAAUGGCGGUAAUGGGGCGUCCACACCCGAGAGUGGGGAGAAUGACGGGCGUGGACUGCGGAAGAUCUGGAUUCAGAGGAAGCCUAUAAAAAGGUAACCAACGAAGGUAAAAGGGUUAGAAUUUUGGCUAUUUGAACUAAGAAAAGAGAACUCUAAGAACGGAGAUUACAGAAAAGCCAUAAGAUCUGUGGCAAGCGUUCCCAGAACCUUCACAUCUGACUUGAGCGUCGGAGGGUUUACGCCGGGAAAACAACCGGCGUGCUCUGACUCGUUUCUGUGAACGCAGGGAUACUUGGAGAAGAAAGCAUACGAGGAGAGAUCCUGAUCGAGGUGAGGUUGAUCGAGCAGAUAUCCUGGUCGUAGGACGAGCAUAACCAGAAUCUCGCAUCAACAUUUUGGCGCCGUCUGUGGGGAGCUGAGCAAAAAACUUCUGUUGAUAGCAAGAAGAGGAGUGAAGCAAGUGAAAAGUAAUGGAGACAGGAGGAAGUAGUGCACAAGGGGGUGAUAUGAGGCUGAACGAUUCCGUGACGCUGAGGGAGAUAGCCAGCGAAGCCAGGGAAAAAGCCAUGUUCGACCGGAUGGGACGGAUGGAAAAACAGAUGGAGACCCUGACAACCAUCCUGCAUGAGUUGCGGAGUGAACGAAGGGUAACCCAGAAGGAAAUGGUGAGAGGUGGUGGAGUGGCACCAGGUCCCGAUGGUACAAGGAGAAGUCAAACCGCCGAGAGACUUGGUGGUGAGAGAGGUAACAUACCUUUGCGGGGAGAAUUCCAUAGAGACGAAGAGCAAUCCCCGGCAAGACAGAUUUUUUACGAGGACGAUGGGGUGGCGAAUGCAGAAGAAACAGAGUUGAGGCAACACUUGCAUGAUGUAGAGCAAGAGAGGGAUCAAGUUGCAGCACGUGACCCUGGUCGUGCAGUGCAGCUGGAGGAGGAAGUGCGCAGACUAGCGCAGAUAAUUGACGAUAUGCAAGGAAGGAGCAGAGCUCCUGGUUGGAGGAUAAUGCUGGACGGAGAAUCACCGCUCGCAGCAGAUAUCAUGAGGGCAGUUAUUCCGAGAGAUUUUCCUCUCCCGGACCUUAGAUAUUCGGGACGAACUGAUCCGCUGGUGCACAUAGAUCGCUUCAAUGACAUAACGGGGGUACAAGGAUUAUCUCAGCCCCAAAGGUGCAGGGUGUUCCCACUAUCCCUGGAGGGACGUGCACGCGAGUGGUACAAGAAACUUCCUCGGGGCAGCAUUAAAACCUUCGAGCAGAUGUGCCAGGAAUUCGCAGAGCAGUUUAGUGGGGCAAUGGCACCAGAAGAUGACAUGAUGGAGCUGAAAAGCAUGAAACAGGGGGAGCAAGAAACCUUUCGGGAAUUCAUCAAGAGGUUUCAUCGUGCUGUCCUCGACUUGGGAGCCUUCAACCACCCUCAGGCAUUAAGGGGAUUGAAAGAAGGAGUGAAGAUAGGAAGGCUGUGGUACAACUUGAGAAGCCCAGCUAUCCAGACGUAUGCGGCCGCAUACGAGCAGGCUAAGAGAGAUAUUGAGAUUGAAGAGGAGAAGGCAGCACGAAUUAAGAUAGACCAGUUAGAAGGGUUGGGGAGGAAAGAGAAGAAAGCAUUACCGGGGAAUGGGCCGAUCAGGAGGAGGAACCACCAGGCCUCGGAUAGUGGAGCAGGAGGCCGGGUAAUUGCUUACCAGCCUCAUCAGAGGCCACCACAGUAUCAGCGCAGCAGGGCGCAGCCUCCUCGCUCCCCAGCUAGGGAGCCUUGGAGAGGGCAUGGUUCAUCAUAUGGUGGUCAUCAACACUCCCACGGUGGCAGAGGGAGCAGACCAGAGGUACUGCCACCGCACCCAACUCAGAACGGAGCAAACAGAGAAAGAGCAGUGAACCUGAUUGACCAGAACCGGGACUAUGGGCGGUACACUUCAUUGAAGAUGUCCCUGGCCGAGGUGUACGAGGCCAUAAAGGAUCGAGGGUUGCUAUACCUCCCGGCUCCAAUAACUAAGCUACCCAGCAGGAGGGACAGGGGACGCUAUUGUAAGUUCCAUGGCACUCAUGGCCACACCACAGCAGAUUGUAGAGAUCUUAAGACCCAGGUUGAAGAUUUGGUGAGAAAUCGGUAUCUGGACGAGUUUAUAGAUGGGACCAUCCCAAUGGUAGCCUCAACAAGUGAAGGGGAGCAGAGUGACAGGAACUUGAGACGCGAGCAGCCCGCAGUGAGGGUUAUAGCGGGGGGUCCGACAUUGGCCGGAGACUCCAAUAGGUCAAGGAAGAAUUAUGCUAGAUACGCCAUGACCAGCAAAGAGGUAUUCUUCAACACCCCAGCAGCCAAACAUGCAAGAGUCAGGCAAGUGCCAAUCAUGUGGACAGAUGAGGAUGAAGAAGGGAUCCUAUACCCCCACGAGGAUGCUUUGGUCAUCAAGGCCACUGUCGCUAGCAAGAAGUUUGACAGGAUACUGGCUGACACAGGGAGUUCAGUUGAUGUGUUGUUUAAGUCAACCCUGGAGGAGAUGGGAAUAGCAGACCUGAAGUUGGAUUACACCAAUACCUCCUUGAAGGGGUUUGGAGGAGGAAGGCUGGUCCCUCUGGGCGUGGUCGAGCUGCCUAUCACGAUUGGGAGCUCCCCGACAGAAAGGACAAUGAUACUGGACUUUGUGGUAGUGGAUGAGGAAGGUCCUUACCAGGUAAUCCUAGGUCGGCCAUUUCUGAGGAUGAGCAAAGCGGUGCUGUCCAACCAUUAUCUGGCUCUGAAGUACCGGGUGAAUGGGGUAGUUGGAGUGGUACGAGGAGACCAGAGGAUCGCAAGAAGCUGCUACUCCUCGGCGGCAAGGGAAACAAUGCAGAUAACAUCCCUCGAUACCCGAGUGGAAAACAAGAAUGGCAGACAAGAACCUGUAGAGGAUCUGGAAAUAGUAAGCCUGGGACCAGAGAAUCCAGGAAAGACGAUCAGAAUCAGGUCGAGACUUAAGGGAGAGCAAAAGCGGGAGUUGGUGAAAUGCUUACAGACUCAUGCAGAUGUGUUUGCUUGGACACAUGAAGACAUGCCAGGGAUUGACCCGGAGGUGGCAUGUCAUAAGCUGGCAGUAAAGAAAGGUGCUCAGGUAGUAAGGCAAAAGAGGAGGUGCUUCAACCAGGAGAGGUAUGAGGUUAUAAAUGGCGAGGUGGAGAAGCUCUUGAGAGCAGGGUUCAUUCGGGAAGUCAAUUACCCUGAAUGGAUAUCGAAUGUGGUGUUGGUAAGGAAGGCAAAUGGCAAAUGGAGGAUGUGUGUGGAUUUCACGGACCUUAAUAAGGCGUGCCCAAAAGACAGUUUCCCUUUACCGAAGAUCGAUCAGCUAGUAGAUUCAACGGCUGGACAUGGUCUGCUUAGCUUCAUGGACGCGUUCUCGGGAUACAACCAGAUUCCCAUGUACGAGCAGGAUGAGGAGAGUACGGCUUUCAUCACUAACCAGGGUUUGUUCUGUUACAGGGUAAUGCCAUUUGGUCUAAAAAAUGCUGGGGCCACCUAUCAGAGGCUGGUGAACAAAGUCUUUAAGCCGUUGAUUGGGAAAACUAUGGAGGUGUAAGUGGAUGACAUGAUCACCAAGUCCAAAAUCCCGAAGGAACACGUCAGACACCUCGAGGAGACAUUCGAGCUUUUGAGGUAGUAUAAGAUGAAGCUCAACCCGGAGAAGUGUGCCUUUGGGGUCGAGUCAGGGAAAUUCCUUGGAUUCAUGGUGAGCCAUAGGGGGAUUGAAGCAAAUCCCGAGAAAAUCCAGGCAAUUGUGCAGAUGAGGUCUCCCCGUAACCUGAAGGAGAUGCAGAGCCUCACGGGUAGGUUGGCGGCGUUGAGCAGAUUCAUAUGCAGGGCUACAGAUAAGUGUCAGCCAUUUUUUCAAGUGAUAAGGAGGGGAAAGAAAACAGAAUGGACACCAGAAUGCGAGGAAGCCUUUCAGAACUUGAAGCAAUACUUGCAGCAAGCUCCACUGCUGUCCACACCGAGGGAUGGGGACAAGUUAUAUCUGUAUUUGGCGGUAUCGGAUCGGACCGCCAGUUCCGUUCUAGUGAGGGAGGAAGAAGGAGUUCAGUAUCCGAUAUAUUACACCAGCAAGGCCCUGCUCGAUGCUGAGACCAGAUACCCACCGUUGGAGAAAUGGGCACUUGCCCUUGUGGUUGCUGCUCGGAAGUUGAGGCCAUAUUUUCAAGCAUUCCUAGUCUCGGUAAUAACAAACCAGCCGUUGCGUCAAACUCUGCACAAGCCAGAUGCUUCAGGUCGGCUCGUCAAGUGGGCUAUAGAGCUGAGCGAGUUCGACAUAGACUACAAACCCCGAGCAGCGAUAAAGGCUCAGGCAAUGGCCGAUUUCGUAGCAGAAUUUACAGAGCCUGAAGUAUGUUUAGACCAACGAGAUGUAGUUGCAGACAGUGGCGAAGCUCAAGUAUGGCAAAUGUCUGUAGAUGGGUCAUCAGGGGAGCAGGGAUCAGGAGCAGGGAUUGUAUUGGAAGGCCCGGAGGGGGAGGAGAUCUCUUAUGCUGUAAAGUUAGAGUUCGCAGCAACGAAUAACCAGGCAGAGUAUGAAGCCUUGAUAGCAGGGUUGGAACUGGCUAAGGCCGUGAGAGCAGAUAGAGUGAAAAUCAGAACUGAUUCCCAGCUGGUUGCGAAUCAUGUCAGUGAAAGAUUCCAACCGAGAGAGGAAAAGAUGGAGCAGUACCUGAAGAUAGUCAGGCAGAUGAUGGGAAAAUUCGAAGCGGUGGAGGUGGUACAAAUCCCUAGGGAGCAGAAUAGUCGAGCAGAUAUUUUGGCCAGGAUGGCAGCGGUAGCAGAUCCAAAGAUGCCAAAGUCGGUCCCUCUGGAGGUGAAGUCCAUCCCAAGCAUCGAGCAGAAUUUGGAGGUGCUGCGAAUAGAACAAAAAUGCUCGUGGAUGGAGCCGAUAGUUUCAUACCUUAGAGAUGGGGUACUACCACCAGAUAAGCUGCGAGCUCGGAAGAUUAGAGCCCAGGCCUCGAGAUACACGAUGAUUGAUGGGAUACUGUAUCGGCGAGGAUAUACACUGCCGUUCCUUCGAUGUUUGGACGAGGACGACGCGGAUUAUGUACUGAGAGAAGUACAUGAAGGAAUUUGCGGGAACCAUUCUGGUGGGAGAUCCCUGGCCCAUAAGGUUUGAAGGUAGGGAUAUUUCUGGCCGACAAUGCACCAGGAUGCACAGGAGAAGACCAGGAGCUGUGUAAGCUGCCAGAGUUUUGCAAAUUUCCCCAGCCAACCACCAGAGAAGCUCACUUCUAUGGUCUCCCCUUGGCCAUUUGCUCAAUGGGGAAUUGAUCUGAUUGGUCCACUGCCAAAGGGACGAGGAGCAGCAACGCAUGCCAUAAUUGCUAUAGAUUACUUCACAAAGUGGAUAGAGGUCGAAGCCCUUAGCAGAAUCAUAGAGAAGAAAACGACAGACUUUGUGUGGAGAAACCUGGUCUGUCGAUACGGGAUCCCAUAUGCCCUAAUAACGGAUAAUGGCAGGCAGUUCGAUAAUCACAGCUUCAGGGAUUUCUGCCAAAACCUCGGGAUAGAGCUGAAGUAUUGCUCGCCUGCUCACCCGCAAUCGAAUGGACAAGUAGAAGCAGCCAACAAGACCAUCAAGAGGCUUUUGAAAACCAGGCUUGGAGCAAAAAAGGGUGCAUGGGUUGAUGAGCUGUCAGGUGUGCUAUGGGCAUACAGAACAACCCACAAAACAGCAACUGGGGAGACACCGUUCGCCUUGGCUUUUGGACAUGAAGCGGUCGUGCCAGCUGAGAUAGGAACGACCACACAUCGGACAGACCAUUUUAAUGAGCAGGAGAACGACGAGCAGAUAUGUUUGAAUCUUGACCUGCUAACGGAAAAGAGGGAGCAAGCAGCCGAGCGAUCAGUCAUAUACCAGCAGAGGGUUGCCCGGUAUUAUAACCAGAAGGUGAACAUACGACAGUUCAAGGUCGGAGAUUGGGUGUUAAGGAGAGUGAAUCAUAACACCAAAGACUCGACUCAAGGAGUGCUCGGUCCGAAUUGGGAAGGGCCAUAUAGAGUCAAGCAGCUAGUUGGUCCGGGAGCUUACAAGCUGGUUCGCAUGGAUGGCCACGAGGUGAAGCGCCAAUGGAACGCAGCACAUCUCAGGAAAUAUUUCUAGUAAGAGUCAUUAAUAUUUUCAAGUUCUUUCUGUUCGUAUUUGCCGUUAUUUAUUUUAUGACCAAGCAAUUUCAUGUAAGUUGAAUAUUCCAAUUAAUGGAACGUCGAGGAAUUUCAGUCACUUGCAACCGACAAAAUUUCUAAGGCAUGCAAAGGCUCUUCAAGUCUCAAAGCCUGUUUAUGGCGAGACAGAAGCCAAGCGUGCCAGGGUCUGCUCGACCACGCGAAGGCGAGCAGAAUCCCCAAGCAUCGAAAAAAUUUCUAAGGCAUGUAAAGGCUCGUCAAGUCUCAAAGCCUGUUUAUGGCGAGACAGAAGCCAAGCGUGCCAGGGUCUGCUCGACCACGCAAAGGCGAGCAGAAUCCCCAAGCAUCGAAAAAAAAAAAUUUUUUUUAAGGCACGCAAAGGCUCGUAAAGUCUCAAAGUCUGUUUACGGCGAGACAGAAGCCAAGUGUACCAGGGUCUGCUCGACCGCGCGAAGGCGAGCAGAAUCUCAAGCAUCGAAGAAUUUUCCAAGGUAUGUGGCAAAACCACAUGCCAAGACGAGCAGAUUCUCAAACGGAAAAUAAGUCAUGAUUACAACACAAGAAAGUAAUCAAAAACAUCUUUGUUAAUUGUUAGUAAUUAAUAGAAGAGAUAAUCGUCACAAAAAUUGUUCAUUACAGUACAAGAUAUAUAUUAAGAAGAUGGUGGAUCAGUAAGCCGAGCAUCAUCGGUUGGCUGGACCUCCUCAGGUGCAGGGGGGGUAUCACCAGUAGCAUCCAGGGGGGUGCUCGCCUCGCCAACGGCAGCAGGGACUGCACGAGGAGGAGAGUUCUCCUCCUCAAUCACGAUCGGCUCUACCCCUUCAGCAUCUUCCUUGGCCGCUUCCUCAUCCAUAUGUUGAGCAACACCAGCUGCAAGGUCAUCCAUCUUCAGAUCAGGGUGUUGCUUCCCGAGGACGGCCAUGAUGCAACGAUAAGAAUGCCGAAGUCCCUGGUCGUACUGAUUGUCGGCCUCCUUCUCCAAGUUCUCGACCUGAGCUCGGUGGGAGUCGCGGAGAGAUUCGAGCUGGGCCUCAUACGUAGCCUUCUGCCUUUCCAGAUCCUCCUUGACCUUCGUAAGCUCCUCCUCGAGGGUAAUGGCCUUUGCUUGAGCAAGUGAUUCUUGCUCUAUCAGCUUCAGAUUCUCGAGAUUCAACUCCCUUGCUUUCUUCUCGGCCACGUCAGCUCUGGUCGUCGCCGAUUGAAUAUCUUCCUUCAUCUUCCGGUCGUAGCGGCUAACCUUAGCCUUGAAAUAGGUAGUCAUGCAACUGAGGUGGAAAGCGCUAUACUGCAUGGCCCCCACCAGCUCACCCAAGGUGCAGCCGUCAAAGUCCUCCAGGUCCUUUUUGCUCACGAGUUUAGAUAACUCAUUGAGGUAGGGGACCAAGUGUUCUGCUCGGCUGUCAGGUAAACGAGAUCGAGGCCCGACAGGAGGAGAAGAGGAAGCAGGAUCCGUGGCUGCUCCACUAGUCUCCCCAAUUUGGGCAGGAGCAGGAGGUAAAGUCUUCAAGGGAGAGACUUGCUGCACGAUGUUGGCCCGCUUUGCAGAAGGGGCGUCCUUGUUCUGGUCCUUCUUCGUGGUUUGAGGUCGAGAACGUUUCCUGUUCAGAGCCCCAAUCACAGCGUCCUCCAUCUUAUGGCCAGGUAGUAUCAAGCGAGACUCGAGCAAGUUGUAAGUAGUUAACAGCUCUCGGCUCGGGCAGGAAUUGACUAGCACAGCCUCAACCUGUUUGAGCUGACCAGGUUGGAGCGGGAAAUGAACACCCCAGGAAACUACAACACAAACGAGCAGAUUGGAAAUGGACACUUGGUUAGAGACAAGCCAAUAAAGCAAGAACAAUUAUGGAUACAAGACAUCUAAAGCGAGCAGGCAACCUGGGACCGUGAAACGGGGGGGGACCCGAUAAUCCUUCCCGUCCAUUUGUGCAACCUGACCCCAAGGACCCCCAGCAAAAAAGAACUUUCUCUUCCAAUUCCCUCCACCACCAGUAGGGAGGUCGGUUAUAGGUUUCCUAGUCUUGGUACUAGAUUAGAAAUAGUACCAGCCGGCAUCUUUGGGGCUGCUCUUUAGCUGGUACAGAUGCUUCACCUCAUCAAUUGUGGGCUCGCUUUGGCAACAUCUGUCCCACAAUAUGAACAGACCAGAGAGUACUCUCCAUCCGUUUGGGUUCAACUGACCAGGAGAUAGAUUCAGCCCGUUAAGUAUUCGGGCAAAGUAAGGUUGCAAGGGACACCUCAGCCCAUACUUAAAGCUAUCCAGAUACAGGGUAACGUAUCCCCUAGGAGGCCGGCUAGGAGCAUCCUUCUUUCCUGGGAUCUUAAGAGGUAUUUCACUAGGAAUACUAUACCUAAGCCGGAGGUCAUCGAGCUCAUCAAACGUGGUCGUGCACGUCAUAUAAUCAAUAGCGUAAUCCCGCGAUAGGGCUCUACCUCCUAUUGUACUCCUCUCUUCUGGUCGCGACGCUCCUGAUGGGGACACCUCACCAGAAUCAUCUCCUCGACCCUCACUCAAGGUGUUCUCCGACCUAGAAGAUCCCUCUUCAUCGCUAUUUCCGCUCGAGGAGGUUGUUUGGGGAGACAUCCUCCUAGCGCUAGGACCAACACUGGAUCUAAUGGGCUCUAAGGGGAUCCCGGGGUCAAAAGCAGGGUCGGUGAGCAAACUAGGCAGGAAGUCCAACUCAUCGUCGUCAACCUCAAUGACCUUCUCUUUACCUUUCGACAUUCCCUAAGCGCUAACCACAACACCACCACCAACUACUACCCGAACAAAAGAGAAGAGAAAUUAUCUACAACUAUCCGAAACCAAGGAGAUAGAAGAAGUACCUGAAGUAAUGUUUCAGUCGGUGAAAGACAGAGAUGGAGGCCUUUAUGCCGGAACUUCUUUGCCGGAGAGACAGAGACGGAGACGGAGUGGAUGAUGAGUUUUCUGUACGAAAGGAUUUGGGUUUCAUAAAAGGGAUGGACUUUUAGGUUGCCAGCAUUUAACAGUACCAAAUCCCAAGGGCCUCGUAACCGUUGGUUUAAAAUUCAAAUAAAGGGGCAGAUUUCUGCCACAUCACCUCGUCCGCAAUUAAAUGUGACAUGACUCCUGGCAGCCUUUUCCAGCCCCACGCGAACGAGAACCGUUGAGUUUCUACUGUUGGUCCAUUACAUUACCCAACACCUGAAACUGGGGGACCUGUGUUUGAGGGAAGUACAUCGAGGAGACCAGACGUGAUGAGCAGGUGGUUGGUGGCAGGGUUCUGCGAGCAGGUGUAUCCUGCAAGAGCCAAGUAGCAGGGGAAUAGGAGCAGGAGUAUUCUGCUUGUCCACGAAUAUGCCAUUCGGGAGGCCGAACUCCUGUCAGAGGCAUAAGGUCACUCCUGCUAGGCAUGGAGGCGAGGAGACGCAAUCAACGACAGUUGGCAGGACGUGCAUUCGUAUCCGAGAGUUAAGGCACGAGGGUCAUCUCCAUUCGCCGACAAUGGCGGUAAUGGGGCGUCCACACCCGAGAGUGGGGAGAAUGACGGGCGUGGACUGCGGAAGAUCUGGAUUCAGAGGAAGCCUAUAAAAAGGUAACCAACGAAGGUAAAAGGGUUAGAAUUUUGGCUAUUUGAACUAAGAAAAGAGAACUCUAAGAACGGAGAUUACAGAAAAGCCAUAAGAUCUGUGGCAAGCGUUCCCAGAACCUUCACAUCUGACUUGAGGGUCGGAGGGUUUACGCCGGGAAAACAACCGGCGUGCUCUGACUCGUUUCUGUGAACGCAGGGAUACUUGGAGAAGAAAGCAUACGAGGAGAGAUCCUGAUCGAGGUGAGGUUGAUCGAGCAGAUAUCCUGGUCGUAGGACGAGCAUAACCAGAAUCUCGCAUCAACAGCUAAUAUGGCUCUUUGAACUCUCUUUACAGUAUUGGUAGAAAUUUAUCCGAUGUGUACAAGGGCUUGUAUAUUUUGCAAUAAAAUAUACAAGCCAAUAUGAAUUUCUUUCUUUCUUUCUCUCUCUUUUUUUUUUUAAGAAACAUGAAUUGGUUCGUCCAUCAAUUAAUAAUAAAACCAUAAUGUACACCGGUAUGAGUUUAUCUAAAAUCACCGGCUACACCAAUAUCAUUGUGACAUAGGAAGCGAUGAGGAAAUUUACGAGAUAUUUAUUAAACCAUAGUCUACGCCAGUAAGAUGGAAUUAGCAUUCAAUGAUCAUAGACUUUCUGCAAUUUCAUUGACUUGUGAUCAGGGAGUCCUUAUUCUACGAUGAUUAUAAUCAAACACGCACACUGCAAGGCAACCUUCAAUUGACGUAUUCUGUCAACUAACUGGGGACAAGGGUCAUAAAAGGGUACGGGAGAGAAAGCAUGAGUCUAUGCACAGUUCCGGUUUUGCUAGUUGAUGGAACAUGGAGGAUGUGUGUUAAUGUUAACCAAUAGUCAAGUUUAUUGAAAAAAGUAAGUGAGAGAAUAUUACAUGUUGAUACAUGUUAUCUGAUUGUGACUUUAGUACCGUCCAAAGAAAUUGAAAUGUGAAAUAAUUGAAGAUGCAAAAUGGUUGAUUUCACGGGCCUGGCCUUUGGCAAAGUGAAAUGUUAGCCACACACUUUACCAGUCAAGUGUCAACAUUUGUAGCAUAAGGAAAUUGCGGCAUCUUAGCUGGAUUUUGAGGGUCGCUAUAGUGGGCUCACAAAUAUUUAACAUAAUUUUGAUAAUUACUUAAACCUCGUUUCCUUGAUAAUUAAAGAAAAAGAGAAGUGAAUGAAGUAAAAGAUAUUGAUGACCGUAAUUAUGCAAAUAAAUACAAGACUUUACAGUAGAUUAGACCACCAAUUGUGCUUUUUCGUCUAAUAAUAAUGCAUCUGCUUUAACAAGAUACGAGUGAACUCAGGCUUAUCUUUCUUUCGCAAUGUAAAUUCUUGCCAAAAAAUACAUGUUAUCUACUGGUGAAUUAGUUUGAUAAAAUAAAGGCUUAAAGUUUAGUUGAGUAAAAUGUUGACGUAAAGAAAUUAGCUACUGGAAAAUCACCAAAUGCUUGUUAAGGUAAUAUACAAUUGCAAUUGAACAUCAAGUGAUGGAAACAUCAAAAACCCCAUAAAAAAUUAAACAAAACCAGUUGCAAUGCGAAUAAACAAGUUUUCAGUUGAGAUGGCAGAACUAAUUCCUUCACAAUCAAGUGUGAUUUCUCAAUUUGUUCUAUUUGCCCAAAAAGACAUGGUCAAGUAUUUGAAAGCAUUUUUAUUUAGUUGACUAUUCGAGUUUGAAUUUAGAAUAAGAGGUUAAAAAAUAAGUUUUGUCUUUACUCACCCCCUUUAGAAAAAAAAUUUUAAUUUUUUAUCAAGCUGCCUUAAAUGCAUCAUGUGCAAAUCACGUGACAUCCUGAGUUACCAUAUAAUUUGGCUUUAUAAGUGUUUUCUGUUUCUGAAAACGAAAAAUAAUAAAAUGGAAAUGCCUUUAGCUUUUGGCUAGACAUUUUCAGAUACGUUUUUCGUGAUUAUUUCAAACUUCCAACAUACCACAAAUUAUUUUUAGAGCCCGCAUGUUGGAUUGUCUCAUUUAAGUUUCGCUUGGAUUUUUAGCACAUCAUUCAAAUAAGUUGCUAUCGUAUAUCUAGCUAGUUUUGAACAAAGUCAGUGAGAAUAUUACAUCUGCUUUAGCAAGAAAUGAGUGAAUUAAAACAUUUGACCAGAUUCAAGAGAGAAAAGAAUGUUGAAAUAUUGACUUGAAUAUUAUGGUAAAAUGAGUUUGACUUUAGUACCGACCAAAGAAAUAACUGAAGAUGCAAAUUAAUUGGUUAGUUUGAGGUGCAUGGCUAUUGGCAAAGUGAAAUGUUAGCUUCACACUUCACUUGUGAACGUACAACAACAUUUGCUGCAUAACGAAAUUGCAGCGUCUCAGCCGGAUUAUGAGAGUUGUUUUCAAAUCCCAUUUCUUUUCUUUGUAACCUUUUUUUUUUUUCCGCAGCUCACGUGAUCACCAUAAUUUUGAUAACUACUCAAACGCGUUUCCGCAAUAACUAACGAAAGGAAAAGCGAAUGAAUAAGCAAGAGAUACUGAUGACAGUAAUCAUGUAAAUGAAUACAAGGCUUUACAAUAGAUUAGACCGCCAAUUUGUGCCUUUUGAAUGCAUCUGCUUCAACAAGAUACCAGUGAAUUGAGGCAUAUCUUUCUUUCACAUGUAAUCUGCUGGUGAAAUAAUUUUUAUAAAACAUAGGCUUAAAGUUAAAGCUGAUUAAAAUAUUGGCGUACGUCAAGAACGCUACAGGGAACAUUCAACCGUGAGCUGCAGUCUGCAGUCCCCAACAAUCCGGGAAAAGGUUGAGGAGGCGCGCGCCUGCACAUUAAUUUGGGAGGUCUGAUGGGAUUUAUAAAUUAAAAUAAUGUAAUUUUAUAUAUUUUUUAAAUGAAAAAUUUGUUGAUGCCGCUGUGCGAUCCAUUGGAUCCUCGCGUGCUGGCCCCACAGAAGUUUCUCCCUAACAAUCUCCAUAAAAGCUCUUUAUAAUCCAUUUUUGAUAAAAGUAUACAUAUAUUUAUUCAAAUAUUAGUAAAAAUAUCUAUAAUGCUGAUUUUUAAAUUAUACUUAAUAGACAUUUAGACCGAGCUGUAAAUCUAUGAAUUCAAACUUCGACAAAUAAACCACAAAUUAUUUUGAUCCCGUAUGUUGGAUUGUCUCCUUUAAGGCUAUGUUUACUAAAGCGGAAUGAGAAUCGAAAUAGAGAAAUCAGAAUGAAUAACUUGUUUACUUAUUAAAUUGAUGAUAGGAAUGGGAAUAAGGUGAGUAGGCUCCAAGGUCUUGAAGAGGAAAGACCUUCCUUAUGUUCAAAAUUAACCCAAUUUGCUUUCUAACUUCCUUAUGUUCAUUGAUUCUUUUGUUGUGCAGUAGUGCCCAGUGUUCUUGAUAUCACAAUCAUCACCCCAUAUGAAUGACAAGUUGUUCUCAAGGUAUACAUUUAUACUUAUUAUUAAUACUUUCCUGUUUUGCCCUCACCAGCUAUGAUUAGCAUAUUGUUUUUUAAAACAUUAUAAAUAUAAAUGAAUUAUUAAUUAAUUAUCCUUUUUUUAUGUUUGAUUGAAAUUUGCUCAAAGGGCAUCUCCACUGACAAGAUACUUGAGUAAUCAAAGUCCUUGUUUAAUAAUAAUUAGCAUAGAAUUACUACUAACAGUGGGCACGAGUUGCAUUGGUUCAGAAUCAAAUUGAACCGAUAAUUUUUACAUAAAAUGUAAAAUUCAACGACUAAGUUUUAUUUUUUUCAAUUUUAAACCGUAAAUUCCUUUCUAUUUUGUGGGUUUUUUUUUUUUAGUUUUUGAUUGUUUUUAUACAAGCCAUUUGAUUAUUUUAAUUUUUUAAAACUGAAUCUAACCGCCGAUCCGAUUCAAAAUUUUCAAGAGUAACGGUUUUGCUCCAUCCAAAUUACCACGUACUUACUUACCAUCUGCCUCAGCGACGUGCUUGAGCGCCUGUGUCCGACACUUUUGAUAAUUCAUCUGUACCUUCAUCACAAUCUUCUGCUGCAAUAUUAUAUAUAAUUAUUAAAUCAGUUAAUAAUUAGUGCAUACAUGCAUUGACAUUACAUUAACUACAGCGAUCAAACAAUUAAAGAAAUUAAGAAGACGUACCUUCAUUUUCUUAAUUAAUUUCCGAUCGAUCAAGUAAGGAGCAAUUUUAUAAUCUGGAAUGAUGUUUACAAUUUGGAAAUUUGAAAAAAAAAAAAAAAACACUAACAGCAGAACUACACAUAUCAAAGACCAAUUGAGGACCGAGAUUGAAUGAUAGAGUAGAGGUUGUUACUCUAUCAUAGUAUAAGCAUUUUGGUAAUCCUUAACAUACGUGUUUUGCAGUAAUAAAAAGAAUAAUAUGUUAUCUAUUGCCGGUAUUGAUUUUAUGAUUGCAAAUUUGUCAUUUCCUGACGUCGGUGGCCGAAGUCUCAGCAUACAUCACUCGAGACAGAAGCUGAUUAUGAAGGAAUUAAAUGCCCAAGAUCUUGCGAUAUUGCAUCUUGUUCCUCCAACCCUGUGAUCAUCAUUCAUCAUAUGGCCGUAUUCAAGAUCUCAUUACUUUAGUACGAAAUUAAUAUAUUUCUCCAUGAUAGCAACUUCUUAAUUGUUAGCUGGACAGCUUCGGUAUUGUUUGUGCCACUGAUAAUUAGCAAAUUAAUCAAUACAUUAACAGUAACGUGGGAGUGUUCAUUGGCUUAUGUUUUACAAGAAAAAAGUAAUUAGAGCCUCGUUACAUCACAUCACCGAAAGAUGAUUUACUUAGCUUUGACUAACAAAAUGGAUUAACAAUGAUUCAUCUUCAGCCCCGUGUUUGCUCUACAAAUCGAUGUACGUAGUGACAGAUCUACUGUACGAAUUCAUCAAUAAUAUAUGAUUUCUUUUUGAUACCGACGUAUACCCAUAAGUGGUGUACUCUUAUUUAGAUGAAAAAUUUACUAAAAUAAAUCUGGGUUAAUGUAAUUUGGGUGACACAUUUUUCGAUAAAAUAUAAAAGAAGUGAUAAUUUUUUUUAAAAAAAAGGUAAUGGGAUGACAAAUUAUUAGUUUUAAUGAAAUUGGUUGUCUUAUGAUGAAAAUACGUUUUUGUCCCUGUAACCUUCUUUUAAUAUUACGAUAAUGUUCUUAAUUGCUUAUUUAUUUACAUCCCAUAUGAAAAAAAAAAAGAGAACAAAAUUCAACUCAUACAAAAAUAAUAUUAUUAAAAUAAAUUUAACAAUGUAUACAUUUUAAAAUAAUUUCCAUAUGCAUAUAUGCUUGGUGAUGUUACAAACAAUUAGUAUGAAGAAAUUCAAUUUGCAGCCGAAGUACACAGUUGGUUUGGAAUAGCCUGUCGGGGCUUAGUUGAUUGUUUUUCAAGUAAUUUUUUUUUUCGGUUGACCAUAGAAUUUAAAUCUAGGAGAGAGAGAAGACAAAAGUAUCAAUUUAGAUUUUACCUACUCACUCAUUUUAAAGAAAUAUUUGGGGAAAAAGAAAAUAAUGCAGUUGCUUCCACUAGAAAAAUUAGUAAAAUAAAUGGUGAUACAGAAUGUGCCAAAAUAAAAACAGAUGCAACAUGAUGCAUAUAUUUACACAUAUAAGCAAAAAUGCUCAUCAAGGCUAUCAUAACAUGAAGCAAUUUUGCCAAUUGACAUAUAAAAUAAAAACAGAUGCAACAUGAUACAUAUAUUUACAAUUUUGAGGCGAACAAACAAUAUAUGUAUUACAAAAUAUAUAUACUGAAACCAUGUUUGCUCAGAAUGGUUGAAGGUAGGUGAAGCUCUCUCGUGUCAAAUUUUCUGAAUUAGAAAAUCUCGGGGUUUUUAAUUAAAUACCCUUUAAUAGUUUCAAAAUUAUUUAAAUACCCCCUUCUUUUUUUAUUUUCAUGGAUACCCUAACAAAUGUGAGCAAAGUCGGAAAUACCCUUAAUGAAUGCAUCAAAUUCACUCAAUGAAUUGUCUUCAUAUUUCUUUCCUCAUUUCUUUUACCCAAAUCUAUUUUUGCUGCCGAUUCUUUCAAAAUCUCUUAAAAUCUCUCAAAAUCUCUCAUAACUUCUUACACAAAUACAAUUAUGUAUUCAUUUCUUUAACACCCACUCUUUCUUUAAAGGUGCAUUGCUUAUUAAACAACCCAAUAAGGUAUGUUAAUGUUGUUGGGUUUUAAAUUUUUUAUUUUUAGGAAAAUUUAAAAAUUUUCCUCACAUUACAAUGUUUUAUUUUCACCAUUUUUUCUUAUACGUAGAAAUAUAUGCAAUGUAGGUUGUUUAAUUAUUUUUUUCAGCAAUAUAACUUAUUUAUGGUGAAAAUGUUUCGAGUCAUGCAUUCUUUUGAUACCGUGUACGUCAUAUAGUUAGUCAUGUAGGUCGUGUAAGUAAUAUAGUCGUGUAAGUCGUGUAGGUCAUGUAAGAAAUAUAGUCGUGUAGGUCAUGUAAGAAAUAUAGUCGUGUAGGUCAUGUAAGAAAUAUAGUCGUGUAAGUAGUGUAAGUAAUAUAGUCGUGUAGGUCAUGUAGGUCAUGUAGUUACUUGUAUAUGAAAUUUAAUAUUAUUGUUUUUAUUGUAUCAUCAGAUAUGAUUUUGGUACGUGUGCCUAUUCUCUUCAAUGGUGAAUGGAUUGAGCAAAAUAACGAGUAUAAGUUCAAAGGUUCAAAGGCUAAAGGGAUAAUGAUACCACGAUCGACAACAUAUGCCGAAUUGGUGGAGAAGAUAGCUGAAGUUAUUGAUAUAGAUACUUCGGAAUUUGAAAUCACAAUGAAGUUCAAACUUAAGACAUCUGAUCCUAUGCCACCAGUUACAAUUCAAACCAAUGAUGAUGUGGAAUUUUUUUAUAUUCCAAUUUAAUUUCACUUCUUUUUUUUAAUAAUUUUCGUUGACAUUUUCUACAUAGCAGCAAAUAUAAAUUCUUAGCACAAAUUAAGUCUUUAAAGAACUAAAUUAAUCUAAUGAUUAAUGGAAAAAUUCGUGUAAUUUUAAAGUCGCAAUUAAACAUAUUACAGCCAUUUAAAAAGUUUUUUUUUUUUUUUAUCUUCAAAGUGCUUUCUUCCUUUGGCUAAGCAUACAAGCAUACAUGAGGAAUGCCUGCAUAUAAUUAAUCCAUGAAAUCAAUUAAGAAAAAAAAAAUAUCAACUAUAGGAAAUUAAUGUAAUGUUAUACACAUAAGAACACCAUUCGCAGUGAUAAAAUAUUUCCACUCAUAACUAGACAUAUCAUGACUUACCAUGGCUUAUAAUUGGAAAUUAAGAAUCUCUCUAACUAAUGACAUUUCACAAGGUAAAGGUAUAUGCACCAUUCCAAUUUAUUGUGAGCCUUAUUAAACUAAAUGUAAUGUGUAGAUUCUAUUGACAAGAAACAAAAUGUGGAAUUGAAGGUCGUGUAAUUGUGUAAUACAAGAAGAUCGUGUAAUUGUAUAAUACAUGAAGGUCGUAUAAAUGUGUAAUACAUGAAGGUCGUGUAAUCGUGCAAUACAUGAAUGUCGUGUAAUCGUGCAAUACAUGAAGGUCGUGUAAUACAUAACCUUACACGACCAAAUCUUGUGUUACAUAACAAAAUUAUAAUCAGCACAAUUCAUUAAUUUUUCACAAUUUGCAUGCAGCAAAACAACUAGAAAUUUGUUUUCGAACAUGUUAUGAGAGACCUACAACUAAUUAAUCUAUUUUUUCAAUAUAAAACCCUAACUUUUUAUUUUUUUCCCUUGAAUAUUAACUAGAAAACUAAUUACAUGGAAUUACUUGUCUCAACUAGUUAUAUUCUGACAAUUUUGUAGUAAAUGAUCAACUCUCUCCGGCGAUUAUGUAGUGACGAACUAUGCUUCACUUUCUCAGUUGUGGCAGCUUCCCCUUCUCAGGCUUAGUUUGCUCGUGUUGAAGUUCGAUUUACCAUGUAUGGAGAAUGAAUGUUUGUUUCAGUAGAGGUGAUGCCAGUGAGGGAAUUGCAGAGGUGAUGCCGGUGAGGGAAUUGCAGUGUUUGUUUGUUUGAGUUUGAUAAUGGAGGGAAUUGCAACAGAUGAGUGUUUGUUUGCUUCACUAGAGAAGGGAGAGGUGCUGUCCGUUGAGUUGAAAUGUUUUAAAAUGAGGAUAGCUUAGUAAUUUUCUAUCAGUUUUUAAAGGAUAUCGAUAAAAAUUUUGGCAAAAACAGAUUUUAGGGUAUUGAGAUAAUUUUUGAAGUAUGGAGGUGUACCGGGCGCAAUUGGCACGAAAAUCUCAUGCAUGUGGAUGUGGGUCUCAUUUUAUUUGUUAUUUUUAAAUAUUAACAUUUAGAUCUUUUUAGUUGUGCAUUCAUUGCCAUACUAUUUUAGUAAACUAUAUUCAUUUUAUUGUAUUUUUUUAAGAAUUUUUUAAUUCGAAAUAAUUUUUUUAAUAUUGUUGAAAAAGACAGGUUAAAGUAAAAAAAUUAUUGACUAAAUAAAUAAAUAAAUGACAUUAUUUUAUUUUUUAACAUUAAAAAAAAACCAAUUUGUUGUAGUCCACUUAGGAUGUGUUUGAGAAUGAGGUGUUAUAUUUUAAGCUGCUAAAGUAAAAAUUAUAGCUGUGGAGUAAAAAUUAAAAAAAAAAUCUGUUAAACUACCAAAAUCCAACUACAAAUAUUACCAAACACCGUAAAACCCAAUUAACUCACCACAUUACCAAACGUACCAAACGGCCUUAGUCCUGCAACACUUGGAACGUUACCAAGCUUUUUAGAGCUGUACAUUUUGGACUCAGCUGUCCUUGUCAUUUCAAGUAAAAGUUGAAGCUGUCUCAAAAGUAAAAUAAUAACGUGCAUUUAAGUAACUGGCCUAAACUUCAGAAAUUUCAGAAGUUACAGUAUACGCAGGUCACAUCUAGGGCCAUUAUUAUUUAUUAGUUUAAUCAUUAAAUGACAAAAUUUUGCCAAUCUUGAGGGGGCUACUUAAAAAUGCAAGCAUCUCGUCCCUUGCCUGCUUCAUAGAUGCUCUUACUCACCCCCCCCCCCCCGUCAUCUCACUUGUGCAAACCAAAGAAAAAAGAAAGAUUAUUAUUUUCCAUUUAUUACACAAAAAACAAUAAUUCCUUUUUAUUGCUCCAUGUUUAUUAUUUUAUUCUAUUUCUCCAGAAUCUCUCUUUAUCAAUUAAAUUUAUGAUAUAGAUAUUGAAGAUUUGCUUCAAUCAGAAAACUUGUUCAUAUUUCUGGUCAAUAUAAUACAUCCCUUAAAAGGUAAAAAUAGGGAAAAAAAAAAACAAGAAUGAUGAUUUUUUUUUUUUUGGUUUUGACUGUUCUAGACAAUAAAGAAAUAUUUUGAAAGGGUCGGAGAUUACAAUGAAUCUAUACACUUGUGGAAAUUUUUUUAAGGCAUAAAUAAGUGCAACUUGAGAGCAUUUUGUUUUUUGUUCCACUAUAUAUUUUUAUACAACUGCCGCCUUAGAUUGGGUGCAUCACUUCAUUAUAUAAUCAAUAAAAAUUAAUUAUAUAAAUGGAAUCAUUCUCUAUUAUAAUUAUUCGACUUCAUGAAGUAACAACUGAUGUUUUUUACCACAUUGUCAAAAGAGUUCAACUUUUAUUUGAGAAUACACCAUAUAAAAGAACAAAUAAAAAUAAAACAAGAGUACAACAUAGAAAAGAAAAAAAUAAAACAAGUUUUAGAAUUAGUAGAUUAGAAUUGUUAUAAGAAAGAGUUGUCCCUAUAACUUCAAUAAGCUAGCCAUGUUUCUUAAACUUGUUUUACUAGCCUUACCAAACUUUUUCUAGUUGAUAUUCAAUUUUUUUUAAUUUUUUUUUUCUAGUCAAGCAUACUUAAUUGAACAGUCAAUUCAACAUGAAAACGAUUUGUCGCUUUACGAUCCUAAUUUUUAACCAGCCGUAAAUUUUAAUCUAUUAAAAAAAAUUAGUUGGUGGAAAUGUAAACAGAAGCAAGAAGGUUAGAAUUAAUAACUUUAUCAUGAAUAAUUAAUAUAAUUAGAAUUUAAUAAAACUAUAUGUAAAAGCUUAUUUCAAGAGCGAAAAUUUUAUUUUUUAUCAUUUUUUAGUGCUUAUAAUUAUAAUUUAAUCUAGAAGUAUUUUAAUUAUAAAAAAUAUUUUUAAAAAUAAGUUUGACGAAUAGUUUAGUGCUUAUAAUUAUUUUCUACUUAUAAUUAAGUUAAUAUUUAAUAGAAAGAACUAAAAUAAUAAAAGCAAAAACCUUUGCCCGGCAAUUCCUUGUUAUUUACAUUUUUGGCGCUGUCCUUGACAGAGGACUACACCGAGGAAUCUCAGGCCGCGGCACACGUGCGGCGGCUUCUCGACAUCGUCGCGUGCACCACACGGUUCGCCAAGUCCAGAAACUCCCGAUUGCCGCCAUCGUCAGAGUCAUGUGCCAAAAAGAACGGCAGUAGGCCCCACCAGCCUUCACCAAACUCUGCCGCUCUGUCUGAUGGAGCAGCAACAGCAGCAGCAGAUAACCGAAGCGGGCCCCGCGCCACGUCAUCGCCAGUUUCAUCGGCGGUUUCUCCGAGUCUGGACAUGGCGGCCAUUCACCCGACGCCGAAACUCUCCGAGUUUUAUGACUUCUUCUCUUUCUCUCACCUCACUCCCCCCGUCUUAAGUAAGCGUAAUGUUCAUUUAUUUAUUUGUCUUCGUUUCUUACAUGGUUGAUCAAAAAAAAAGAAAAAAAAAGAAAGAGGAAAAUGAUAUAAAUAUAUGUGAUUUAUUUGAAUAUGAAAUUUGUUUAUUGAUUUUAAUUUUUAAUAAUUUUGAUUUUGAAGAUUUGAGAAAAUGUGAACGCAAAGAAGGAGACAAGUGCGACGGUGAUUAUUUUGAAAUUCAGGUGCCAUUUAAUAUAAAGUUCUGAUUAUUGUUGUUUGUUGUUUAUGGACUAAUUAAUUGUAGAGUUAUUCAACUUGUUAUUUUUGCUGAUGAAUUGGCCAAUGAGUGUUAAAGAUUUAAUAAUCAUUGUCUGCUAAUUAAUAAGAAUGCAUGGAUUAUUUUCAUGUCUUUGUAAGUAAUGUGAGUAUUUGAAAGUGCGGGAAACUGUAUUUUGUGCUUACAGAUAAAAAUCUGCAAUGGAAAGCUUAUACAAGUAGUUGCAUCAGUAAAAGGGUUCUAUACUUUGGGAAAGCAGUUUUUCCAAAGCAACUCCCUGGUGGAUCUUCUGCAAAAUCUCAGUCGAGCUUUUGCCAAUGUGGGUACUCAAUAGUUGAAUCUACAGAUUAUUUUUUUCUUUUUUAUCUGAAUGCAUCUUUUUUUCCUCCGUAAAUUCAAUUAGCUUACCCAUCAAUUGUUUUGUUAAUAAUUAUGGUCAUUAUGCGUGAUGCAGGCAUAUGAAUCCCUAAUGAAAGCUUUUGUUGAACAUAAUAAGGUAACAAUUUCUGUGCUGACAUAGUUUAUUACCAAUUCAAAUGUGAUUUUAACUUGAUUUUACUGAUAUAGUAUAUUCAAUAUCCUUCUUCAGUUUGGUAAUCUUCCCUAUGGAUUUCGAGCUAAUACAUGGCUUGUACCUCCAUCUGUUGCUGAGUCUCCAUCAAAUUUCCCUUGCCUACCGGCAGAAGAUGAGAAUUGGGGUGGCAAUGGCGGAGGCCAGGGAAGAGAUGGAGAACAUGAUUUACGACCAUGGGCGACGGAAUUUGCUAUACUGGCUAGGCUUCCUUGCAAAACUGAAGAGGAGAGGGUGGUUAGAGAUCGGAAGGCCUUUUUGCUUCAUAACCAAUUUGUUGAUGUCUCAAUUUUUAAAGCUGUUGGAGCAAUACGCCGUCUCAUUGGUUCAAAUUUACACACUCAAGAUACAAUCAAUGUCCAAAAGGGGGCAAUCUUGCAUGAAGAUCGUGUGGGAGACUUGUCCAUUACAGUAAAACGUGAUACAGUAGAUGCAAGCUUGAUGUCUGAGGUUACUAUUAAAGGAAAUCAGUCAUCUGGUAUGUCUGCUGCAGAAGUUGCUCAAAAGAAUUUACUAAAAGGUGUUACUGCAGAUGAGAGUGUAGUUGUUCACGUAAGUCGAUUUCUCCUUUACUUUUUAUGCUUAUGUUCACAGAACACACAUAAAAGACAUUCAUCAAAGCCGAAAUUACUUGCGUGGGCGGAAUAAUAUAGCUCUACCUUUGUCAGGGAGUGAUUUUUCAGUCGGAUUAGGAUGUUUCCCUCUUUAUCUGAUAUCUGGCAUUUGAUGAUGGCCUAAAAUACCCAUCCUCUUCACUCUCUCUUUCUACACAUUUAUGAAUGCACAAGAAAGUCAAUUUUAGGUUCUUUCGUGAGAAUCACUACUCAUUACUAACCUUAUAUAUCUGGUUUAGCUUCAUGAAUCUUAUGUUGCCUUUCUGUUUGGUGACUCCCUAUUCUGUUGAAAUCACUUGAUAGCAGGUCUUUCUACUGAUUUUAUCCAUAUCCCUCUGAUUUUCUGCUCGUAGUUUGAUCCAGCUUAAUGUCUUGGGGAAGCCUAUUAACCUUGGUUGGGCAUGCUUGUAUUAUAUCAACUAGUGGUGCAAUUGCUAAAGUUUUCAGCAUGGUAGAUCUUGAAAUAUCCAGAUUUAUUUUUGUCAAAAUAUCUAGAUUUAUCUUCCUUUUCUUUUUCCCUUUCUUUUAUUUUAGUUUCAAAGAUUUUGUGAUAAAGAGAACUGAAACAAUAUAGUUUUUGGCAGGAUACCUCCUCAUUGGGUACUGUCAUUGUAAGACACUGUGGAUACACCGCUGUAGUAAAGGUUGUUGGUGAUGUGAAGGAGAAGUUUGGCACACAAGAUAUUGAAAUUGAAGAUCAACCUGAUGGAGGAGCUAAUUCUCUUAAUAUUAACAGGUUUGAAAUUGUAACACAAUGCUUCCUCUGUCGAUUCGUCUUAGCACACAAAGACUAGGAAAUCUACAGAUGGAGAAUGGCUGUAAGAUAUGAAAAAUUAUCUUUCAACCACUAACAUUUUUAAGCUAUUCUGCAAGAUAUCUUAGACAUACUAACUGGUAUGAGCUUCUUUGCUUAGUGUCUAUCACAGUUGAAUUCAUGAUGCAGAGCAUUGUUAUUCUCUUUAUUUUUACCAGAUAGAACAGGAUUGAAAUGGUGGUGUUGGGGAUUCUUAAGGAUAGCACCUGCUCCUUUUUCUUUCUGUUUAGAUGGGAUCUAAUCAGUAGAUGUCUGAACUCUUAAGGGGAGUUGAUGUCAGAUUUCUAAACCAGGUUUUCUUCAAGUGUUAAGUUUAUGAAUAGGCCAAAGAAAAGAAAGCUGAUAUCUAGUUAGGGAUAUAUACUCCUCUUUCAGUAUCCUGUGGACCAGAAAAUGGCUUUUCCUAUAUUAAAAUAUGUGUGAGAUCCUUCACUGUAUGGGGAUGCUUCACCUCUGCAUAGUUGUAGACCACCUAAAUAAUAACGAGUGGUUGCAGGAAACAUUAAGUCAUGGCUUUCACAAUAAUGGUUGAGUGUUUAUAGUUAUGUGCCCUGACAUUGGUUUGUAAUUGUUAUAUUAACAAAAUAACCAACAGACAUCGUUGACGAUGUUCAAAUAAAGGAUAAAGGAAAGUAUAAUUACAGUGCAUGCUCAGUUGCUGAAAUAGGUCAUCAGCUUUUUAGAUUGUGCUAUUUCAGAAAGUAUUUAGGCCUUCUUUGGUGGAUUCUGCCUUUGUUUCAUAUACUCUUAUGUCUUUCUCCAUUUAAGUUGUUCUGACAGGGUAAACUAUUUAUUGCAGCUUAAGGCUUGUGCUUCAAAAGUCUUUCAGUGCUGAAUCAGCUAGAGGAGACCAGUCAACUCUGUGCAAUUUGGAUAAUUCAGAAGCUUUUAGAAGUCUUGUAAGAAGAGUUUUUAAACAGAGUUUAGCAAAGUUAGAGCUGGAGCCAACUGCUUCAGAAAGAUCUAUUAGAUGGGAACUUGGUUCUUGUUGGGUGCAGCAUCUACAAAAGCACGAAACUCCAACAGAUACCAAGUCAACGAGGUCUGGGGAUGAUAUUAAGACUGAACAUGCUGUCAAAGGUCUUGGGAAGCAAUUUAAAUUUUUGAAGAAGAGGGAGAACAUACCUAACCUUGUUGGUAGCAUUAAUGAGGCUAACGAAAAUGACAAUGGACCAGCAUGAAUAUGGGAGGUAAUGGUAGACAGCAAAGCAAUGGCGAGCUGAAUUGUGAGAUGGAAUUGAAAACACUAAUUUCUGAAGAAUCCUUCUUGCGAUUGAAAGAAACUGGCACUGGUCUUCAUUCAAAGGUUUCAGAAUCUCAAAUUUGUUUUGCAUUUCAACUGUAAAGUUUGCUACUUUUUGUGUUUUCAUUACGCUAAAUUUGGUUUGUUUUAUUUUCAUAUGGAAUGACUGGUAAAAUUAAUUUCUUGUGCAGGCAGUGGAUGAGCUUAUGAAAAUGGCAUACAAGUAUUUAUGAUGCGAGAACUAGUCAAGGUAUGCUUGCAGAACCUGCUGUACCUUCGGCUGCUGCUAGAGUUCCUUGUGGGCCAAGGUCGCCUCUCUAUUAUAGAAAUAAUUAUUCUUACAUUAUGAAACAUGGAUUUCCAAAAUACCACUCUUCCAUUAUGGAAAGAAACCUGUUGGGGCCUUCAAGAAUCAUGAACCCGCAUGCACCCGAGUUUGUGCCAAUGAGAGGUUGGCAAAUAAAUCCUGGAUAUGCAGAUUCAAAUGUUUCAAAUGGGUCGAACUCUUCAAAUGACACAAGUGAGGCAGACGAUGAGAAACUUGACAAAAUGUCCAGUAUUCAAGGCGAGGAUAAUACCUCAAGAAAGAGCAGUACAGAGGCGGAGAAGUCAGAGCUGGCAAGACAGAUACUACUUAGCUUCAUUGUAAAGUCAGUCCAGCAUAAUAUGGAUGCUCCAAGUCAAUCUUCAGGCUACGAAAAGAAGAUUGGGUAUUCAGAAAAUUCUUCAGAUGCAAUUGCAAAUGAUAGUGCUAUCAUAAAGAUCCUUUAUGGAAAUGAAAAGGGCAAAACAAA